UUAGGGUGAUAGGUUUAAGACUUUGGAGGGAGGCGCAAUUCCUCGUACAUGGAAUGCGGCUAAUCUCAAGUUUUAUUUUAGUUGAACUCUAGCAUUGUACACAGUUUAAGGGGACGCUCUUUUUCCCUUUUUAAGGGUAUUUUAACGAGGUCACCCAAUAAAAUUAUGAUUGAAGUAUACAUAUUCUCAAAUUUUUUGUACAAUGCAGGGGCGAACCUGUCGCCUUGGUGUUUAGACACCUCGAGAGGGAGUGAUAGCUUCCGCUUAGGACGCCUCCCCCUCGAGCGUGAGCGCCAAGUGCGAACAGCAGGGUUCGGUCAGUGACGAGCCUGUCGCCUUGGUGUUUAGACACCUCGAGAGGGAGUGGCAGCUUCCGCUUAGGACGCCUCCCCCUCGAGCGUGGGCGCCAAGUGCGAACAACAGGGUUCGACCAGUGACGAACCUGUCGCUUUGGUGUUUAGACACCUCGAGAGGGAGUGGCUUCGCUUAGGAUGCCUUCCCCUCGAGCGUGGACGCCAAGUGCGAACAACAGGGUUCGACCAGUGAUGAACCUGUCGUCUUGGUGUUUAGACACCUCGAGAGGGAGUGGCAGCUUUCGCUUAGGACGCCUGCCCCUCGAGCGUGGGCGCCAAGUGCGAACAACAGGGUUCAACCAGCAAUGAACCUGUCGUUUUAGUGUUUAGACACCUCGAAAGGGAGUGGCAGCUUCCGCUUAGGACGCCUUCCCCUCGAGGGUGGACGCCAAGUGCGAACAGCAAGGUUCGGCCAGUUAAGUCCUCCUUUGCCUUUGAGCAAAGACGAGGUCGGUGACGCGUCUUGUGGCUAGAGACCUUGAGAGGGAGGGGCAGUUCCCACGUAGGACGCCCCCUCCCAAACGCGAACGCCAAGGCUCAGCGAAAGGAUUCCCAAUUAAGUCCUCUACUGCCUUGGGGGCGAAGAUGAGACCGGUUGGUGGAUCCUCCCUAAUCGCAAAGUAUGGGUAAGUAUCAGCAAAGGAGUUUCCCUUGUCUAAGCAAAAGUUAAGGCAAGACUAGUUGAAGGUUCACUCAUGCUCACAUCCAUCACGGGUUGCUAAGCAGUUAAGACAGAGGGCGAGAAAGCGUGCUACCUAGAGUUCGAAGUUUUAAAGUUUGUCAAGGACUUAAAGGUGUUAGCAUCAUAACGUUGUUGGUAAGAGCGUCAAGUCAAAGACGCAGUUAUUGGCAAACAAAGAUAAAUAAAGCAAGUAAAGAAAGGUGCGAGUUAUAUUAAAUAAAUGUUUCGGAGGACAUAGUUUCAAAGCCAAAGUUACACAAGUUCCUUUUGAGGGCGCCUUGGCACGAUCUGCCUAUCCACAAUGUGGUUCGACGUUGCGAAGGAGGAGACAUCUAUCUCGAGAUGCUUGCAAGUAACCCGAGCGAGAGCGUCCUCGAACCCUACUGCAUAGGCAUUGGUGGCAUCGUCAAUGAGCUCCGCUUUGGCUUUCCCGAAGGCUUCAGCUUGAGUGGUCAGUUCUGCCUUGACCCUCUCAAGGGCUUCAGUUUGUGCGGUAAGCUCAACCUCUACUUUCCCGAGCUGCACCUCCCGAUCCGUGGCCCACUCUUCAAGUUUGACCAUCCUAGCUUUGUUGGCCAUGGUUUCCUCCUCAAGUUCCACCACCUGGGUACGUAGUGGCACAACCUUGGCCAAUAGAGUGGUGUACUCUUGGCCCUUGUCGAAGAGCUUCUUGUUGGCCUCCAGCUCAGCCUGGUGAAGGGCGUUUACUUCCUGAUGUAGCGCAGUCUCACGGUUGGAGAAAACCUAAGCCUGUUGGGCCAGUUGCUCCUUCGCCAGAGCCAGUUCUUCAGCCAAAGCCAUCUGCUCCUUUGCUUUUGACUCCACCUCGUGGAAAAAGGCGUCAAAUUGGGAAAGGAAUUCUCCAAGGCUGAGAGCCAAGCUCUCCCGCACAGCCUUUCCGCUUGAGCUUCCCAUGGCCCCUCUCUGGUAGCCCUUGAGGAUUUGUUGAAGGACCAGGGGAAGUUCAGGAGCAGGGGCUAGUUCAAGUACGCUCUCACCGCCACCCUCGAGUGCAAGGAGGCCUUGGGAGGAUGAGGCGCUCGGUGGAGCAGAAAGCGCUGAGGCACUUACGUCAGCAACAACAUCUUGACGAAGGGCCAAGACCUCAGCAAGUCUUGCUUGCUUCUCCUCGUUCAGCACCAUGCCUGCAUUAAAACAAAAGGGGAUGAGAAUUUGGCAAGGUUACCAAGAGGCAGGAAGUUAGCACAUGCAUAAGUAUGAGAUAACAUACAAGCAAGGUAGUAAAGAGAUAAAGGGGGGUCAGAAGCAAGGCUCUAUACCAAUGUAGCCCGCGAGACUAGAUGGGUUGUACUCAUGCUUGAUGAGCUCGACUGUGCUGAAGACCACCCCAAGGCUAGCCAGCACUUGGCACACCUCGCGAUCAGCAGAGGAUAACUCAUCAAGGGUCUUGGCUUUUUUAAGGGUUAACUUCCCCACCCAAUACAGAGGAAACCCGUCCAACAGGGUGCUGUCGUGCCCAGAGCAGCACACCUUGAAGAAUUUCCUUUUGAAACCCUUGUAAGAUUGUUGAAAUAAGGUGAGGAUGACUCUCCCUGUCACCCUGCUGAAGCUCACCCAGAGGUUCUUCCCAGGGUUCUUGGCUUCGAAAUAAUGAAGGAAGACGUCCACAGAUGGUGGAUGGCCGAAAUGGUUGCAAAGGAUGGAGAAAGCCCUCACAAAGGCCCAACUAUUGGGAUGCAGCUGGGCAGGGGCAACGUUCACUUCAGUGAGCAGCUCCCUCUCGAAGCUAGUGAAGGGGAGGUGCUGCCUAAUGCGUUUGAAAACAGUUUGGUAGAAGAAGAAGAAAGACUCUCCAUCAUUGGCACGGUUGUCCGUGCACACGGGUUCACCCUCUGCACAGGGACGAACUGAGACGUACGCGUCACUCUCUCUCCCAAACGCCCUACCCAGGAACUCGAGCUCGCUAUGCAGGUGUGCCCUCCAAUCCGCAAUCGAUGUAAGGGUGGAGGUUUCAGCGAGGAGUUCAUCGGAUACCCCAGGGUACAUUUCUCUGUAGUUGACAUUGGGUGGAGGGUUGGAGGUAGUCUUCGUUCGUGCCAUGAUGAAGGAAGCUAAAAAAGCAAGGAGAGAAGAAGGUAAGGGUCCAGCAAGGGGGGCUACGGUGUAAAAAGGAAGAAAAACCCUACGCUCGCAGAAAACCCAGAAAAACAGAGGAACGAAGAGUAAAUGCAGAGGAAAACCUAAACGUGGAAGUUUAAACAAGCCCAAGCAGUUAUCAAUGCGCGAAAUCAGAAAUAAAGAGCAAUCAAUGGAGAAAAAUCAUACCUUUGAUUGUUGAUGAGCGAAAGUUUGGGUUUUUGCGAAGGUAGGAAACCAGAGUGUUCGAAGAAGAAGAUGAAAAGUGCAAUAGAAGUUACAAAUGAUGGAACAGUGCAUGAAGCAUGCACUUUGAAAUACUUAACGUAAACUGGGAAAGCGCAAGCGACGGUAAGUCCCAGCCGUUGGAUUAAGACACGUGUGCACAUAUUAAGAAAGGUACAGGAAAGUGUCAUUUCGAGACACUAUGCACGUCCUGUCACAGGAAACCACGUAGGUCGGCAGGGCGAGAACUUAGUCUCUUCGCUAAACAAGUUGACAGCUCGAGACUGGGGGGCUUGUGUGCCGGACGGUCCUCGGACCUCGACAUUGACCGCAUUUACGGUGGGGCCCCGAAUGCUGGGUCCACUAGGAGGCUGGGAGGAUAGGUCAACAUCUCGCGAAACACACGAGUGAGGGUAGCCGAGGAGGGGGCGGCGUUGAGGUGAAAAGGGUGGUUUCCAAGACACACUCCAGUCAUCAGUAAGGGAGAGACCUAAAUCACGGGGGGUCCAUGCAUGGAGUGUGGGCGGCAGGGUAGGGUGCGACACAAUCAAAGAGCUGUUGAAUCAAGUGUGUUCAAGCUUUGAAAAAUCCAAACCCUUUGAAGGUUGAUGGAAGGCUGGAUGUGCUUGUUGUUGCUGAGCUAUGUUAGAAUAGGAUCUGGGGUAGAUUAUCUGUGUUAAAUCCACUCUUGAUUGAAUUCAAAGCUUAAGCAUUCUCAAACCUUUUAAUUGAAAGUGUUUUUCAAACUAAGUGAAAAACAACUUGUUGUUUUGUCGAAACAACCGAUUGUUUUAUACUUAGGUGUUUUUAUAAAGGUUGAAAACUGUUUUUGAUGGUUGACUUGCUGUCAAACCAAAACAACCGAUUGAUUCGAGCAUUCAGCCGAUUGUUUGUUUUGGACCAUAACAGAAAACUGUUUUGUGCUUUGACUGAGCUUUAAAUGAUAUUAUAACUGAAUACACUCCAGUUUUAAAUGCUUUGACCAGUCUUUGAAUGCAAUAAAUAGUUUGUUCAGAUUUUGUAACAAACAAGAACUUAUUUUUAAUCAAAGAAAAACAGAUUUGAGUUUUUCACUGAUUUUCCUUUUGAAGAGUUGGAGAUUGCUUUGAGAUUGCUUUGAUCAAGAGAGUGUGAUAUAGGAUUUUCAUCUUGUAUUGAUUUCAAAUCUUUUUUGUAACAAGUGUAAUCCUUCUGUACAUUGAAGAAACUCUGUGUGUGAAGCUGAGAAGUGUUGUGUGUUCUUGAGGUUGUCAAGAUCAACAUUCUUAGUUGUGUUUGUGCUGAGCCAAAGGAAGUGUGUGUCUUGAGGGGAUCAAGGUCACUUCUUUGGUGGUGUUGUAAGUAAUCUAGGGUUGAUUGCUUAGUGGAUUCCGCAGUGGUUUCUGGGAAGACUGGAUGUAGCUCUUGGUUUAAGAGUGAACCAGUAUAACUCCGUGUGUACAAUCUCUAUCUCUCUAUCCCUUGAACUCUUUAAAUUCAGUUUAUAUUUGUGAACUAGUAUAAACAACCGAUUGUUUUUAUGGUGCUGUGCUAAAUUGCUUUGUGUUUUUGGCAAACUGAUUUCUUAAUCAAGUUUUCUCGAAGUAAUUUCAUUCUAGACUUAAAAGUUUGCAAAAACCCUCUUUAAACCAUUCACCCCCCCCCCUCUAGUUUAAAACCAUACAUUCUAACAAGAGCCACUGGGAAAGAGACGACCUGUGAGGGUCACAUUCUAGGGUGAUUUGCAUGCAUGGUACGUGAGCAGCUAGGGCACUCCUAGGGCGGAUGAUCCCAGAGAUUGGGUGCAUGAGUUGGCACCCAAGCAGUCAUCCCGCGCCAACUGCACUUUGGAAAGGGAGUCUUAUGCACUAAAGGCCCUCAGAGCGGGUGUUAGUGACGCUAAGGCAUACCUACAGUAAGGCUAGUUACAGUUAGCGAAAGUGGCAAAAACACUAGAGUAUAUAAAGGGUAACAACCAACGUAAUAAGGUACGCAUUUCUAAUGCAAGUAACACACAGAGAGAAUACACACACACAAAGCUCUUAGAGUUAAGAGUUUUUUGGUGUUUCUUUGCCCGAGAGUUUGACUUGAGCGUCAGAGUUUAAACGCCUGCGAGGGCGCCCUUUGUCUCUUUGUUUCAGGUGAUUCUGUCGGAGGUAAGGCACGUAGAGACGAAGGGAUUCUUGAUCGCAAGGGUGUCUUAAGUGCACAAAGACAUUUAGGUCAACCGGCGGGAACAAUAUGGUUCUUAGUGAGCCUCCCUCUUGCAUGAGAACGCCAAGGUCAAGACAGUAAGGUUCCCAGAUAAAAUCCUCCUUUGCCUCUAUACGACAAAGGAAGGUCAGUAAGUGAACCUCUCCCUUGGAUUAGAAACACCAAGACUGGGAAUAGUACGGUUCUUAGUGAGCCUCCCUCUUGCGUGGGAACGCCAAGGUCGAGAAGAGUAUGGUUCCCAGAUUAAAAUCCUCCCCUGCCUCUAUACGGCAAGGACGAGGUCAAUAGGCAAACAUCUCCUUUGGGUUAGAAACACCAAGAUUGGAAAUAGUAUGGUUCUGAGUGAGCCCCCCUCUUGCGUGAGAACGCUAAGGCUCAUAAUAGAAUAGUUACCAGUUAAAUCAUCCCUUACCUCUAUACAGCUAGGACGAGGUCAGUAAAGGAGAACCUCUUCCUUGUCUUGUAAGGCAAGGUCAGUAUGGUUCCCAGUUAUAUGUCUCCCUUACCCCUAUGUGGAAAGGUCGAGACCAGCUAAGUGAGUCUCUCCCUUGUCUUGUAAGACAAGGCCGAAAAUAGUGAGGAGUGUAGGGGUUUUGAGGGGUUUAACGUAUACGAAGAAGCGCAAGCGGCAACGAGCCUUAACCGUUGAUCCUGCCACGUGUAUGCUGAUUAAAAAAGUAUGGUGAAACGUCACUUCAGUGCCCUGUUCACGUCCCGUCACCCUAGCAUCACGUAGGUCGUCGUGGGUGAUCACUUAACCUCUUUGCUGAAACAAGUUACAGCUCGAGCCUGGGGGGCUUGUGUACUGGCCAAACCUCGGACAUCGACUGAAGAGAUCGGCAUCAGACAUCAGUCAUAUUAAUGGGUCACGUAGGUAGCCCCCAGAAAUACUAAUGAGUUAUUAUCCAUACAAGAGAGGGACCUAAGUCACGAGAGGAUUCAUGCAUGUGGUGUGAAUAGCACGUUCAGGUCUAGCAGAAGUAAAUAACCCUUGGAGACGCUAAGGCCCGUUAGGGUGAGGGUUUCCAAGGGUAGACUGCAUGCAUGACACGUGAAUACUUAGGGCACCUAUAGAGCAGAUGGCCCCGCAGCGCUGGUACAUGAGUUGGUACCCUAGGAGUCGUGCUAUUAGAGAUUUUGCACUCCAAAAGAGUCAAGUCUUGUGACGCGGCUGUGCUAAGCUUGUGCAACGGGUCACAUAAUGCCUCACAGUAACCCUAAUUCCACUAAAGGAAAGAUACUCGUGGGAGAGGGAGUUGACCUAGAUACAACAUAAAGGGUGGUAAAAACCCUAGAAAAGGUACGUCGUUUCUAAGACUGAAACUGCUCUACAUACUUUACUGUUUCUUAGCAUAGUACUGACUUGAUUGUCAGAGUGCAAUCAACAGGUAGGACCCCCAUCUAUUUCAACGGAGUCACUCUUAGCUAUCCAAAAAGACAGCUGAAACCACUAGAAAAUAGAAGGAACCACCAUCUGUCUUCGAAGUCAACAACGACUAAGUCAACCGACGAGAACAAAUCUUAUAAACAUGUACCACACCUGAAAAUCUUAACUUUACUGUUAGACUAGAAAAAUAUUGUUAAGCCUAUUUUGAGCUUAAUUCGAAAUCUUGAAAUUUAAAUGAACCUAUUUGAAUAUAACGGGCUAACUAAUCAUUUAUCUAGUUAAAUCAUUAUUUUUUUCUAGUUAACCCCAAAUUUUUAUUAUUUAAAUAUUAAAUAUAUGAGAUUGCAGUGCAGUUCUUAAAACAUUUGUUGCGUUAAAACAUAGAAAUUUUACCUUGGAAGUGUUAAACCCUUUGGCAUUGUGGAAUUUGAAGGAUAACACAAUUCUUAUUUAUCUAUUAUUUUAUCUUCUUCUUCUUCUUCUUCUUCACUCUGAGACUCCGAGUGAGUGUGUAUGAGUUGGGGUAGCCAUGGGGAGUUCACGAGAGCGAUUGGUGAAGGCGGUGAAAAAGUUCGUGGAUGUUCGGUACAAGGUUUUCAGCAAUCGUUACGGUCCAACCAUCAUCGACAUAUUGGACUUCCCAAUUAAGGUUGUCUUGUCUCCCUUCACUCUCGCCUUCGACAUUGCCGGCUCUGCGCCUCGCGGCUUCGGCGUCCCCGAACUCAUCUCCAAGCUCUCUGCCACUUCCGUCUUCGUCAGUCUCUUUCCCUUUUCCCUAUGCAAUUUUCUUCUCUCUCACUUUUUCUCGCUAUUUAUCUAUUGUUUUGUACAAUAUGAUUCCCUAAUUUCUGGAGGAAGUGAUGAUUACUGGUAGCCGGAUUGCCUCUGUAGAGAUACUUGUAGAAGGCACAUGUGGUCUUGAAAACUAUUAUUUUCACUAUCCUGCAUUUAUGUAGUUAUAUAGAUAUAGACAGGAAAGUAAUUGCUGUUGUUUUUCCAGUUUCUGAAAAAAAAAAGUUAGAAUGAAGAAGCUGAAAACAAUGUAAUAUUUUGGUAAUGAUUAGUGAAAUUGAAAAUGAAUAAGAAAGGAAUUAUGUUAAACCAAAUAAGUAUUUUUGGAAGCCAUUUUACUUUUUAAAUUUUUUAUCAUUUGGAUUAUUGAUGGGAGUUGUAUUCUCUGGAAAUUUUAUCUUGUUAGUUCUAGGUUCAAUUUUUGUUUUAUUUUUAUAAUGAUAGAUGUUGCUUCAUGGCUUGGUUGUAGGCUAUAGCUGCUCUUGGAACUUAUGACAUUGCAUUUGAGCUGGGGAGGAAGGUGCUAUGUCAAAGGUGCUGUUUGUAUUCCUUGAUUGUGGUUUUGUUGUGUCACUUGAAUACAUGAUACCUUGAAUCUCUUAUGAGUUUAGUGUUGCUCAUUGACUUUUGUAAACUCUAACUAAAUGUGUGUCUCAAGAACAGGAAUUGUAAUACAUGUAGUGGAUGGCGGGCCUUGCGGUGUACAAUGUGCAGAGGAAGUGGGAGGGUGCAUUAUCAAGUCAAGAAUUACACCUUGAAGAGGUAUGUGACUCUCCAUUUGGAUAAAUUUAGAGGUGGCGGUGAGUAUUACUAUGUAAAUGUGGUUUGUUUGGUGCUCUUGUUGAAAUUUUUAAUAGAACCCACAAACAAUGAAACUUGCAAAAGUUAUUUCAAGAUCAUAAAAGUUGAGAUUCUAGUUGAAUUAGAAUACGUUGCAAUCUUCGUCAUUUGGGGUCAUGCAUGAUUACUUAUGUAGUUUGUCCAAGCUUCCAAGAAAACUACGUAAUAAAUACUCACACAUACACAAAGUUCAGAUGGGAAAAAAGCUACUCCAUCAAAUCCUUAUUAUAAGACACUGUUAACAGAAUUAUAACUGUUUAAUGAGAAAACGAACACAGUCUUUGGGACUUGAAAAUGUUGUAAUAGCUUUUCAUUGGGAAAUACCUGAAUUAUAACUCAGCCUAUAUCUCUCUUUUUUAAAGAAAAACCCCAAAGUAGAUACCAAAAACAUUUAGUAAAGGAAAACCAGUAAAAAAGAUAAAUGUAUCAUUGGAGUAUAAAGUCACGUAUAAAUUGGACCAUAUAGAGCAUGUACAAGGUGUCUUAUAAUAAGGACCGGAGGGAGUAUUUAAACACAUACUAGUUUUAUGCCAAUGAAUUUUUCUAAAAUGGUGGUUGACCUAAAGUCACACUAAAUUAAUAUAUUAAUAUCUGAACUGCAAUGAAAAUAUCUGCUGUCAAGUAAGGAAAUGUGUAUCUGAUUUAUAUAAAAUGGGCAUAAGAUAGCUCAGUAUAUUUUUAGUGGAUAACUCUCUUCUAUUUUGAUUUCUUUUAGUGCACGUCAUUUAUUAUUUUGAGAUUCUCCUCCAAUUUGUAUACACCUUAUAUGUUCUUCAACUUUUAACUUUUAGUGGAGAGAAGCCAACUGCUGAAUCUGUAGCAGACGCCAUUGCCAACAAUCGGGCUGAGUUGGUGCAUCUACCGUCAUCCUUGGAUUUUCAAAACCCACUCCCUUCAAAAGAGUGUCCAACUUGUGAUGGAACGGUGGGAGUUAAAUUCCAAGACAAUUUGUCUUUUCAUCCAACAUUUUGUUUUCAUGGAUAGGUUCAUUCCCGCUGAAGUAGUAAUUCAUGAAUAAACUUUAGUCCUCCCCCUGCAUGCGCACACACCUACCCACCAUAAAACAAUUCUACUUUGAGAUCAAUAGUUAGUCUCAUAUGUUCUUCAUCUGGUAGCUUUAACAUUGCAAUGUGUUUUGACCUUUUUUUUUGAAGAAUUUAUUUCACUUUACACAGGGUGCAAUGAGCUGUCCUGAAUGCAAACACAGAUUGGUGCAUGUUAGGAUCUCAGCAGAUGAUGUGGGUAUUGUUGACUCUUUGGUGCUUGGUUCUUUUCCCAUUAUUGAAUUUAACUCGUUCAUAUUUGAUCUUUAAUAUUACCUGUGAAGUUUUAAUAAUCUAUUUAUAAUAUGUAGCCAAAUGUGGCUUUGGCAAUUAAACUAAUCUUUUGUUUCCACACCAGUAUUUUGAUUGAUAUGUCACUUAGUGAUUCAAUACUAUAUUUUCUCGCUUUCUCUUAACCAUUUUUUACCCACAUCAGCAACGGCAAUUUUUAUUUUAAUUUCUUAAAUGAAUUAGAAUCCAUCACUUACAUUGUAUAAUAACCAUUGAUUAGUGGAAACAGUGAGUUCUUUUGAUGUAAUUAUACUUGUAAUUGCUUCAAAAUAAAAAAUUUGCUUCCUCAACAAAUAUUUUCUCAAACACUUGGUCGAUUUCUCUUGUAACAAUGACAGUAUUUAAAUCUUGCAAAAAUCUCAUAACUUUUUAAAGAUUUAUUGGAUUAUUUAUUUUACUUCUCAAUGAUAUGUAAAUUAUUAAAGUUAAAAUACAUGCUAUCGGAUAGAUGCUAAAAUUAUCUUAUUGAUGAACUGUUUAACAAGUUGGUGUAAUGCUGGUUCAUAUUAUUUUAAGCAUCCUUUUCUUUGGGCAGAUUAUGGAGCCCCCUUGGCAAGCUUAUAAUGUCUUGAAAAAAAUGGAUUACCCAUAUGAGGUUAGUGUUAUUUCUUCUAAGAUCAAAUUUGAUUCUAUUAAAUAAGAAAUUCUAUUGUCAUUAUUUAUUAUUGACAAUAUAAUACAGAUUCCUCUCAUAUGCAACUGAACAAACCUUGAUCCUAGGCAUUUGUACUCAUUUCUUUACUUUUGUGUGCAUUGGAAUUCAUGUUUCUCUUAUAUUAGCAUUUCAUGCAAACUUUUGUUGGUUAAAUAAGUGUGUCAAGAGGAGACAUAAAAUAUAAAAUUUAUUCUACUUCUGAUUUCUCACUCUUUUUUUUGACAUUGAAAUCAUUAGUAUAUGUUUUGUUUUUUCCUCUUUUCAGCACAUAGUUCACAGCAUGUUUUGUUUUCUCUUAUAUUAGCAUUUCAUGCAAACUUUUGUUGGUUAAAUAAGUGUGUCAAGAGGAGACAUAAAAUAUAAAAUUUAUUCUACUUCUGAUUUCUCACUCUUUUUUUUGACAUUGAAAUCAUUAGUAUAUGUUUUGUUUUUUCCUCUUUUCAGCACAUAGUUCACAGCAUGAAAGAUCCUAGUAUUGCUGCAUUUUGGCUGAUUACAUUUCCUCAGAUCAUGGGUGGAUUUACCUAUGAUGAUGAUGUGAAGCAGAAAAUAUGGUGGCAAUACAAGGUUUACAUUUCUAUUCCUUUCCAUAGUUCAGUACAGUUCAUCUACUAAUUAUUAUCUUAUGAUAAAUGAUUGCUUGGUAAAAGAAAUGAUGAAAUUACAUACCUGCUUUAAACAAAUUUUAAUUGCAAAUUUGUCAUGAAAUAUGAAUAUAAGGUGAAAAUACAAUGUUAAGGCCCAGGAUUAAACAAAAGAAAUGUGUUUUUGCUUGUUUACCCUUAUAUUUUGGUUAGGAAUGUGGUCCACAAGGAUAAUAAUAUACAACAAAAGUAACAUAUUUCUGUCCUUGCUACUUUCAGAUGGAUGAGAAUAAUUUUCAAUGACCUGGUUUUCCUUUUGUUCUGCAUGCUUGCAAGUGAAAAUUUAAUUUCCUCUAUUUUCUACUUCUGUCAAUUCAUUUUUACUCUCCUUGAGCUCAGUGGAUCGUGCACCUCAGUUCAGAGAUUGGUAUUUGUAGAAUUCUAAUUUUGUGAAAAUACAAGAAACAACUGAUCUGAAUAUAUGAAUCUGUCAGCUUGUAGCUUUUUGAAGGUUUCAUCCCUUUUUCCAGCACCAACAUAGUUUUCCAAGCACCUAUGCUGUUUCAUCUGCGUGUGUGUGUUUUAAUACAGAAGGAUUCAUGGGACCAAUUGACUGAAUAAUCCUGUGUAUUUCUCUAGCCGGCAAACAUAAUGUGUUGGAAGAUUUUCUUUGUACUUAGUACUUUGACCUGUAUGCCAGUAACUAUUUGGAAUUUCAGAUUGCUUAGGAAAAUGGUGCGGGAAAUUGGAUUUAAUAUUUAAAAUGGAAUUGAAAAAAAGGGAAUGAAGGUCAUAACCCUAUGAUUAUACAACCUUUCAUUCGAUUAACCUUUUCAAAAGUUAAUCAGACAUUAUGCAGCCUAAAUCAUCAUCUGUCAUGUUCAUUCUUUAUAGAAGUUGGUCAACUCUAUGUCUCUAAAUAUAUCUAUUUUCCUUUUCCUUUUGUGAGUGAAUUUAGGAAUCUAGGCGGUAUGAUCAACUCCGAGAUGUGGUGGCCAAGAGGAAACCUGGGUGGGAGUAUCUGCAGGAGGUAAGCUUUUCAUCCUUUGCACUAACCAUGGCUAUCUGGUAAUGCCUAUGCUCAUAUUUUAGAUGUGGAAGUCACAAGCGAUAUAAAUGUUGGGUAUGCUGGGGAUUAGUUGCUAAAAUAAAUGGACGAAAAGCUUAUUCUUUUACUAUUUUUCUGAUAAUUAUGGUAGUUUUUUAUUAGUUGGAUGCUAGAUAUGGAGUUAUUUAUGUGGUUGAUUGACGGUGGCAUUCAUCUUAAAUUUAUGUAAUUUUCUCUGGAUUAAAUUUUACAAUGUUUGUUUAUUUUGAACUGAUGUUAUCAUAGGCCUUGAUAUCUAUUGAUCCUGACCGUGCAAGGGAUGAUCCUGUCAUAGUGAAAAAUGUCCCUUACUAUAAGGCUCAGAAGGCACUGGAGACAGAGGUUAUGAAGCUUGAUCCUCCAGCAAGACCGUCAAAUUGGGGUGUACGUAUUUACUAUCUACACGUAACAUUUGCUAGUUAUUCCUUCAGUUAAUGUGCACAAUUUUCUUUCAAAUUAAUUUAUAAUGUGUUUUUGAUAAUUGCACUGCUUGAAUUCUUUAUCCCCAGUUGGUUAGAAUGCGCAUAUAGACAGUUGCAUAUACUGGAUUGACAUGGUCAGUAUGACUUAAAAAACAAGCUGGCCUCUAAGCUGGUCUAAACAGGCCUCUUUAUGUAUUUGCAGUGAAUAAGUCUAAUGUGGGUGAUCCACCAGGAUGGGCUAACUCGGUUUAAAUAUUUUUGGCUUCACAAAUUUGUUAACACUGUACAAGGAUGACCCUUUUGAAGUGCAUUCUACUACAGAACACUUCCGAUGUUUUCUCCUUUUAUUUCUUUAAGCUGUUCAAUGGAAAAUCAGUGGGGCGUAAACCUUUUGAAAUUGCGGCGAGCCUCUGGCUCAAAUGCGUAAAAGUGAGAAUAUAAAUUUAACAGCAUGCAAAAAGGGUCAUAAGAUAUUCAUAAAAUAUGCCAUCACAACUUUUCACUACAAAAUAUAUUGUUAGGUUGGUCACUCCCACUUCCAUUUGAAAAAGGAAAAUUAUAAAAGUAGUGUAGGUUGUAGGCAUAUCCUUCUCAGAAAUGAGACAUAAACUGCAGAGAAUUGGCAGGAGCUGGACCUUCCAUUGAAUGCAUCGUCUUGGAGUGAGGAGGAUCUCAAAAAUCCAGAAAAGUUCUAUGAAAUGACUGUUCUUCUUAAUGCCCAAAGAGAAAUCUCUGAUAAGAUCUUGGAUGCACAGUGGGAAACUAAAUGGCGUCAGGACAAGGUUGGUGGUUUUUUUGUCUUUACAAUUAGUUACUUUGUUUAUGUUGAAAGGAUCAACUAAUCAAAAUCGACAUAUGCUGUAAUCAGGCAUUUCAUAUGAUGAAAUAAUAAUGUUAAAUUGUGUGUACAAUUGUCUUGUCCCAAGAUCACACUCUUUUUUUUUAAUCAGCAUCAAGAUCACACUCUUGGCCUUUUUAGUUUACAAUGUUCAUGUAUGCUUGGGUUUUGCUUCCAAUUCAAGAUUUCAAGCUGUCUGUGGUUUGAGUUGUGUACUUAACCGCUCUCAGAACUAUUACAUACCUUUAAUAUAUGUUCAGUUUGUGGAAUAUUAUAUUAUUCUUGCACACUUUCAAAUGUCGCUGUCCAUCAAUCUUUUGUGCAAGUGACUGACUUAAUUUCACCUUCAGUUGAAUGAGAUGUUGGAGGCCAAGGUGAAGCCAUUCAUUCAGGAUAUAGACAACGCAGUUCUUCCUGAGCCUAUUUUAAUAAAACCACAAAAUCAGGAAAAGGUCUCUCUUUUCUCUGUUAUUUGCGUUCGAACAUUCAUUGAUUAUGCAUGUUGCUCAAGAUAGACAACUUUUCUAUUUUAAUUAAUUUGUACAAUCUCUUCUAUAUUUGUUUUUUCAAAAACUGAUUUUUAAUUUAUGUAUAAACUAAUUUUACUUUAAGAAUUUUUUUCUUCAUUUUUCCAUGUUUUUUUAUAUUAUAAGUGCUUUUGGAGAAAUUUUAUCGAAAACAUGUCCAAAUUUAUUAGCUUUCAUUUUGAAGUUUUCAUUUUUCCAUUUUGAAGUCUACUGUAUUUUUAGAUUACGCAAUGUGCAGUUUGUUGCAUGACUGAAUUUUCUGAUUGAAUUUUGUAAUUUCCACUAUUCCUUUCAUCGUGUAGAAGAUACGAAGUUAAACUUCAGAGCUGAAUAAACAUUUAGAAGUUCAUUAGUUGUUCGUCUUUGAAAUAUAAUAGGAGGAAGUUAAUGUUUCCUUAUUAUUAUCAUGUUUUACUUUCUCAGCAAUAUCCCUCUCCUAGUUUUAGGUACAGUGAUGAUGUGAUUUUCUUACUUUGCAUGUUGCUCCUGCAGAGACAACGGCGAAGGUGGUUUUUCUUUUGACAACAGGGACAAAGCUACUAUAAAUAUGCUCCAGCAUGCUUGUUUGUAGUCCUACUAUUUUUUUGGCAUGAUCUGUAACUAUGCAUAUUGUUGGAAGCCUGGAUUCAGUGUGUAUCAUGAAGCACACAUGUUGUGCCUCUGUUUUGGGCAUCAUUUUGUGGAGGAACCAAUUGUUUUUGACACAAGUAAUACAACUUGUGGAAAAAAGUCCAGAGAGACAUGCAAGAAGAAACAAAAACCUUUGCAGAUGUUACAUUUUGUUGUUGUGACAGACAUGUUCCGAAGAUACCAUAUUUGGGUUAAAUUCCUUUCAAUCCUGUCUUACUGAAAUUUCCUGUAAUCCAAUCCUUCAUGUUGUUUACUCUCAACUGUUCUGUUCACUGCUGAUAUAUUUGAUGAUUUUUACAUUCACCUACGCAUUACACACACUAACACGUAGAAUCAAAUAUCAAAAUCCACUAUUUGAUUCUUAUAGUGUCGCUAAUAAGUAAUUUUGAUCAUUCUAAAAAAUAAAUUACACAUUUGGUUAAAUUUUUUUUAAUUAAGUUAUUUUGAUCUGAUAUUGGUAUAUAAUUUGAUUUCUACGUAUUUUCAAUGCUAAUAAAUGCUACAAUUUAUUAUUAAACAUUAUUGUUAAUGUUCUAUGUAAACAAGUAAUUAGCAUUGUUAUAUAUUAAUAUUUUUAUUUGAAAUGUAAUAUCAAAUCAAUUGAAAUUAUAAUUGUUUAAUUUGAAAAUCAAAUAAUCAGAAGUACAGUUAAAUUUUUUGUAACUUCAAAUUGCUGUUUGCUUUCAUACACAUGCAUAUGCAGGCAUAAAUCUAUGUUGGAAAUUCAACUGUCUUUAUCAAGUUUUAAAUUUUAUGCCAAGAAAAAGUCAGUGGCGAUUUUUUUUCUUCUAAACACUGAGAUAGCUUAGGAUUUAAAGAUAAGUAUGAUUGACUCACUUUUCAAAAUCUUUUGUUUAGUAUUUACUUGUGUGUUUUGUUUUCAACUUAAUCUAAGACCAACCUUAAAGUUCAUAAAGUAAUAUUCAGAUAUUUCGUUUUACGCGUUUAAAUAUUUUUAUAGAAAAAUAUAUUAGAGAUAUUUUAUUUUUUAUAAAUUUUUAUUCUGUUUUUUUUUUCUGUAUUUUUUCAAGCAUCUUAUAUUUUGUCACCUUUUAUACAACUUUAAACGUCGAAUUGUCAUGUUUUAUUAAUUAUUAUUUAAUAUUUUGUGUUUUCAAAUUUCUAUUCAUUUAAGAAAUUGUGCUAAAAUAUUUCAAUUUAGUGGUAAAUAUUUCUUUUAAAAUUUUGUAACUCAUACUUUUACUUCAGUUUUUCAGUUAUUCUCUUCAUAAUUUUCAUAUUUUUUAUAUUCACUCUUUUACAACUUCAUUUCAUUUCAAUUAAGAUAUUUUCUGGGAGAAAGUAAUAUUAAAAGUAAGGUUUUAAAAUUAUUUAGAAGGUAUAUNNNNNNNNNNNNNNNNNNNNNNNNNNNNNNNNNNNNNNNNNNNNNNNNNNNNNNNNNNNNNNNNNNNNNNNNNNNNNNNNNNNNNNNNNNNNNNNNNNNNUAUAUAUAUAUGAGAUUUUUCAUUAUAAUCGUUUUUUGGUGUACACAAAUUUUUUCCAAUUCUAUCCUUAUUAAUAUAUCAUAUUUUAUUAAUACAAUGGAGUAUUUUGUCAUUUCAUAUGAAUUACUUAAAAUAUAAAAUUAUUUUUUAAUUUUUUAAAUUAAUAUUAAUGUACAGUUUGUAUAUGACUCUCUCACUCUUUUCUUAUUUCCUUGUUUUAAGGCAACAAAAAGAGUAUUCUCUCACACAUUUCUAUACAAAAUCUCACAUAUAAAAUAAAAGAACCUUCACUUUCAAUCACUCUCUGCACUCUAUUUUUUUUUUAAAUUUCGACUCACCCUAAAUUAUUUCUGUAUGUAUGUUACAUUUCUAUCAUCUUAAAAAAAUUAAGUAAAAGAAAAAAAUAUGGAUAUACAAACGCCAUUGCGUCUUUGUUUCCACUAAUAUUAAUAAUAAUGUGCGUUAUAUUAGAUAGUUUUUUUGUUACAUAAUAGUAUAUAAUUUUAUUUUAUAUUAUUUUUAAUAAUAAUGUAAAUUAAAUUUAUUCAAAAAUAUAAUAAAUUGUUAAUAUUUGUCCUAUAAAUAUUUAUAUCUGGUAAUAUGUAAAAGUAGUGUGUAGUUGUAUGAUAUAUUUUGUAAUAUUUAUAUUUAUUAAUUGAUAUGUAUAAUUUUAUAUUUAUAUUAUAAAAAGAAGAUCCUAAGAACUUGAGUAGUGUGUUCACAUGCUUCAUCUGCAUUUCCACUCUUACUUUCCAAAUAGCCAACUCGUGACACACCUCACUUUCACACCAAAUAGCUUACACCUACUUUAAAAAUUUACCUUGUCAUUUCACAUAACCAAAUAGCUUAUUAAUUGUUAGACAUCUUAUGUUAGAUUAGACACCCUAUUUUAUUUAUUAAAAUUUUUAUUCUCUAGAUACAUUUAAUUUAGAGUAUAGAAUUUUCAUCAAUCAAAUUUUAACUAAAUGAUUUAUGGAAGAAUGAGUUACACUUAUACUUUUUUAUAUUUUUUUUAGUAAUUCAUAAUCUAUCAUAUUUGAGAUUUGAGUUUGUUUAAAUUUUUUUGUUAUGUUAUUGGUAUGAACAUAAUGAGUUAGAUUUAUAUUUUUUUAGCAAUUCAUAAUCUAUUAUAUUUGAGAUUUGAGUUUGUUUAAAUUUAUUUGUUAUGUUAUUGGUACGAACAUACAAUGUUCGCAGCAUAAGAUUUUACAUCAACUAAAAAUAAGAUCAACGUAGUAUAGACAAAUUUCAUCUUACAAGAUAAAUUAGACUUUUAAUUUUAAUAAAUUUUAUAUUAAAUAAUUAUAAACCGUCCAAAUUUCAUUGUAUUAUAUUAGGGGUAUUAAGUUUGUGUUUUAUCCAUAUAUUCAUGUAUGCAAGAGGAGUUCGUUUUUAUAUUCUCUACUUUGUUUUAUUUAUAAUUUUUUUACUUCAAAUAAUUUAUAAUCUAAUUAUUCAAAUGUUUGUUUUAUUUAUAAAUUUGUUACUUCAAAUAAUUUAUAAUUUAAUUAUUCAAAUAUCUGUAACUUACAAAAUUUGUAUUUUCAUUACUGAUAACUUUAUUAUUUAGAAAGUUUCCUAUUUAUUUAUUAUUUUAAAAUUAUUUUUUAACAAAUGAACUAAAUCAAAUAGUAAUAAUUGAGAUUCCUUAAACAUUGAAGUAAGUGUGAUAUUUAGUGUCAUUAUUAUGUUAUUCCCUUGAUAUAUAUCUAGAGUACUUACUUGAUCGUCGGAGAACCUUUUGCAGGUUUACUCCUGAUCGAGCGCUAAGGAACUGAGGAACUGAAGAGUUGAUAUCUGAAGAAGGGAAAAAGAUGAAUAACCGAAGCACGAGAGAGGACGACCGAAGGAACAAUUACUUGAAGAGCGACCAACACCAACAACAAUUGUCAUGCCAAUCUCAGGUACUAUUUAGGCCCACUUUGUCUAUACAAGUACAUUUGACACCCAACGUUGGACCUAAAUAGAGUCAAAGCAAACAACAAUGGUUUCGACAAGGUAGAUGAUGAACAAUAGGAUGCUAGAAGUGGAUCAGAUCGCUAUUUUCCAGGCUCUACAGAAAGAGGUGGAAUAAAUAUGCUAAAAGAACAAAGACGAGGUUACCCUUCGUCGAAAGAAUGAGGAGGAGAUGUGAAUCCUUAAGGAACAACAUGAACAGAUGAAGCGACAGCCAGUUGAGCCCAUAUUUGGAGCCGAGCGUAGGUAGCGUAGACAAACUCCUCCUCAAAGGAGUGAACACACACAAAAUCACGAGAGAACGACUACUACUCGAACUCAGACUUAUCAAUCUUCUAGACCGCAUACAGAAUGAACAAUCAUCAUAGAAGACGAGUACGAAGAUACCACAAAUCCGGACGAACACAUUGAUGUAUACAAAAUGCAGAUGGACCUCUACACAUCAAACAAGUUGGUGUGGUGUUGGGUAUUCCCCACUUCGCUGAAGGGGGAAACAUUCAUUUGGUUCACCAGGCUUCCAUUCGACUCAGUAGAUAGCUUCAAAACCUUAUUAUCUAAACUCGGUACUCAGUUUGCAAUUAGCCGACCGCAUCAUCUGACAUUUAUAGCACUUGUCAACAUACAACAAGAGAAAGGAAAAUCACUUAGGACAUUCAUGGAGAGAUUUAGCAAAUUAUCCAUGAACAUCAGGAAUGUCAGCCUAGAAGUGGCCAUCAUUUGGCACGACCCUUAGGUCAAGCCUGUUUGCUGAUAGUCUAUGUAAAAAACCAACAAAAAACUUAGAUGAAUGGAGGCAAUGACUGGCUAAAUUUAUGCAAUUAGAAGAAUUGCGUGACAAUUGCAGUAAUGUUCGAGCGAAAAAUGGAGGAGAUAAAGGAAAAGAGAAGGAUCGUGGUGGUAGGCAAGGGCAUAGUAGAUCGAACAGGUACAAAGAACAUCGAGGUCCUCAAUUUCACACUUAUACCCCUUUAAAUGUCGAUAGGGGAACAAUCAUAGAUGAGACACUAAACGUCAAUCUCAUCUCGACAUUUUGAAAGCUGCAAAGCCCGAAGGAUGCGACACAUCUAAACAAUGUUGAUACCACCACAACUUUGGCCACAUGGUCGAAGAGUUCCAAGCAUUGAAAGAAAAAAAAUGAGGAACUUAUUCAAGCUGGGCACUUCCACAAGUUCGUUUAAGGCGCAAACAGGAGUUCCUAUAAAUCCCCCCAAAGGGAGAAAUAUCAUCGAAGGGAUGGGCGAAGGACUAUGGCUGCUAAGGUACUUAGAGCAAAAUACUAUUGGCCGACCAUUCAGAGCGACUAUGCCGAGUUCAUGCAAAAAUGUUUGAAAUUCCAAGAGUAUGACACAUUAUGUCAAGAGUAUGUCCACUAACGAUUAAUGAAUAUUUAAUAGAAAAACUUUUCUUUGACAUUCUAAAUAAUGAAAAACAAACACUUGACAACUUGUUAUAAUAAUAUAAUAAUAUUUUAAAUUAAAAAAUAAAAUAAAAAUAAUAAAAAUAUUAAUUUAUUAGGAUGUUAAGUGUAUGUUUUCAGUGUAGAUAGUGUCAAUAUAUUAUCUUCCUAUAUAAUAACUACAUAUCUAAUAAAUAUCUAUAUUUUAGGUAUUGAGUAGUACAUAUGUACCUUCCUAAAGAAGGAAUGAAUAAAUACGAGAUUAUAAAGAAGAGUGACAAAAGAGAAUAAGGAGAAAGAAUGAUCUACCUUAGGAUCUCCAUUCUUCUUGCCUUGAACAACACAUUGUGAGGUGGAAGUAAUGUAUCUUUUAAGACUUUAAGUGAAUGAAUCUGAUGGUAUAUAUAGAAGUGUGGUGUCAUAGGUCAAGUCUGAUUAUAAGCCUCUAAGACUCGAUGCAUGAGACUAGGAGGAUAUGUGGUAUCAUAGGUAGGGACGAUUUUGACGGGAUAGGAGUCAAUCUCAGAAAAAUAUCUAAUUGGAGAUUAAAUAUUUAAUAGAGAAAUCUUAUUAAUAUCUCCUCCACAUUCAAGAUAAUUUUAAUGCAAAAUUAAAGCAUUAUAAAGAUAAAAUUGACAUUUAGUGAAUAAAAACUAAAGACAAAACCAAAAAAAAAGGAGAUAAAAGGAAAUAUACAAAUAACAAAAACUUAAUUAAAAAAUUCCUAUAUUUCUUAUUUAAACUAAAUACUCUAGUUAAUAUUCAUAUUUUUUGGUAGAAGAAAUUUAUAGAAUCAUAUAUACAAAACAACUGGUGUUCUUGGCCAUAAGGUACUGUUUGAUGUAACAAUUUGAUCGAGCAAAAAACAGGCGAUUUUAUUUGACUAAGCUGCAAUUCAAAGAAAACAGUUAAGUUUUUAUCCGUGGGAGAAAACAGUUGAGUGGUUUUGUUUGGUAUUUACUUCCAGCUUCUCCAUUCAAUUUAGACUUGCAAUUCGUGAAUUUUAAAAUUGAUUGAUUAUUGAAUUGCAGAAUGAAGUAAAUGAAAUUUUGGUUGGGUAAUUUGUUGAUUGAUGAAAUGAUUGCAAUUGAAGAAAUUGACUGUGCGUGAUGGAAUAAAGCCUAUUUGCUAUCUCAUAGUAAUUGUGUGUGAUUUGCUUUUAAUUUCUAAAACAAUUUCUGGUGGGCUUGCAAUUGAAAUUGAUAAUUCCAAUGGGGCCCACCAUAUUGGUGAAAGCUUCAGACAUGCUAUUUGUUUAUUAAAGAAGCAGCAGAUUUGUGAAUUGGUAUGAAUUUUGGUUCCAAAUUGCAUUCAAGUAGGACCCCCCAUUUUUUAACCCUUCUAUCACAUGCACUACCCUAUUCAAUUACAAUGACAAAUUUAAUUCUUCAAUUCAAUUUCCUCAAAAAUAUUUUUCAAAUUGAGUUCAUUUGACUCAAAUGAUACUUCUGAUUUUUGGUGCAAUAAUUGUGCAAUUGAAGACCAACAUUGUAUAGGUGCAUGAUUGGUUUUUGAUUUUAACUUUUGCCCUAAACCUUACUUUCCUUUAUUGUGAAAAAUCUUUUAAUACAAAACUUAUGUCUAUGCAUAUACUUCUUACCAUACAUUAAAUAACUUAGGUUCUUUAAAAAAAUGUUUAAAACCUUUGGAUACUAAAUUGUGUAAAAGGAAAGAAUUUUUUUUAAAAAAAAGAGAUGUUAAACUUGUGAUUCUUGAUGAGAAACGUAGAAUCUUAACUACAGAAGAGGAGAAAAUAGAAAAAAGAAUUAAAAAAUAGAAAAAAAUCACAAAAUAGUAGAAACAAUUCUACUAUUCCAAAAGUUACAUUAGGGGAUAUUGAGGUCAAAUAGUGUAUCUUAGUAUGAAUUAACAUUAUUAACCUCCCCUAUAAUGUAUUUUGUUUUUAAAAAAAAAGUAUAGUUUAAGUAUUUCCUAUAUGCUGAUGCUGCCCAUAUUUGUUCUAAUGAAUUUUUUCUUGAGCAAAAUUUCCGGAUCAACCUAGUAUAUAACAAGAAAAUAAUUUUCAAAAUUCUUAUUUAACUUAUUCUCUUAUUGUGGAUAGUAAAUCAUGCUACAAUCUGUGUAGUACUUAGUUAGAUCAAAUGUUGAACUUAACUAUCAAUUCUCAUCCUAAAUUUUAUAAACUUCCUUGAAUUUUUAAAGAUGAAAAUAUAAUAGUCAAGCAACAAGUCAAAUAAAAGCUUUUCAAAGGCGAGAAAAAAGUUUUGUGAUUUAGUACCAAUUGAUGCUUGUGAUAUUUUGUUAGAACAACCUUGCAUAUUUUAUCAUAAAAUCAUUUAUGAAGAUCGUACUAAUAAAAUAACUUUCACUCAUAAGAAAAAUAAGUCAUGUAUUGAGUUGCUAACUGAGAGAAAUUCUAAGAAAUAUGGCAAUCACAUAGGACAAAAAAAAUUACUUCUAAAAUCAUGAACUUUUGUCUCUAAUUUGAUAAGAAGUACAUGAAUUUUAGAAGUCAUAAUUUUCUCUAUUAUGUCUUGAAGAACCUUAUUCUUCUUGACCUUUCUGUAUAUCUUUCACUUUCUGUUUGGUGUUCAUUGUAGGUGGGUGUCUGAUCUUGGGGGAAAAACGUUAACCUCAAAUAAUAAUAAGGUUGUUAUCUUGAAACAACGAUGCACAUUUGAGAACAAAUAUUCUUAAGAGGGGGAUGGUGAAAAACCAUCAAGUCACAACAUCCACAAAAUAAGGAAGAUGAAGACCUAGAGUUUUGUUCAAUAACUUAUUUAAACGUUUGAGCCUAAUUGAAAUUUUAUCUAUCUUUUAUAGACCUAAUAAAGAGGAAAAAUCUAGGAUAAUCCGCUAGCUUCUUUCUUGUUCCUUAUUGCGGCUAAAGGUUUGGCGGGAGUGGCUAGGAUGGCAGUUGAGAAGAAUUUGAUUGAUAUCUUGGAGAUUGGAGGGAAAAAAAAGUGAAGGUAAACAUGUUGCAAUAUGCCGACGAUACCAUAUUCUUUUGCAAAAAGAAUAAUAAAAGUGUCUUCAAUAUAAAGUGGCUUUGAAUUGUUUUGAACUUUCUUUUGGCCUUGAGGUGAACUUCUUGAAGAACUGGUGGCUUGGGGGUUGAUCAGAUAACGAUCCAACGUUUUGCAGGAAUUCUCAAUUGUGAAGUGAUGGUAAUUCCUUUUGUAUACCUGGGUAUGUAGGUAGGGGGUGUCAUAAGAGACAGACGUUUUGGGUAGGGGUGGUUGACAAACUGAAGAGUAGAUUAAGCAGGUGGAAAGGUAAGUUCUUGUCAAUGGCAGGGAGGAUCUGUCUGAUUAAGUCAGUACUUUCCUCUAUUCCGUUGUUUUAUUUGUAUUUAUUCAAAAUGCUCUCUUUGGUGGCAAAUGAGAUAGUGAGAAUACAAAGGAUUUUUUUUAUGGGUCUGGGCUUCUUGGAAAAAGGUGUGCGAACUACGCAAGGCCGGUGGUCUUGGUAUCCUUGACUUAAGGGUCUUUAAUUCGGUGUUGCUCAAUAAAUGGAUUUGGCGAUUGGGAUCAGAUAAGGGUGGUUUGUGGAAGGAGAUUCUUGAAUCUAAGUACGGGGGUGGAGAGUUUUGAGAGAGGGAGGGAAAAAUAAUAAGGACUAUCUUUGGUGGAGAGAUUUGAAGGAAGUCUGGAGUUUGGAGGGCUGGGGCCAAAAUUUUGAAGAUGCUAUUAAGUGGAAGUUUGGUACAGGGAAGGAAAUUUUUUUUGGGAAGACAAUUGGGUGGGCAGUGGAGCCCUAAAGAGCAUUUCCCCGAGGUUGUUUUACUUGAGCUUGUCAAAAGCCUCUAAGGUGGUCGAGCUUGGGGUGUGGAAUAGCGGGAUAUGGGAUUGGACAUUCGCUUGGAGAAUGAGUCUUUUUGAAUGGGAAAAGCAAAUGGAGCGUCAGUUUUCCCAGGUAGUCUAAGGUGUGUGUUUUGACUUGGAAAAGGAGGAUAACUGGGUUUGGAAGGAUGGAGAGGCGUUAUCAUAUACGGUUAAAUAUGCUUAUAAUCGUUUAAGGGGGGUGGAGAAGGGGAGAAUGUCACCGUGUUUAAAUAACUUUGGAGGUGUAAAGCUAUGCCUUUUGCACUUGUUACUACAUGGAGGGUGUUGGAAAAUAAGCUAGCCACUAGGGUUAACCUGGAAAAGCGCGGGGUUGCGGUCGAAGCCCUCUGUGUAGUCUUUGUAGGAUGGAGGAGGAGUCAAAUAGCCAUUUGUUCUUCAAGUGCAGCUUUGCUUGGCUAGUGUGCAAACGUUGUUUUGCAUGGCUUGGAGUGCAAUUUGUGUCCCAUAAUGAUCCACUACUAAAUUUCUCUCAGUUUAGGUUGUGUAAUGCGUCUGCUUCGGUAAAUGAGGUAUGGGGAGUGAUAUGGACUACAAUAAGCGAGUUAAGGAAGCAUAAAAAUGGCAUAAUCUUUAAAGGAGGAGUUGUCGAUGGUUUAGAAGUGGUUGCCUUGGUUCAAGUGAAUGCUUGGUCUUUGAUUACGUCCAAGUCUCUCUCUGGAUUCUUCUCUUUUUCUGAUUGGUGUCUCGAACCUCUGGUCUGUAUGAGGAUGAUUUUUUGAUAUAUUAUUGAGUUCAGGUGCUUGUUUUUAGGGGGUUUGAUUUUUUAGUAAAUUCAGGGGUGUUUUUUUAUUCAUAGGAGUGUUUUUUUCGAUAGGAGUGAAGUGAGUCUAUUUUUUUUUGUAUAAGAGUUGGACUAUCCCUGAAGUGGUUCACAUUUAUUCAUUUUUUAUUGUCAAUAAAAAAACUCUAUUUCUCUUCAAUCUAUGAAACUGCUCUUGAGUUUUAAGGAUUCCUCAAUUCUCAUUCAUCAUCCAUCAAAAAAGAAAUCAUAAAGAAGACUACUAGAAGAAUAUUGUUUUCCAUAAAAAUAGAAUUUAAAAAAUGAUAAAAUUAAAUAAUUAAAUAAUUAAGAUUCUAAUUUAUAUGUUUUGUAUAACUUAAUUUUAAUUUUAAUUUCAAAAAUUAUAUCUACUAAACAAAAAUGGAUCUCAACGUGAUAUUUAUAAAUAAUUAAAUAAUUAUGAUUCUAAUUUAUAUAUUUAAUAUAAUUAAAAAAAUUAGAAAAUCUGAUCUUACACUUAUAAUUGUUUUUUAAUGAUGAAAUGCAUUGGAAUCACGUUUAAUAAAUCUGUUCUCUAUCAAUGAUUAAAAGAAUUUAUUAUUGUACUUGCUAAAUUUGUAAUUAUUCAAUAUAAAAUUUGGUUAAUCAGACCAUUUCAUAUGUUCUUUACUUGUACAUAUUCAAGAGAAUAUCAAUUUUAUUAGUUUUUAUUUUACAUAUAUUAUUGAUAAUUUGUUUUAAAUUAUUUUUCUAGUUUAUUUAUUUAUAAUUUUUUAUUUCAAGUAUUUUAUAAUUUCGUGACUGGCAGAAUUUGAUUUUUUUUCUGAAGAACUUUGGUAGUCAGAAAUGUUGACAAUUGACCUAUUGGAGAUAAAAUUGAAAGAGAAAAACUCAGUUAAGAAAAGAUAUAUUAGUUUAUGAAAAAGUGUACAAUUUGCUGAUAGAGAUAUCUCCAAAUUUAUAGCCAAACAUUGUAUAAAAAUUAUUGAAAUGAAUGCAAUUUCUUUUUGACAAAAGUAUUAAUCUAAAAAAAAUUAUAUUCUACACUUGAUAUGCAAUUUGUUAUCUUCUAAUUGGAUAUUAUUCUUGACCAUAUCAUUGCUCCAAUUUUCAUUCACAUAUAUCUUGAACUAUGGUUUAUUUUAUGUCACAUCACAAUGUAUGGUGUAACAUCAUUUUCCAUGGAGAAAAGCUUUUGGUUGAAUGUUCUUUGAAUCAACCAUACAAAAACAAUGUACCUUUCACCCCAAUUUUCCAAUUCACACUCCAAUGCCUUUGCCGACGCAGCUUCUUCCUUUUUCCAAAAUUUCUCAUCAAGUUUAUUCCAUUAUUAUAAUCUUAAAUUUGUACAAUGAAAGCUUCCAAAUUUGAAAAAAAACAUUACCCUGAAAUGAUGGCAGACAACAAGUCAAUAGGUCAUUAAAGGAAAAAGAAGACCAAAAGAAGUUCAAUUUAAUGCAUGGAAGAGUGUUGUAGUUUUUUUAUAUCCAUGUUUGAAGAAAUAAAUGUCUUGGUUGGUUGGUAGAUGCUAUGUAAUUACUUCUUCCAUAAGUGUGCUAUUUUAAAAUUAUUUUUUGAUUUUAUUUUCUACUCACUUCUUUUCUAUAUGUAAUUGUUGUUUAAUUCUGUUUUACUUAAACCAAAAAACAUUUAAUUCGGCUAUUUUCAAUAUAAUUUUAAUUAAGUUGUCUAUUAGUAUUUUCUCUUCAAAUAAUUUUCGUGCACAAUAAAAAUAGAAAUAUGAUUGAAUAAAAGUUGUAAUAUCUUGAAAUUUUAAAAUAAAAGAUAAAAUAAUAAUGUCUAUUUCAAAAUAUAUAAACAUAGAGAAUAUUUAACUGUUUUACAUAUUUGAGGUAAAAAUUAAAAGUGAAAAAUGAAAAGUACUAUAAAUAUUUUAGUAAUAUCAAUAAAAUUAUUUUGUUUUUAUUUUUUAUAAAGAGAAUUAAAGGAGACUUAAAAAAUAGAUGAAGAUCGUAGAAAAAUAGACUUAAUUGUUGCUAUUUGUUCAUGUGAAAAAGUAUUUCAUCCAUUCACUUUCAUAUAGGCUUUUUAAGGAAUCUAUGAACCAAUUUUAGAGUGGUUUAACUUAUAUUUAAAAAUAUAAGUUAAAGCUAAAUUAUUUAGUUAUUCAAAGUUAAAAUUUAUAAUUUUUUUAAUUUUUAUAUAAUUUUUUAAGUUUAUGAAACUUCUUUUUCUUGAAAAGGUUUGGUUAGUUAGGAGGAAUGACUUGUUAAACCUUUCUAUCAUAUUAUAAUUUGAUUUAAAGUAAGUUUCUUUUUUAUAUCUCUAAGACUAUUGUUCUUGCUGUUUGACCUGGUUGUCGGUUGACUUUGGGAACAGGUUGUAAUUCCGUCUACUUCUGCUGGAUUUUGCCCUUUUUCUGGGAUGUUGGAACACGUCUCUGUUUGAAACAGAGGGGACCUAUUGAUUGCACUCUGACGAUCAAGUCAGUACUGGGCUAAGAAAUAAUGAGUAAGUAAGCAAGUAGUUUCAGUCUUAGAAACGGUGUACCUUUACCAGGGAUCUCGAGUCCCUUUUAUAUACUACUUUUAGGUUACUUCAUUGUAACACCCCUUCUCUCACGAGAACAUUAUCUCGAGUGAAAGUAGGUUUGAUGGGGACAAUCUGUUACAAUGUCGCACAAUCUCAGUGCAACAAUCGCACAAAAUUUUCCUCCUUGGAGUGCAUAAUCUUAACAGCAUGGCCGCCAAGGUACCAACUCAUGUACCAGCAUCAUGGGGCCCAUAUGUUACUGUAGGCGCUCUAGGCUUUACGUAUCAUGCAUGCAGCUUAUCCCUGAAAAUCCUAACGCUCUUGGGCCUAGGCAUCUUUAGGGGAUAUUUACUUAUGCUAGACCCAAAUGUAUUAUACACACCACAUGAACUUUCUCGCUGAUCAGGCCUUAUAUAUACGGGUUUCAACACACGCAUUCCUGGGCCCACUUACGUGGCCAUUAACUUGUCCAGACCAUCGAGCGGACCUGCUUCACACAGGUGUCGAUGUCCGAUCACCUGAGCACUAAGCUCGACGCUCUGGUCCUAUACACAAGCCCCCCAGGCUCGAGCUGGAACUUGUUCCAGUGAAGAGGCUAACUAUUCUCCUAUGGCGACCUACGUGUCUUGUGAAUGAGGUGACGUUUCACCAUACUUCCUCACAAGCGCACACAUGGCCAUCAUCAACGGUUGGAAAGCGUUGCCGCUUGCGCUUCCCCUAUACGUUAACCUUUAGAUUUUUGCGCUUCUCUUUGAACACUCUUCUUUGAACACCCUGUUCUCUCCUCUCCAAAUAAGCCUCCUCGCCUCCUUUCAUCAAUCAUCUCAAGGUGCACUUUUUAUCUUGUGACUGAUUUUGGUAUGUCGUUUCAAUGCCUUUAAUAUGCUCAUAACUGCGUUGGGACUGUUUGUAUUUCUCCUAUCUAUGACCGUAAAUACCUCUAUUUUUCUGCUUCCUUGCUUCUUGUAAGAAUUGAUGGCUUAAACAAGAGGGGGGAUGAAUUAUUUUAUGAAAGUUUUUCGCAAAGAGUUGAUUUAGAAUGAAUCUUUAUCAAACAAUCCAGAUAAGAAAUUAAGGAAAGCAAUCAAACAAUCCAACAAAAAUAGUUAUCAGAAUUUUAACCGGUUAAACCUUCGUUUUAAUCGGUUGUUUAUACUAGCAACAAAAAUGAAAUUAUCAAACAGUUGUAGAGAGUUUGAGAGAAAGAGAGAUUUACACAAUAGGUCUAUACUGGUUCACUCAUACUUGAGCUACAUCUAGUUCUCAGAAGAACCUCUGAGUUCCACUAAUAACCAAUACCAAAUUACAACACACACAAAUAGGUAACCUUGCAACCCACAAGAUUCACUCACCCUCUUUGAAAUACCAAACACCUUAAGACAGAACAACCUUUGCCUUUACAGGAUUUCAAACACACACAACAGGUAAAAGAAGUACUAUUACAAGUAUCUAGACAAGGAUAGAAAACACAUGGAUUUGCACAAUACAUGAAACUCCUAUGAUCAGAACUUGUUACCACAACAAAGCAUGAACAACAAUCUUGCACUAUGAAAACCUCCUUUAAAAAACAAAUCUUUUUCUUUGAUCUCAAAUUUGUAUCAAUACUUGUUGUAUUUGAUUGUGUAUUUUGCUUUGAAAGAAGGGCUAUAUUUAUAGCUCUUGAAAUGUAGCCGUUUAAGGCAGAUUUAAUCAGCUGAAUCAGUUAAAACAAGUUUUCAAAAAUUUGUUAUGAAAACACACAUUUAACCGGUUGAAACCACGAUUUAACCGGUUGAAACCACGAUUUAAUCGGUUGAAACCACGAUUUAACCGGUUGAAUGAGUUAAGCAGUUUCAUAACUAAUUCAAAAAGCAGUUUCAAAAACCUCAAGCUAGCUAAGUGACAAACAACUGAUUAUCUCGAUGAUUCAACUGAUGGUUUUCCCUUUGCUUGGAAAAACAUUUUGUUUCUUUUAUAACUGAUUGGUCAAGCUUGUGCAAGGAUUAAGAUUUGAACUUUUACAAAGAUUCUAAACAAUCUAAUCUAAACCCAAACCAAAAGUAGCACAACUUUAGGCUUCAUGUGGAUUUGACACAUCAAAGCUCCCAUGUUCAACACUUCUUUCUUCAAAACACAUGCACUUCUUCCUCUGGGUAUUGCAUUUGUUUUCUUUCUUUGUUUUAGAUUCCCUGUAAGAUGGAUUACAAAACCCUAUACCCCUGGGCUCCUAGUAACCUUUUAGAGAAAACCUCUGAGUUCACCACUCAUGUGAAAAUAGUAUUGUAUAGGAAGAGCGAGCACCCUAAAAAGAAUUUUCUUUUUGGCAAAGAGCACGACAAGUUUGUAAGGUUGUGCCUUGUAGGGUAGAUGAACCUAUUUGCUGUGAUGAGUCAUCGGACCCAGAGGGCCCAUUCUGCUUCAUCUACUCUACUGUUUUCAAAAAUAUUCUUCUUCGCCUUCCCUUUAACAAUUUUAAAAGAGCCCUUCUCACCGAAAUCAACAUCGCCCUAGUCCAGCUACACCCAAAUAGUUGGGCGUUUGUUCGGGGAUUUUCCAUCUUGUGCCACCACUUUGGCCAUCUGCCAUCAGUGGAUGUGUUCCUAUACUUCUUUGAAGCCAAGCGACCAAGUCAGAAGUUGUGGGUGAGUUUCAACAGGGUUGCUGGGAGAGUUUUGUUUGUUGGGUUUAAUAGUGUCAAAGUUCAAGAGGGGGGAUGAAUUGACCUUUUAAAAGCUUCUCGCAAAAACAGUAUUUAACACAGUUUACAGAAAAUAAAUCGAUUUAUAUGGAAAUGAGCAGAUUUAUUUUAGCACUGUUUGUGUGUUUGAAAAGAGUUUAUGCAGCAAGGUUAAUCACAAGAUCUGCAGAUAUAUUUUUCAGAUGCUCACACACUGAUAUUAGAACGAAAAACAGUGAAUCACCAAAACAACAACCUUCAAUUUCAAGCAAGUGAUUAAGGUUCACUUAAUGGCUUGACAGUUUAUUGAGUGAUCUAUUACAAUCAACCUGUUCUAAUGGCUUUUAACAGAUUAUAAGUGUUCUUAUUGAAAUCAACCAGUUUUCCAGAAAUUAAGAACAAUAUGAACCGUGUCCAGACAGAACAGAUUUAUUUUUAAUUGAACCGAUUUAUUUCUUUGCUGUUUUAUCAAUUAUGCAAAAACUUAAUUGCAGAGAUUGAGAGAGAAUGAACACAAGGCAGUUAUACUGGUUCACUCAACUGAGCUACAUCCAGUCUUCACCCAAACCAAGGUGAAAUUCACUAAAUCACAAUACAAACAAACACAAUUCCUACUGUUCUUGAAACCUACAAGAACUUAGGUACUCUUGCUGAAAAAACCUAUUUCAGCUCACACACACUCUUCAAGAAAACCUAUCAAGAAGAGUGUUCAACCAAACUAUUACAGGAAAUGAAAAGUGAAACGACUACACCUGAUUGANNNNNNNNNNNNNNNNNNNNNNNNNNNNNNNNNNNNNNNNNNNNNNNNNNNNNNNNNNNNNNNNNNNNNNNNNNNNNNNNNNNNNNNNNNNNNNNNNNNNAGGCAAGAUUGCUAGAACAGUAGCAACACCUCACACCAAGCUUUUGGAACCAAACCAAGAACAAGCACUUUGUGAUUUUCGAAAUCUUUGAAGAACAAAUGCUAAUUCUUUGUAAACUUUUAAUUCUCUGCUGUAAAACUUGUUUUUACAAAUGUAUGAACGAUGAUUAAACUCAGAAACAAGUUUUCAUUUUAUAGAAAACUAACUUAUAACAGAAUUUUGAAAAACAGUUAAAGCUGUUAUAAAAUGAACAGAUUUAUUUUCAAAAGCAGUUAGAAAAUUUGUUAAGUGAGGAGACUUAGUCAACCAUUCUGGUGCAGAGAUAAAACUGAAAAACGUUUAAGCUAGAUAUGGCACCAGAGACAAAAUGAACCUAUUCAUUUACAGAUGAACAGAUUUAUUUUUCAAAACGAAAACAGAAAAGCNNNNNNNNNNNNNNNNNNNNNNNNNNNNNNNNNNNNNNNNNNNNNNNNNNNNNNNNNNNNNNNNNNNNNNNNNNNNNNNNNNNNNNNNNNNNNNNNNNNNNNNNNNNNNNNNNNNNNNNNNNNNNNNNNNNNNNNNNNNNNNNNNNNNNNNNNNNNNNNNNNNNNNNNNNNNNNNNNNNNNNNNNNNNNNNNNNNNNNNNNNNNNNNNNACAUGGCCAGUGGUUAUGAGGUGAGUUACUCAGCAAAAAGCCCACUCUUAAACAACCUCUAAGCACUACCUAAGACACACUUAAAGCAAAGCAAAAAUACACAUGAAAUGUACAUAAAAGUCUUCAUCAAACACAAUCUUGAAGGGGCAGCAACCAUCUUCAACAAUCUCCCCCUGUUUGAUGGAGACAAAUCCCCAUAGCUCUUGUUGCUUUAAGAACCUGCACUGCACCACAGAUUAAACCAGAAAAACAGAACAUUGCAUAACAUGUAAAAUGGUUUAAAGGUGCAGAAUUUAACUCCCUGUUUUAGCUAGCUUCACCUAGCAUGGUGAGCUAUUUUUCUCCCCCUUUGGAUUCAUCAAACAGCAUGUAAUCCUAGAGAAAAAAACCAGAAGCAUAACCAUAAUAGUCCAAAAGAUAAAGACAAAUUGUUCAUCAUUACAAACUUUUAAACUAAUAAAGAAAGCAUGAAAAACAGAAGACUACUGAUCCUUGUUGUAAAGCUCUGCAAGUUGUGCCUGAACCCUUCAAUCUGAUCAUCAAGGUGUUGAAACCUUGCUUGAGUAGUUUCAAAGUAUGCCCUUUAUUCUGUAGUCAUUACAUCAAGGCGAUACAACACUUGCCUUUCAAACAUAGACAUUGGUUCUCCUCGGUAUUUUGGAGAUUGAUAGGCAACUAUGGCAUUUGCAGCAACUCCCUCAUGCACAGAUUGGGUGGCAGGUGAGUCAUCCUCCAUGGGAAUAGCUUCAUCCUCAUCCUCAUUGUGGAGGUUUGAUGCUUCAUGUUCUGCUUGAGGGUCCUUUCCUUUAAGAACCACCCACUUGUCCUCAAUUUUGUGAAAUCCCAUUUUGGUGAGAGUUGAAUUAUCAAUCUCACUUACAGCUUUGAUAGGGUCGUUUCUCUCAUUUGUAACAUCAACACCAAAGUAAUCAAUCAAUUUGGAAACAAGAAUAGCAUAGGGAAAGCGGUAAUCAGCCAACCUUUUUUAUUUGAGCAUGUGUUCAUUGAUAAUGAAAACCCAAUUUACCUUAAUCUGGUUCAUGAUGCAAUAUAGAAGAAUUAGAUCCUCUUCAUGUAAAACUGCAUGGUUUGUACCUCUUGGGAUAAGUUGCCAUGCUAUGAUGUAGGCAACAAGGCGUGGAGUGAGGUUCAAAUGCCCUGCACGGAACCUGCUUAUACUCUCUGUAGAAUUCCUCAUGCAGCUUUUAUAGUAUUGCAGCUUGUUGAAUUCUNNNNNNNNNNNNNNNNNNNNNNNNNNNNNNNNNNNNNNNNNNNNNNNNNNNNNNNNNNNNNNNNNNNNNNNNNNNNNNNNNNNNNNNNNNNNNNNNNNNNNNNNNNNNNNNNNNNNNNNNNNNNNNNNNNNNNNNNNNNNNNNNNNNNNNNNNNNNNNNNNNNNNNNNNNNNNNNNNNNNNNNNNNNNNNNNNNNNNNNNNNNNNNNNNNNNNNNNNNNNNNNNNNNNNNNNNNNNNNNNNNNNNNNNNNNNNNNNNNNNNNNNNNNNNNNNNNNNNNNNNNNNNNNNNNNNNNNNNNNNNNNNNNNNNNNNNNNNNNNNNNNNNNNNNNNNNNNNNNNNNNNNNNNNNNNNNNNNNNNNNNNNNNNNNNNNNNNNNNNNNNNNNNNNNNNNNNNNNNNNNNNNNNNNNNNNNNNNNNNNNNNNNNNNNNNNNNNNNNNNNNNNNNNNNNNNNNNNNNNNNNNNNNNNNNNNNNNNNNNNNNNNNNNNNNNNNNNNNNNNNNNNNNNNNNNNNNNNNNNNNNNNNNNNNNNNNNNNNNNNNNNNNNNNNNNNNNNNNNNNNNNNNNNNNNNNNNNNNNNNNNNNNNNNNNNNNNNNNNNNNNNNNNNNNNNNNNNNNNNNNNNNNNNNNNNNNNNNNNNNNNNNNNNNNNNNNNNNNNNNNNNNNNNNNNNNNNNNNNNNNNNNNNNNNNNNNNNNNNNNNNNNNNNNNNNNNNNNNNNNNNNNNNNNNNNNNNNNNNNNNNNNNNNNNNNNNNNNNNNNNNNNNNNNNNNNNNNNNNNNNNNNNNNNNNNNNNNNNNNNNNNNNNNNNNNNNNNNNNNNNNNNNNNNNNNNNNNNNNNNNNNNNNNNNNNNNNNNNNNNNNNNNNNNNNNNNNNNNNNNNNNNNNNNNNNNNNNNNNNNNNNNNNNNNNNNNNNNNNNNNNNNNNNNNNNNNNNNNNNNNNNNNNNNNNNNNNNNNNNNNNNNNNNNNNNNNNNNNNNNNNNNNNNNNNNNNNNNNNNNNNNNNNNNNNNNNNNNNNNNNNNNNNNNNNNNNNNNNNNNNNNNNNNNNNNNNNNNNNNAGCAGAGGUAUAUGGUUAAGUAAGAUACCAAAAUCAUUCAAUUGAUGUCUUAGCCAUAUAGUUUGAACCAUCAACUCCCUGCUGCAAUGUAUUCUGCUUCAGCAGUGGAGAGAGCUACACAAGCCUGCUUUUUGCAUUGCCAUGAGAUCAAGGUUGAUCCAAGCAAAUGACAGGUUCCACUUGUGCUCUUCCUAUCAAUAUUGCACCCUGCAAAAUAUGAAUCAGAAUAUCCAGUUAAACUUAAUGAAAUAUUACCUGGAUACCACAAGCCAACUUCUUUAGUUCCUUGCAAAUACUUCAAAAUCCUUUUGGCAGCAUUGUAGUGUGAUUCUUUAGGAGCAGAUUGAAACCUUGCACACAUGCACACUGCAAACAUUAUGUCUGGCCUGCUGGCAGUGAGAUACAGUAGUGAUCCUAUGAGUCCUCUGUAUUUGGUUUCAUCAACAGAAAUUCCAGCUUCAUCAUGAUCCAAAUGACAGCUUGUUGAGAAGGGUGUGCUGAUUGGUUUACACUUGUCCAUUUCAAAUUUCUUCAGCAGAUCCUUGCAAUAGUUAGCUUGACUUAAGAAAAUGCCAUCCUUGAGUUGUUUGACCUGCAAGCCUAGAAAAUAGUUCAACUCACCCAUCAUUGACAUUUCAAACUCACUCUUCAUGACUUUCAUGAAAGCUUCACACAAUUCUCCAUUGUUUGAUCCAAAAAUGAUGUCAUCCACAUAUACUUGUACUAGAAUUGUGUCAUCUCCUUUCUUCUUGAUGAACAAGGUCUUAUCUGAUGUGCCUCUGUCAUAACCUUGAGAGAUGAGAAAAUCACUUAGCCUCUCAUACCAUUGCCUAGGAGCUUGCUUGAGUCCAUAGAGAGCCUUUUUGAGUUUGAACACAUAUUCUGGAUGUUGAUGGUCUUCAAAACCUGGUGGUUGUGAAACAAAUACCUCUUCAUUUAUAUAACCAUUUAGAAAGGCACUCUUCACAUCCAUUUGAAACAGCUUGAACCCUUUGAUGCAGGAGAAGGCAAGCAGCAAUCUAACAGCUUCUAACCGAGCCACUGGUGCAUACGUCUCAUCAUAGUCUAUCCCUUCUUCUUGAUUGUACCCUUUAGCUACUAGCCUAGCCUUGUUUCUGGUGAUCACUCCAUGCUCAUCCAUCUUGUUUCUAAAUACCCAUUUUGUCCCAAUUAUAUUCAUCUCAGGUAUUCUAGGAACAAGAGUCCAGACCUCAUUAAGAGCAAAUUGAUUCAGUUCCUCUUGCAUGGCUAAAAUCCAGUUGCUGUCCUUGAGAGCUUCAUUCAGAUUCUUGGGUUCAGCUUGAGAUACAAAGGCCAUUGCUUCACAGAAAUUGUUCAAGAAUUUUCUAGUUGAUACUCCUUUCUCAAUGUUCCCAAUGACAUUAUCAAGGGUUAAGUCUCUUGGGGUUUUCCACUCUUUUGGCAAACCUGCAGCUGCAGUAGAUUCUUGUAUAGCAUGUGUAUCAGCAGUAUCAAAAUGAAUCGAUUCAUUUUGAUUUAAAACAGAUUUAAAUUCAUUACAGUCAAGAUCAUCAGUAGCAGUUUUAGAUAUGCUAUGAUCAGUUUCAUCAAAAACAACAUGCAUUGAUUCUUCUACUAUAAGCAACCUUUUAUUGAAGACUCUAUAUGCAUGACCAUUCAAAGCAUAACCAAUGUGCACACCUUCAUCAGAUUUAGCAUCAAACUUACCAAGAUUUUCUUUGCCAUUAUUCAAUACAAAGCAUUUACACCCAAAUACCCUAAGGUGGCUCACACUAGGUUUUCUGCCCUUAUACAAUUCAUAUGGGUUUUCUUAAGAAUAGGUCUUAUUAGGGUUCUAUUUAACACAUAAGCUGCAGUAUAAACUGCAUCAGCCCAAAAAUACUUAGGAAGCUUAGAUUCAUUUAACAUAGUUCUAGCUAGUUCCUCUAUUGAUCUAUUUUUCCUUUCAACUACACCAUUUUGUUGGGGUGUCCUAGGGGCUGAAAAGGUAUGUGCUAUCCCAUGCUUCUCACAGAACCUCUCAAAUCUAGCAUUCUGAAACUCUCCCCCAUGAUCACUUCAAAUUGAUUUUAUGCAGCAACCAUUUUCAUUUUGCAGAAUCUUUGCUAAUUUCUUAAAGGCAGUGUAAACAUCAUGUUUAUAGUCCAUGUAAAUCUAGAGUAGUCAUCCACAACAACUAAAGCAUACAGAUUUCCAGCCAAGCUAGCAACUCUAGAUGGACCAAAUAAGUCCAUAUGUAACACAUCCAAUGGAUUUUUUGUAGAAACAAUAUCCUUUAACUUGAAAGAGGAUUUGAUUUGUUUACCUUUCACACAAGCAUCACAAAGCCUGUUGUCCUGAAAUUUAAUGUUAGGUAAACCAGAAACUAAAUCUUUAGAUUUCAAUUUAUUCAAGUGAUUUGUGUGUACGUGAGCUAACCUCCUGUGCCACAGCAAAGACUCAUCACUUCUGGACAGCAAAUACUCAUUUGAAGGGUUAGUUUCCAUGAUAUUCAGCAGAUAUAUGUUAUUCACUCUCUUACCAGUAAAUAGUACCUUACUAGAUGAAUUACUUGAGAUUGUGCAGCCUUUUGACUCAAAGUUCACCUUGUAUCCUUUGUCACAAAGCUGACUUAUGCUGAGAAGACUAUGCUUGAGUCCUUCUACAUACAGCACAUUCUCAAUGGUUGUUGAGUUCCCUGUUCCAACAGUGCCUCUGCCCAAAAUCUUCCCUCGGUUAUUAUCACCAUAGGUUACAUGUCCUUCUGCUUUGAGCUUCAAGCUAGUAAAUUUUGUAAGAUCUCCAGUCAUAUGCUUGGAGCAACCACUAUCCAAGUACCAUUGAUUCUUCUUAUUGUUCAUAUGCUAAACAAAGUAAAAAUGAUACAAAUGGUACCCUUUUCAGUAUAGGGUCUAGCACAGAUUAAAACCUUCUCUUUGGUAGCCAUUUUGCUAAGUUCUUAGGAACAAGAUGCUUUCUAGCAAUGCAAGACCUAGAGGUAUAACCAGAUUUCAUGCAGUAAAAACAGGUUACAUGAGAUGCCUUUUUGCCACUGUUAAAAGCUGAAAAAACUGAUUUUGCUAGAACAAAAAAACUUGAAAGCUUUUUGACAUUGGUUACAUUUCCAGGGGUAUAACCAAGACCAUUCUUAUUGAAAACAACAUUCUGUGAGCCAAGAAGAGACUCAAGGUUUUCUCUUCCCUUGGUGAAAUUGGAAAGGGUUUUCAGCAAAUACUCCACUUGUUUUUCUAAUUUUUUGCAGUUUUCACAGGNNNNNNNNNNNNNNNNNNNNNNNNNNNNNNNNNNNNNNNNNNNNNNNNNNNNNNNNNNNNNNNNNNNNNNNNNNNNNNNNNNNNNNNNNNNNNNNNNNNNUUAAUUGAGGCAUGCAAGCAUGUUAGUUCAAGGCUUACCAAAUCUGUUUUGGCUUUAUGCAAUUCUUCCUCAAGUGUUUUUACUUUAGGUGCAAGCACAUUAUUUACCUUUUGCAGCUUAUUGCAUAUUACAGCUAGCCUAUUUGCUUCAUCAUGUGUUUCCUUGAAAGCAGCAAGCAAAUGAUCAUAGUUAUCAGAAUCCACAGAGAAAUCACUUACUGAAUCAGAGAUUGACUCCUCAUCCUUCAUCAUGAAGCACAGAUUGUUUUCCUCAUUCUCAGUUGAAGAGCUGCUGGUUGAAGAUACUUCAUUUUCUUCCCAUGAGAUGUAGGCUCUUCUUCCCUUGUUCCUUUCAAUUCUCUUGCUGGCAGAUUUUUCCUUUGCUUGAUUAUCUGGACAAUCUGUUUUGAUGUGCCCUGUUUUGCCACAGCCAAAGCAAGUAUAUUUAGAGGAAUUUGAAUCAUUGGGUUUAGGAUACCUUAUUUUCUGUUGGUUCCUAUCUCUGNNNNNNNNNNNNNNNNNNNNNNNNNNNNNNNNNNNNNNNNNNNNNNNNNNNNNNNNNNNNNNNNNNNNNNNNNNNNNNNNNNNNNNNNNNNNNNNNNNNNUGAUCUCACUCUGUUCAGUUGCUUUCAGUGCAAGACCUUUGGGUUUUCUCUCUGUUGUUUCCUGUUCUUUGAGUCUCUUGAGCUCUAGCUCAUGCUCCAUUAGCUUUCCAAAAAGUGCAGCAGUUCCCAGUUUUGACAAAUCACGACUUUCAGAUAUGGCAGUCACCUUUGGUUGCCAGCUUCUGUCGAGGCACUUCAAUAUCUUUAUGUUGAGUUCCUCUCUGUCAAAUUCUUUUCCCAAACCAUUGAGGUGAUUCACAAUAUGGGUGAACCUUUUCUGCACAUCAGCAAUGCUCUCCUCGGGUUGCAUUCUAAACAGUUCAUAUUCUUGGAUGAGAGAAUGUUUUCUUGACCUCUUCACAUCUUCAGUACCCUCAUGAGUGACUUCUAAGACUUCCCACAUCUCCUUAGCUGACUUACAUUGGGAUAUCCUGAAGAACUCAUCCAUUGUCAAUGCAGAGGUUAUGAUGUUCUUGGCCACAAGAUCAUGUUGAGCCUUCCUCCUUUCGAUCUCAUUCCAUUCAGAUCUUGGCUUUACCACUUCUUCAUCCUUGACAACCUGCAUUGGCACAUAAGCUCCAUGGACCACAACUUCCCAAAUUAAUGCAUCAAUAGAUUCCAUGAAAAUUCUCAUUCUAACUUUCCAAAAUGCAUAAUUCAUUCCAUUGAACAUAGGUCGUCUAUUAACAGCAGAUCCUUCAGCAAAAAGCACAUUAAACUCAUACAUUAUUACAAAAAAACUUGAUUAAAAUACAAGUCUUAGCUCUUGAUACCAAUUGUUGGGUUUAAUAGUGUCAAAGUUCAAGAAGGGGGGUGAAUUGACCUUUUAAAAGCUUCUCGCAAAAACAAUAUUUAACACAGUUUACAGAAAAUAAAUCGAUUUAUAUGGAAAUGAACAGAUUUAUUUUAGCACUGUUUGUGUGUUUGAAAAGAGUUUAUGCAGCAAGGUUAAUCACAAGAUCUGCAGAUAUAUUUUCCAGAUGCUCACACACUGAUAUUAGAACGAAAAACAGUGAAUCACCAAAACAACAACCUUCAAUUUCAAGCAAGUGUUUAAGGUUCACUUAAUGGCUUGACAGUUUAUUGAGUGAUUUAUUACAAUCAACCUGUUCUAAUGGCUUUUAACAGAUUAUAAGUGUUCUUAUUGAAAUCAACCAGUUUUCCAGAAAUUAAGAACAAUAUGAACCGUGCCCAGACAGAACAGAUUUAUUUUCAAUUGAACAGAUUUAUUUCUUUGCUGUUUUAUCAAUUAUGCAGAAACGAAAUUGCAGAGAGUGAGAGAGAAUGAACACAAGCAAUUAUACUGGUUCACUCAACUGAGCUACAUCCAGUCUUCACCAACAACAGGUGGAAAUCACUAACACACAGUACAAACAAACACAAUUCCCACUGUUCUUGAAACCUACAAGAACUUAGGUACUCUUGCUGAAAAAACCUAUUUCAGCUCACACACACUCUUCAAGAAAACCUAUCAAGAAGAGUGUUCAACCAAACUAUUACAGGAAAUGAAAAGUGAAACGACUACACCUGAUUGAGGAUACAAAGAUCUGCCUUAAACCGGUAGGCAAGAUUGCUAGAACAGUAGCAGCACCUCACACCAAGCUUUUGGAACCAAACCAAGAACAAGCACUUUGUGAUUUUUCGAAAUCUUUGAAGAACAAAUGCUAAUUCUUUGUAAACUUUUAAUUCUCUGCUGUAAAACUUGUUUUUACAAAUGUAUGAACGAUGAUUAAACUCAGAAACAAGUUUUCAUUUUAUAGAAAACCAACUUAUAACAGAAUUUUGAAAAACAGUUAAAGCUGUUAUAAAAUGAACAGAUUGAAAAUAAAAUGAACAGAUUUAUUUUCAAAAACAGUUAGAAAAUUUGUUAAGUGAGGAGACUUAGUCAACCAUGCUGGUGCAGAGAUAAAACUGAAAAACGUUUAAGCUAGAUAUGGCACCAGAGACAAAAUGAAUCUAUUCAUUUUACAGAUGAACAGAUUUAUUUUUCAAAACGAAAACAGAAAAGCUUAACUAUUUAACCACAGUCGUUUUGAAAGGUAGAAAACUUAGUCAAAAUACAUGAUGCACAAAAUCUAAUUUUCACAAGACUUAGGCAAGGCAUCAGUUUAAAAAUGAAUCUGUUUAUUUAGAAAAGAACAGAUUUAUUUUUAUGCAGUAAACCUGUUUUUUGUAAAACAUGUGAAAAAUAGUUUAAGAAACCUUAUGCUUGUUCUUAUCACAUGGCCAGUGGUUAUGAGGUGAGUUACUCAGCAAAAAGUCCACUCUUAAACAACCUCUAAGCACUACCUAAGACACACUUAAAGCAAAGCAAAAAUACACAUGAAAUGUACAUAAAAGUCUUCAUGAAACACAAUCUUGAAGGGGCAACAACCAUCUUCAACAUUGUUGACCCUCUUCCAGCAAUCAUACAAAGGCUUCAAGGGUAUAUUUUUCAAAAUCCGCUGCAAUGAUAAUGAUCCAAGUCUUCUGGACAGGUUCCCUCUGUACUGGACUAAGGAACCCAAAUUCCAAAAACCCAGAUACCUUGAAGACCUACCCCAACGAGAACGAGAGGUGUGUCUCUUCCUCUCCAACCCUAAGGUAGUGUUUAGCACUGCCGAAUUGAUAAAGAACGAGUACAGCCCUACAGGCUUUAAGGCAUACAUUGGUAUCCCCCUUCCCUUUACUCCUGCUAGCAAUGCCUUGCAUGUGUGUGUUUUCUGAACUCUUCUUUGUUUUCAUUCUCAUGCAGACAGUAUGUUGGACGCUCAAAAAAGAAAGAACUUAACUGCACUAGCCAAACAAAAGAAGACCACCCAAGCCCUUUCUGCCAAGGAUCAAAAAUUGAAGGCAGUGGCUGAAGUCGCCCCUUCUGAGGAUGAAGAAACUUGUUCUUGACUCCUCUUCAAGAGGAAGUGAACAGAUGUUGCUGCAAUUUCUGUCCACUCUGCCUCAAACGACUGAGCUCCCUUCUACCGGGACUUUCCACCCAGCCCUUCCCCUCCUCGUGACAUUGCGAUGUGGAAGGGUAGAGGAGAAAGUGCCUCAAAGGGAGAUCAGUGGGACCCCUUCCCAGACCCAACUUCCUUCCUUCACAAAAUGUUGCUCUCCUAAAAAAUUAAAGGAAGAUUGAAAAACAUGGAGGAGGGUCCACUGAUGGAGCACGCCACAAGGCAACUGGGGGAAACCCUAGUUGCGAACUAUCUUCUCCUUUCCAAGCCGUGGAAAGCAAAGGAGCUGGCCAAAGAAGAAGCCGUCCAAGCUGUAGAGCUCAAACGACAAGUCUUCAAACUCACACUGGAGGUGGAGGAGCUCUGAAAAGUUAACCAAGAGACCAAUGCCCUCCUGUUUGGGAAGUCCCAAGAGGCCUUGGGGCUAUAUGCAAGAAACAAUGAUCUCCGCACUGAGGUGGAGAAGCUGAAGGGAGAGCUGGCUGAGAGGGACGAUGAGGUGGCCAGGCAAAAGAAGGAGAUGGCGCAGAAGGAUGAGCUCCUAUAGAAAACCAAAGAAGAGCUGAUGAGCAAUGCCCCUGACUCCUAGGGGGCAGACUUUGAGGAUGUUGUUGCCCAGGUCACCUGCGUCCACCCUGAGCUGGACCUCUCCCAAAUAGGAUUAGGUAAAGUUAUCGUAGAUGGGCAACUGGUAGAUGAGGAAUAGCCGUGGGGGACUCCCCCUCUAUUGCCUUCCUUUUGUAAUCUAAUGAACAGUUGACAAUUCUGAUAUAUGUAUAUGUGUGUUUUCUUUUCCUGACUUCGACUAACUUAGUAACAAUGCAUGUCUUGAAUGAACACAACUUUCAUAACUUUAAUAACUAACUGAACGCCAAUGAUGGUCCAUACUUAAGUAGCGUGGUCUUCACAAUUAACAAUGGUAGACUUAUGCUUCGGGGUACCUGAGCUCAGAGCCUCCCUGGUCAACAGGUCCUCUUGCACAAAUUGCUUUGCUUUAUUUGUACAUUCUCCCUAAAGGUUGAUUUCACUGUGGUUCACUAUGAACCUUACUACUCCCACUCUUGGAAUCUUACCAAGGAGAGACUUCGCUGAGGUUCACUAUGAACCUUACUGCUCCCACUCUUGGAAUCUUACCAAGGGGAGACUUCGCUAAGGUUCACUAAGAACCUUACUACUCCCACUCUUGGAAUCUUACCAAGUGCAGACUUCACUGAGGUUCACUAUGAACCUUACUGCUCCCACUCUUGGAAUCUUACCAAGGGGAGACUUCGCUGAGGUUCACUAUGAACCUUACUACUCCCACUCUUGGAAUCUUACCAAGGGGAGACUUCGCUGAGGUUCGCUAUGAACCUUACUGCUCCCACUCUUGGAAUCUUACCAAGGGUAUAUUUCAAUGAGGUUCGCUAUGAACCUUACUGUUUCCACUCUUGGAAUCUUACCAAGGGGACAUUUCACUAUUAACACGAGAUACUGUAAGCAUAGUUUUCAAAUAACUUUUUCUUGGGCGACCUCAUUAAAAAACCCUGAUAAGGGAAAAAGAGUGUCCCCUUAAACGUUUGUAUUGCAUACAAUAGCAUAAUUAAUUGAAAUAAAAUUUAAGAUUGGCCCCAUUCCAUGUUCGGGGAAUAAUCUCGCCAUCCAAGGUCUCGAGUCUAUACGCUCCGUUCCCGAGCACCUCUAUCACGCGGAAUGGGCCAGUCCACUUAGGGCAUAACUUGUUCUCCAAUUGAUAGGGAUGAGCCUUUCGCAUUACCAAGUCGACGACCUGGAACUGCUGAGAUUUCAGCUUGGACUUCUGCUUAUAUUCCACCUUCUCUUUAAGGCUUCGGCCUUGAUGUGUGCUUCCUCUCUGACCUUGUCGAGAAGAUCUAAGUUUACCCUCAUUUCCUCAUUAGACUCCUUGGCCACGAAGUUCUGGAAUCGUAGUGAACUUUUCUGGAUCUCGAUGGGGAUCAUGGCAUCCGACCCAUACAACAGGCUAAAAGGGGUCUCCUUGGUGGUGGAUUGGGGAGUGGUGUGGUAGGCCCACAUAAUUCUAGAAACUUCAUCUGCCCAAAUUACCUUGGCUUUUUUCAGUCUCCUCUUUAGGCCUCUGAGCAGGACUCGGUUAGCAGAUUCGACUUGCCCAUUCGUCUAGGAGUGUUCUACCGAGGCGAACACCUGCUUGAUGUUGAGCUCUGUGCAUAGUUUUCCUAGCUAAUGACUUGCAAAUUGGGUGCCAUUGUCAGACACUAAACGCUUUGGGAUUCCAAAACGGAAAACUAUGUUCUUCCACACAAAGUGUUGAACCUUGUGGGCUGUGAUAUGUGCGACAGGCUCAACUUCUAUCCACUUGGUGAAGUACUCGAUGGCUAUCACCAGGUACUUCAUCUGGCAAACUGCUAAAGGAAACGGACCCAGGAUGUCAAUCCCCCAUGUGUGGAAAGGCCAUGGGCUAUGGAUCGAUCGCAACUCCUCUGGGGCGCAUGAUGUUAGUCGGCGUGCUGUUGGCACUGUUUGCACCGCUGUGCGUACCUCGUGCAGUGCUCCCUCAUGUUCGGCCAGUAAUACCCUGCUCGAACAACCUUUGAUGAGAGAGCUUGUCCAUCGAUGUGACUCCCACAAAUACCUUCAUGGAGCUCAUAUUCAGCUUGGUUGUUGCUAGCUUUGAAAGCAAAACGUAGGGCCUGCUCGAUCAGGAACCCGUUUGGUCCCUCUAAGAUGAUACCAGCCCCACUACCUUGCUGGUUAGAGGACCCGUCCACAGACCUGGAAAUGUCCACUUUCUUGGUGUGUGGCUGCCGAGGAGAGUUCUACCAGGAAGUCAGCAUAAACUUGACCCUUGAUAGUGUUAGAAUAUAUGGCUUAAACGAGAGCGGGGGGGUGAAUUGUUUAAGAGAGGUUUUUGAAAACUUUUCAAUGUUUAACAAAUUCUUUGUGUGAACCCAGAACAGAAAUCAAGUUAGCCAAGAAUAUACGCACUAAAAACAGCAAAGCAACAGAAAAACAAUCAGUUGUUUCUUCGAAACAAUUGGUUGUUUAUACCAGAAAAGCUUAAAACAGAAUUUAAAUGAGUAUAGGGUAAGAGAGAGAUACACCAACAAUUUAUGCUGGUUUACUCUUAAGCCAAGAGCUACAUCCAGUCCCCAAAAAACCACUGGGUAACAACUAAGUAAUCAAACCAGAUUACAACACACAAACCACCAAAGUAGUGACCUUGAACCCUUCAAGAAACACACUCCCUUUGGCAAAAUACACCAAGAGUAUUGAUCUUGACCACCUCAAGAGCACACAACACUCCUUGGCAACACAACACCAAAAAUACAGUAGGUUGAGAAGGGAUUACACUUGUUUACAGUACAAACUGAAAUCAAUACAAUUGCAAUCCUAUUCCGUUCUCUUUGAAAACCCAAAGCUUGAUGUGAAUGUUCAAAUCUUGAAAUCAACUUUGUCACAACUGAAAAAAUCAAAUUUGUUUCUCUUUCUUGUUUGAAAACAUAAACAAACCAUUUAUAUUUUCCAAAGAUUAGUCAAAGCAAUUAAUGAAGGAGCAUAUUCAGUUGGAAAUCAUUUAAACCACAUUCAACAACCAAAACAAAAUUCUGUUAGGAUUUUCAAAGAGACAAUCGGUUGAAACCACGAAACAACCGAUUGUUUGGUUUGGCAGUUAAGUCAACCAAACUAAAACAAUUUUCAACCUUUUCAAAAACUCCUAAGAGUAAAACAACCGGUUGAUUCGACAAAACAACAUGUUGUUUUUCACUUAGUUGGAAAAACACUUUAUUUUCUAAAAGAUUUUAAUUCACAUCAGUUUUAGAUUCAACAAAGGAGUGGAUCACAUUCUAUUCUACCCAGAUCCCUCCCCAAACACAGCAGCAACACAAGCCUUGCAUCAAACACAUAGGAUUUGGAUUCUUCAAAGCACUUGAUCAUUCUUGAUCAACAAUCUUCUCCUAUUUGAUGAAGACAAAUACCUGGUCGCUUGUGUUGAUCUUGAUUGAAUAUGAAAUUGUACCUGCAAAACAAAAAUUAUGCAAUCCAGAGCAUCUCUCAUAGUAGGUUAUGAUCAUACAUCAACUAGUUUUUCUGCAUAAACACAAGUGUAGGAAAACCAGCCAAAAACAAAGCAAAAACAGUUUCAUACAAACCAAUUAUGUAGCAGAAAUUAAAAGCAGAAUAGUAGCAGAGUUAUAACAGUUUGUAAGACAACACAAACACCAUAUUCUCCCCCUAUUUGUCUUCACAAAUAGACUUUAGGAGGAGAUUAAACAGAAUAGUUCAACAUAAAGCAAUACAAAGAUAGAAAGAACAACAAAGCCUUGACAUUCAAGCUUAAACAAUCGGUUGUUUCGAGAAAUCAACCGGUUGUUUUGCUUCAGUCUUCUUUUCCAUACUGCAACUCGAAAAUCUAAUUCUGAACAACUUCAAUAUGUUCAUCAAGCAUUUGAAACCAUGUAUCCAUGCUUUGAAAUCUAUUGUCAAAGUUAUGAAAGUUUGAAACAAAAAGAUCAUGAAGAUUUCUUUGAUUUUCCGCAAAGCCAUCUAGCCUAUUCACCAUGUAGCUCUCAAAGGAAGACAUUGAAGGAGUCCUAUCUCCUUGAUGUCCAACACUUGUCCCAGCACCAUAAUUAGUAACAGGUUGUUCUGUAUCUGGAAAAUCCAUAUCAGCACCUUCAACAUCUUCUUGAUCUUCUUCACCAUGUUCAGCAUGAAAGCGACUUGAGGAACCACCUUGUCCACCAUCCUUACUCACCCAUUUUCCAUUGAUCUUGGUAAAACCCAUUUUGCUUAAUGAUCCAUUGUUCACUUCAAAUGUUGACUUCACCUACUCAGAUGUUUAAACCUCAAGAUUCACUUCAAAAUAAUGUAAGAAUUUAGAAAUCAAGAUAGCAUAAGGGUAAUGAUAAUCACUUAACCUCAUAGACUUUUGCAUAUGCUCUUUGAUGAUAUGUAUCCAAUUAAUCUUGAUUUUGUUCAUUAUGCAGUAGAUGUAGACAAGAUCUUCCUCAGUUAGAACAGAAUGGUUGAUUCCUCUUGGUGUUAGAAUCCAAGUGACAAAGAGAGCCAACAAUCUUUCAUUUAAUUUCAGCCCUCCAAUCGAACAAGUUCUUACUUGUGCAUGAGGAUUCUUCAAACAACUUUUGUAAUAUUAAAUCUUGUUGAAGUCUUCCACCACACCAAUGUUUCCUUUGUUGAUUCUCAACCCAACAUACUUUAGACUAGCCAGAGCAACCCACACCUCAUGAGUGAUCUCCAUAUCCACACCCUUGACAUGAGAAACAAGAUUGUUACCUUCAAAUUUCACGUUGGUGUAGAAAAGCCGAAUAAGAUCUGGAUAGAUGUUUCCUUUCAUCUCCAAGAACCUCUUCAAAAGUUGUUAUUUGAGAAGCCUCCUAACAUCAUCCAGCUUUUGACUCUUCAACCAGCCAAAAGAGACAACUUUUGGGUUAUUUAUCACUUUUCUACUUGUUUCAAAGCGAUAUCUCUCAAUCAAUUCAUUGUCUCCUGAAAACCAGCCCUCAAGACGUCCUCCUGACCUCACAACCCUUAUUUUAAUCCUUUUUUAUGUAGGAGGAGUGGAAUCCAUGAAAGCAGAAUGAGAAAAGGCACACACACAAAGGAGAGUAUGAGAUGCAGUAAGAGAUGAGCCAAUGGGUUAUUUUUGUGAAGGAAAACAGUUGUAGAGGGUUUUAUAGCAAAACAAAUUCCCUCUUUGAUCCUUUGGUUGAAGUGGGUUUUAGUCUUCAAGGUAAAAAUUUGUUCCAACUUUUGCACAGAACAAUGUCAGCACAGAGCAGAAAAACACAUGGUCAGGACAUGUGACUUUGACUAAACAUAAAAGGCACUUGAAUUUCCAAGAAAUGGAAUAUAUUCCUUUAUGACAAGAAGUAACUUCCUUCAGAACCAAAUCAGGCUUUCAUGACUGCUUUAUUGACUUAAAGACUCUUUAAGAUUUAAAUUUGCAAAAGAUAGAAUGCAUAAAGAAAUUAAAUCCAUUUAUGCAGUGCCGUCAGAGAAGAAAUAAUCGGCUGUUUCGAGAAAACAAUAUGUUGUUUUUCUGCAACAGCAACAAUGUAUAAAUUUUAAGCAGAAACUGAGAAGAGUUUAAAACAAAUGCAAUUGCUCAUAUGUAGAUGAAGAAUUUAAUAUGAAUUUAUAAUUGAAAAGCAGAGACAGGGAAGGUCUUAUCCUUUUGUUAUGAAGUUCCUUCAAUGAGUCAUUGUUUGUGAUCAAGAAUGUUUCUUUUGGCUUUCAAGACAUCUUGGACUGGUACAUACCCUUAGUUCAGUUCCAAACACACUUCUUUUCUUCCAAAAGCUUGAUCAGAUAACUCAAGACUUCAUGCUUCUUUUAGUAUCCCUGAUCAUAAUGAAUUCAAGCAACAAGAUUUGGUCCCCUUACAAAUGUGGGUCCUUUUGAUUCAUCUUUAUCAUUUGAAACCUCACACCCUUUGGGAAUCCAUUUCAAAAUACCUUUAGGAACAUAAUAUUUCCUAAUUUUACAGAAUCUAACUGAGUGGCCUCUCUUCAUGCAGUAAAAGCAUGUAACAACUGGUUGUUUAAAUCUUUCAAUCGGUUGUUUUUCUGGCAGCUUUGAAAAAGGCUUUGAAAUCCCAUUUUUCUUGUUUUGAAUAUAAAACCCCUAACCAGAUUUUCCAAAAACACAUUUUUGGGAUGUCAAGACAGUUUCAAAGUUGGAUUUACCCUUUGAAAGUUUAUCCACAAUUCUUACAAGAUAGUGGAUCUUACUCUCAAGAGUAUUACAAUUUUUACAAGUCUUGGAGUCACUCAAGUGAGAAGAAUUUUUGCAAUGCAUUUCAAGUUUUUCAAAAUCAAUUUUUGACUUUUCCAAUUCUUCUUCAAGAUUCUUGACUCUAUUUUCAAGCUAGUUAUUCAACCCUUUCAAUCGGUUGUUUGAGAAAGGCAAUCGGUUAGCUUCUUCAUGAGUUUCUUUAAAAGCUUGAAGUAAUUGGCUAUAAUUUUCAGCACUUAAGGAAGCACAAGAACUUACACUGCUUGAGCUACUUGAAUCAUUAUCUCCUUCUGCCAUUAAAUAUAGAUUGGCUUUUUCAUCUUCACUUGAUGAGGAGCUUGAUGAAGAGACUUCAUUUACAUCCCAAGCAAUAUAUGCUCUUUUUGAUUUCCCUUCCUUUUCCUUAUUGCUUGACUUCUUUUCCUUGCCUUCUUUAUUUGGGCAAUCAACUUUUAUAUGCCCUUGUUCUCCACAACCAAAACAAGUAUAAUUGUUAGAAUUGAAAUCACUAGUUUUCUUGUUUCCAUACCUUUCUUUGUUGGAUUCUUUGUUGCGAUUUCUCUUCAAGAAUUUGCUGAACUUUUUGGAUGACAAGCUAAGGUUUUCUUCCUCACUUUCAUCACUUGAAUCUUCCUUAUUCUUGUGCUUGACAGCUUUCAAGGCAAUGUUCCUUACAUGCUUGUCCUUACUUUCUUGAACAUUGAGUCUAUUCAUCUCCAACUCAUGUUCUCUAAGCUUUCCAAACAAGGAGGCCGUAGUCAAGGAUGCCAAGUCCUUUGAAUCAGAAAUUGUCGUGACUUUAGCUUCCCAAGAUCUAUCAAGACACUUGAGAAUCUUGAUGUUUAGCUCCUCUUUGUCAAAGGUUUUUCUAAGACUCAUUAGAUGGUUGAUGAUGUGAGUGAAUCUCUUUUGUACUUCAGCAAUUGAUUCUCCCUUGAGCAUUCUAAACAUCCCAUACUCUUGUAUUAGAGUAUGUUUCCUAGCUCUCUUCACAUAGUUUGUUCCUUCAUGGGUGACUUCUAGAGUAUCCCACAUUUCCUUAACCGAUGCACAUUGUGAGAUCCUGAAAAAUUGAUCAGAAUUCAAAGCAGAGGUUAUGAUAUUCUUGGCAAUACAAUCAAACUUGGCCUUUUUAUUUUCAGCAUCAGUCCAUUGGGACCAAGGUUUUUCAAUAGAAGAUCCAUCCUCUUCAAAUUUUGGAAUAAAAUGGCCAUUUUCAAUUGCAUAUCAAAUUCCUUUAUCAAGAGAUUCAACAAAGAUUUUCAUUCUAACUUUCCAAAACUGAUAAUUUAAACCACAAAACAAAGGUGGCCUGUUAAUUGAGGCACCCUCCCCAAAAGGUAGUUUUUCAGCCAUAGAAAAAAAAAAUUAGGAUCAAACUUGAAUAUAUUUCAAGUACCAAGCUCUUGAUGUCAAUUGUUAGAAUAUAUGGCCUUAAAGAAGAGGGGGGUGAAUUGAUUAAGAGAGGUUUUUGAAAAAAUUUCAAUGUUUAACAAAUUCUUUGUGUGAACCCAGAACAAAAAUCAGGUUAGCCAAGAAUAUAAGCACUAAAGACAGCAAAGCAACAGAAAAACAAUCGGUUGUUUCUUCAAAACAAUCGAUUGUUUAUACUAGAAAAGCUUAAAACAAAAUUUAAAUGAGUUUAGGGUAAGAGAGAGAUACACCAACAGUUUAUACUGGUUCACUCUUAAACCAAGAGCUACAUCCAGUCCCCAGAAAACCACUGCGUAAUCCACUAAGUAAUCAAACUAUAUUACAACACACAAACCACCAAAGUAGUGACCUUGAACCCUUCAAGAAACACACUCCCUUUGGCAAAACACACCUAGGGUAUUGAUCUUGACUACCUCAAGAGCACACAACACUCCUUGGCAACACAACACCAAAAAUACAGUAGGUUGAGAAGGGAUUACACUUGUUUUCAAUACAAACUGAAAUCAAUACAAUUGCAAUCCUAUUUCACUCUCUUUGAAAACCCAAAGCUUGAUGUUAAUGUUCAAAUCUUGAAAUCAACUUUGUCACAACUGAAAACUCAAAUUUGUUUCUCUUUCUUGUUUGAAAACAUAAAUAAACCAAUUAUAUUUUCCAAAGAUUAGUCAAAGCAAUUAAUGAAGGAACGUAUUCAGUUGGAAAUCAUUUAAAGCACAUUCAACAACCAAAACAAAAUUCUGUUAGGAUUUUCAAAGAAAUAAUCGGUUGAAACCACGAAUCAACCGAUUCUUUGGUUUGGCAGUUAAGUCAACCAACUAAAAUAGUUUUCAACCUUUUCAAAAACUCCUAAGAGUAAAACAACCGGUUGAUUCGAAAAAACAACAGGUUGUUUUUCACUUAGUUGGAAAAAUACUUUAUUUUCUAAAAGGUUUUAAUUCACAUCAGUUUUAGAUUCAACAAAGGAGUGGAUCACAUUCUAUUCUACCCAGAUCCUUCCCCAAACAUAGCAGCAACACAAGCCUUGCAUCAAAGACAUAGGAUUUGGAUUCUUCAAAGCACUUGAUCAUUCUUGAUCAACAGAUAGGUCCUCUCGGAUCACAUUGCACAUCGAACUCGGACAGCUCGACCACCUAACGCACCAUCCGACCCGCCACGUCAGGUUUUUGCAAGACCUUGUGGAUGGGAAGGUCGGUCAUCACGAUCACCGUGAAACUCUAAACAUAGUAGCGGAGCCUUCGUGCUGCAAAUACUACUGCUAGAGUUGCCUUCUCAAUGGCCUGAUAGCGCACCUCGAGCCCCUGCAACACUUUGCUAACAAAAUAUAUAGGCCUCUUAAUGCGAUCUUGCCCCUAGACUAUGACUGAGUUGACCGCUCAAUCUGUAAUAGCGAAGUAUAAGUGGAGGGGAGUACCUGGCAGCGGCUUGCACAGAACCGGCGAGCUGGCCAAGUACUCAUUCAGCUUGAGGAAUGCUUCCUCACACUCACCUGUCCACACAAAUCGGUUGUUCCUCCUUAAGCAUUUGAAAUAGGGACAGGGCGACCAUGUGUCCUGUUAGCUACUGUACCUCCUUCACCGAGAUCAGACUUCUCAUGGCUAUGAUCGCUGCACACUUCCUGGGGUUCGCCUCUAUUCCCCGCUCGGUGAGGAGAAACCCUAAGAACUUCCCUGCUUCCACCCCGAAUACGCAUUUUUCGGGAUUUAACUUCAAUUUAUACCUGGCUAUUAUGGUGAAUAGCUCUUCUAGAUCGACAAUGUGUUGGUCCUUUUCCUUGGAGGUGACGACCAUAUCAUCCACAUAUGCCUGCACAUUUCACCCUAUCAUAGGGGCGAGAUGGUGUCCAUCAGCCUCUGGUAGGUUGCACCAGCAUUUUUAAGCCCAAAGGGCAUCACCUUAUAGCAAUAGCUGGAGAGCUUUUUCAUGAAUGUUGUCUUGCAUUCGUCUCGGGGAUGCAUCCAGAUUUGGUUAUAUCCUGAGAAGGCAUCCAGAAAAUUGAGAAGUCUGCAGCCUGACGCGCUAUCUACCAAGGCGUUGAUACUGGGCAGCAGAUAUGAAUCCUUUGGACAGGCCUUGUUCAAAUCCGUAAAAUCAACACACAUCCUUCACUUCCCAUUGGCCUUCUUGACCAACACCACAUUUGCCAACCACCUAGGGUAUUGGAUCUCCCUUUUGUGGCCAGCACUCAAAAACUUUUUAGUUUCUUGCCUGAUGACCAGGCGUCUUUCUUCACUAAAAUUUCUCCCCCUCUGUAGGACAGGCUUGACCUUUGGAUCCAUCGUGAGAUGAUGGCAUAGGAAAUCAAGGUUGAUGUCGGGCAUGUCCGAGGAAGACCAUGCAAAGGCGUCCAGAUGUCGUGCUAUCACCUCGAUAAUCUGGUCCUGUAUUUCUUGGCUUAAAGAUUUGCCAAGCUUAAACUUCUUUCCCCCGAUCUCCCUUUCCAGCACCUCACCUGCAGGCUUAGGUCUCCUCUCCCGGGCUAUCUCUGCACGGGCGACCCCUUCUCCGUCUUGAGGCUGGCUGGUGAUCGAGCAUACCCCUCUCUUCGUCUUCAAGCUAUUCUUAUAGCAUUUCUUUGCCGCCUUUUGGUCGAACUUAAUGGUAAUUAUCGCUCCCUCUAGGGAAGGAAACUUCAUCUUCCUAUGCCUCGUCGAGGCCACUACUCUUAUCCUAUUCAUGGCAGGUCUGCCCAAGAGGAUGUUGCAAACUUAGGGAGCGUUGACGACGAGGUACCUGAUAUUGACGGUUCGGGAUGUGGUGCCGUCUGUGUAGGUCAUCCUUAGCUUUAUGUGCCCCCUUACUUCUACCUAGUCUCUGACGAAACCGUACAGACAGCCGUCGUAUGGUCUUAGCUGGUCGGGCGACAACUACAAUUUGUUGAAGGUCGACCAAAAUAUUACAUCGGUCGAGCUUCCUUGGUCAACGAGGACUCGGUGUACCCUUCUCCCUACCGUUACCACUGAAAUUACCACUGGGUCAUUAUCAUGUGGGACCACAUCCUGUAAAUCAGCCUUCGUGAAGUAGAGGUCGGGCUCAGGUGACUGAUCAGGUUACCGUGCUUCUACCGCCAGCACCUCUCUAGCAUACUUCUUUCGCUAGGAGGCGGUGCAUCCUCCCCCUGAGAAACCCCUAGAGAUCGUGUUGACCUCGCCAUGGACUGGCACUUCAUGUCCCUGAUCCCCUGCUGGGGUCACCACCGUUGAGGCUUCGUGACCUUCCUCUAGGUAUUCUUUCAGGAAGCCAUCCUUCAUCAAAUCAGCCAAUUGGUGUCCAAGUGCCAAACAGUUAUGCAUGCCAUGCCCAAAGCCCUUAUGGAACUCGCACCAAAUGCCCCUGCUUGGCCCCAAUUUCUUGUCACACUUUGGGGGUGGUUUUAGCUUGUCGGCCACUUCUGGGAUAGCGAUCAACUCCUUGAGGUUUAUUCUGAACUUGAGUCGACAAGGCAUGUCUCCCUUCGCUUGCGCCCUAGUCUAAUGCUUUUUCGGCUCGUAGGGCACAUGUAUUGCUAGUGAUCUCUUCUCCAUCGCAACUUCAUGUACCCUCAUGGGUUGAGCUCGACUCCUCUCCCGAGGUCUUUUCGGUCCAACACUUCCACAUUUUUCCGUUACCUCCUCCUCUGUGUCGAUGUGGGUGACAGCUCGACACCGGAUCUCGCUAUUUGUCUUUGGCCGACACCUUAUUAAAGAAUUGCUGAAUGGCCCUGACAGAAUUCCCCGCCUGAAGGCGUGCACCAUCAGAGCUUCAUCCUUGGUGUGGAGCUUUACCAUCAACACCCCGAACCGGUUUAGGAAGUUCUUCAGGGGCUCUCCUUGGUACUGUUUUACUUCGAAGAGGUCGAAAGAGAUAGGAUGUUGAGCUCGAUUGACUAUGAACUGCUCCUUGAACAAAGUAGAGAACUGAUCGAAAGAGGUUAUGUGUCUGUUUGGGAGUUUAAUGAACCAAUAUAAUGACAUGUCUGCGAGCAUCCCCAUGAACAGUUUGCAAUGCAUGGCAUCUAUUCCUCCGCAGUUGACUUUGGGAACAGGUUGUAACUCCGUCUUGAUUGACAUUAAUGCACAUAUAAAAAUCAUUCAUAUCAAUUCCUCACAUACAAAAUUAUUAAGAUUGUUUCCUAAAUAUCGAUUUCUUGCAUAUUUGUAAAAAUGUGUUAUCAUUACAAAUAGAUGUUAUAAAGCAAUUAACAUUUCAAAUUUAUUCCUAGCAUUCAGAUACGUUAAGCAUUAUCAUUUAGGUCAAAUGCUUAGAAGUACUUUCCAGUCAAAUCUAAUAAUCAAACUCAUGAAUAAAGAUUCAAACUUUAAGAAUAAAAUGAUAAUACCAAUCAUCAAUCAAGAAAAUAUUAUAAAUGAAUAUUACCUUAAUAUAUUAGACUUUGAACAGAUUACUCUUAAUCGCAAAGGAAAGACUUAGCCACUCAUAUUGACCAUUAGAAGCAUGAAAAACAAGUAAAGAAGAACCAAGGUGUUUCUCCUUGACAGUUGCCUCCUCCAAGGUUUUUUAUCUCUGAUUAUCCUCCCAAUGAUGUCUAUGGUUAUACAUCAUGUCUUCUAUUUAACCUAAUUAGGCUUGGAUUAAGUGGCAUCUCGACCAAUCGAGAUAUUGCUUUCUUAAGCGAGUUUCAGGAUAAAAAGCCCAACUUUACUGGAGUGAACUCGCUUAAGAGAGCCUUGGGCGAGUCUUGCGAGUUCCUCUGGAGUGAUCUUGCUUGGGUGAGAUUUCACUGCUCCAAGUUUGAAUUUUCAUCUUGUCUUUCACUUGUCCAUUUUCGUUUAGCCAUUUUAUCUCCAUUUUCCCCUAGAUUCUUGAAAUUAGCACAAACUUGGGAAUAAAUCAUUCUUAUUAAUCUCAUAAUCCAAAAAAUAUGUAAAGAGGUUAAAAUUCCUUAAUUAGAUAUUGAAUGAUAAUUUUAUUAACAAUUAAAGUCCACAAGUGUCUAUCUUUUAGUAUGAAAUAUUACUGAAUUAUGGCACUUAUCAACUCCCUCCAAUCUAAAAUCUUGUUUGUCCUAAAGUAAAGUAAAUGAAUAUAAAUAAAUCAUAUUUGAGUUCAAAUAUCAAAACAACUUUAUUUACUAAACAUCAGAUUAAAUUAGAAACUUUUGGUGCUUCCAACUUCAAAUACAAUAAGAUAUACAAAAUAUGCAAAAUAUGACACCCUAUAAAGACGGUUCCGAAAGAACAGUCGUAAGAGAGGCAGUGGCAUUGUUGUAAUUUUUUUUCAAUUUUUUGCUACUUUUAAUGACGGUUUUCUCCUAAACCGUCGUUAUAUAUGUGAUUGAUGGAGCUUCAUAGGGUGUCGUUAUAUGUUGGGUCUGGCACAAAUUUCAGCUACGCUACGCGGAUGGUCUCUCACUCUCCUCACUUCAUGUUCCUCUCAUCGCUCCCUUUCUCACCUCUCCGCACGUAGCUACUCCAUUCAUCUCUUCCUUCUACCUCACUCUCACUGAAUCUACCUCACUUCAUCUUCUUCCUCGCACAACGUCGUGCCUCUGCCUCAAACCCUCGCCCUUGAAUCGCGUUGCCGCUCUCCUACUUUCACCGCGUUGUCACUCUCCUUCCUCCCUCACUUCAUCAUUUCCUCCGCAUCUCCAUAGAAAUCAUGUGCCAACAACGAAUCGCGCCUCCGCACGCUCUUUGUUGCGCCGCUUCUCCUCCACGACACUACUCUCCAUGCCGUCGUGUCUCUUCCGUACCACUGCCCAUCCUUCUAAUUUGAUAAAGGUCAUGGUGGAGAAGGUCUUUUAUGGUGAUGUUGUAGUUCCUGUUCCAACAUCAGAGGUGACAAUUGUAGCAGAGGCAUUGCAUACUUUCGUUGCCUGGCUUAGACAUCUCGUCAGACCUAUGGACUCUAUGGUAUAUCUUUGCACUAAUAGGAUUACAUAUCAGAUAUAUUACAUUCUAAGUAAUUUAAUUAUUUGUUUGUUUGUUGAUGAGUAGUUGGAACCUAAGACAAAACUGUCUCUGCGAAAGAAGAAAAAAUUCUCCACUAAUGAUCUUAUGGCGUUGGUGGAAGUUGCUACAGCUUUACAUACAACUGUUGUUAAGGUUCCAUGGGAUGCUAAUGUUUUUGGAAGGCAUAGUGAUGUACCCUUGUACAUUCACAUGUCUGAUUUGUUGGACCUUGCAUCUGGAAAUCAAGAGAUUAACAUAACAGUUCUGCAAUUAUGGAUGAUGUAAGUUCAAAUAUUAAAAUAUUUAUACUUUUGAUUAAUUAAAUAUAUUAGUUCUAACUUAUUGAAAUUUAGGUAUAUUUGUGGAUUAUGCUUCAAUGAGGGGAAACAAGAUAUAUAUGGGUUUUUACACCCUCAACUCAUUCAAUCACUUAGAAAUAAGAAGUCAGAAACACAAACAUACAUCACCCCUGCCUUAAAGAAUGGAGGAAAAUGAAUUUAUUUUGCUCCGUACAUCCAUGAGUAAGUCCAUAUUUAUUAAAUAAGUUAUACUAAAUUAUUGAAAUAAGAGAAACUAAUUGAUUUGUUAUAUAAGCGUCAUUGGAAACUAUUGAUUAUAUCUGUUCAAGAUCAUACCGCUGCAUGGUUUUGCUCCUUGCAUAAGAAACCCCCUACCUAUUUUAAACACGUUAUAGAUAGGUACGACAAUUUCAUUUAACAUUUAUUAUUACUUAUAUAUUAUAUAAUGUUAUGUAUUCUAACAUGAAAUCUUCUUAUUUCAGUGCUUACUCUGGAUAUAACAUGUUAAGUGAGAGGGGAAGUGCAAAUGCACAAAAACUCACUUGGAUGUACCUUAAUUUAAAGUACAUAUGUUCACUCAAUUUAAUGUGUCUCAUUCAUUCAUUUAAUACAUUUAUUUUUACAUGCAGUCCAACAGAAAAUCUGAAAGUUAUGAGUGCAGUAACUAUGUUAUGCAGUGGAUGUCAACUAUUGGGGUCAGGUAAUACCUCAAUACAAAAACACUUUAAAACUCAGAGUUUAUUAACUAAUUAAAAAAAAUCUAAUGUCACAAUUUUUCAAUGACGAACAGUCGCUAUGUUUGGAAGCAUUGGAGUACGUAAGGACAACAUGGUCAAAGUAUUUUUUAACCGUAAGAUAGAUAAAUUAUUAGAAUGAGAUAAAACUUUUUCAUAUAUUAGCAAAACUUUUUGUAGAAUGUUAUAAUUUGUUGUAUGUAUUUUCCAUAUUUAAAUUAUGAUUUUAAAUUUUUUAAUUUUUUGGAAAUUUAAUAUUUUAUGCAGGUUUGAGGUGUAUAUAUAUAAAAUAAAACAUUUUUUAAAAAAAAAAAUACAUAUAACGACGGUUCCACGUGGAACCAUCUUUAAAAUGCUUUUUUUUAAAAGGGACACACUUCCUCUACCAUCGUUAAAAAUAUUUAAAAAAUAUAUAUUUACAAUAUAAGUAAUGAUGGUUGAGGAUUCGUCGUUAUAAUUUUUUUUAACGACGGUUCUCCAAUCGUCGUUAUAAAUGGUUUAUUUAUAAUGACACCUGUAAUAACAACGGUUCGGGAACCGUAUUUAUGUCCUUUUUAACCAUCAUUAUUGUACCUUUUUGUACUAGUGAAUCAACUUUCAAGAUAACAACUGAAACAAUGAAAUGACAAUUUAUCAAGGGAUUUUUUCCCAUACGUUCACAGGUAAGUGCUUCUCUCAAUUUCCACUUAAUCCUAACAAAUCAAUUGAUUUUAAUUUCACCUUCAUAUUGUUAGAAUAUAUGGCCUUAAAUAAGAGGGGGGUGAAUUGUUUAUAAAAGAUUUUCGAAAAUUUUUGAAGGUUUAAUGAAACUCAGUGAAGAAAUCUAGAAGAGAAAUCAAGUUAGCCAAGAACACAAUCUGUUUUAAAGUGAAACACUGAAAAACAAUUGGUUGUUUAUUCGAAUCAAUCGGUUGUUUAUAUCAGUUAAAACUUAAACAACUUAAAAAUAGAAUUUAAAGGAGUUCAGAGAAAGAGAAAUGCACACAAGUAGUUUAUACUGGUUCACUCUUACAACAAGAGUUACAUCCAAUUCCCAGAAACCACUGGGUAAUCCACUAAGCAAUCAAAACAAAUUACAAAACACCACACACCAAAAUAGUGACCUUGAACCCCUCAAGAAAUACAUUACCUUUGGCAAACCACACCAAGAGUAUUGAUCUUGAACACCUCAAGAACACAACACUCCUUGGCAAUACAACAACAAAAAUACAAAAGAUAAAGAAAGGAUUACACCUGAUCAAAGUUCAAUUGAAAAGAAUACAAUUACACCUGAUCAAAGUUCAAUUGAAAAGAAUACAAUUGCAAUCCUAUUUCACUCUCACUUGAAAAUUCAAAGCUUGAUGUGAAUCUUAAAAACUUGAGAUCAAAUUUGUCAAACUGAAUUUCUCAAAAUUGUUUCUUACUCUUCAGAAACAUAUAACAAACUAUUUAUAUUUUCCAAAGAUUGGUCAAAACAUUUAAUGAAGGAGCAUAUUCAAUUAGAAAUCAUUUAAGACAGAUUCACCAUUCAAAACUGAAUUUUGUAAGGAUUUUCAAAGAAACAAUCGGUUGAAACCACGAAACAACCGAUUGAUUUGGUUUAACAGUUAAGUCAACCAAGUCAAACAACUUUCAACCUUUUUCAAAACCUCUAAGAACAAAACAACCGGUUGAUUCGAGAAAACAACAACUUGUUUUUCACUUAGUUGAAAAAAAAAAUUCAAAAAGGUUUCAAUUCACAUCAGUUUUAAAUUCAACAAAAGAGUGGAUUACACUUUAUUCUACCCUAAUCCCACCCACACAUAGCAUCAACACCAACCUUUCAUCAAACACCUUGGAUUUGGAUUCUUCAAAGCUCUUGAUCACUCUUGAUCAACAAUCUCCCCCUAUUUGAUGAAGACAAAUCCCUGGUUGCUUGUGUUGAUCUUGUUUGAAUCUGACACAGCACCUGUAAAACAGAAAUCAUGCAAUCCAGAACAUCUCUAAUAGCAGGUUAUAAUGAUAUAUCAACUAGUUUUUCUACAUAACCACAAGAGUAGAAAAACUAGCCAUAAACUAUGCCAAAAACAUCAAAAUUGCAACGCCAAAUCAAACAACAUAUGCUGCAGAAUUUAAAGGCACUUGAAUUUCCAAGAUAUGGAAUAUAUUCUUUUUAUGACAAGAAGUAACCUCCUCCUGAACCAAAUCAGACUCAUAUGACUGCUUCAUUGACUCAUAAUUCUUUUAAGAUUGAAAUCUGAAAAAGAUAGAAAGCAUAAAGAAAUUAAAUCAAUUUUAUGCAGAGCUGUCAGAGGAGAAACAAUCGGUUGUUUCGAGAAAACAAUCGGUUGUUUUUCUGAAACAACAACUAAAUAGAAUUUUUAAAAGCAAAGAAGAAUCAAAAUGUAAUUGCUCCACAUAUAUCACAAUUUGAUGAAGAUUUAACACAUAUUAAGAAAAGAAAAACAACAUAAACAAAGAAAGCCUUAUCCUUUUGUCAUAAAGUCCCUUCAAUGAGUCAUUGUUCAUGAUUAAGAAAACUUAUUUUGGCUUUUAAGAAGACUUAAGCUGGUACAGAAUCCUCAGUUCAAUUCCAGAAAGAAUCCUUUCCUUCCAAAAGCUUGAUUUGAUGACUCAAGAGUCCCUACUUGUCUUAGUAUUCCUACAACACAAAAAAUUCAAGAAACAAGAUUUGGGUCCUUAUGAUUUAUAUUUAUCACUGGAAACUUCAGAAUCUUUGGGAAUCCAUCUUAUAAUACCUUUAGGAACAUAAUAUUUCCUAAUUUUACAGAAUCUAACAGAGUGGCCUCUCUUCAUGCAAUAAAAACAUGUAACAACCGGUUGUUUCGAUUUUUCAAUCGGUUAUUUUUCUGGCACUUUUGAAAAAGGCUUUGAAAUCCCAUUUUUCUUGCUUUGAGGAUUAAACCCCAAACCAGAUUUUCCAGAAACACAUUUUUGGGAUGCCAAGACAGUUUCAAAGUUAUAUUUACCCUUUGAAAGUGUAUCCACAGUUCUUACAAGAUAGUGGACUUUACUCUCAAGAGUUUUACAAUUUUCACAAGCUUUUGAGUGACACAUGCAAGAAGAAUUCUUGCAAUGCAAUUCAAGAUUUUCAAAAUCAGUUUUUGAAUUUUCCAAUUCUUCUUCAAGUGUCUUGACUCUAUUUUCAAACCAAUUAUUCAACCCUUUCAACCGGUUGUUCAAGAGAGCCAAUCGGUUAGCUUCCUCAUGAGUUUCUUUAAAAGCUUGAAGCAAUUGACUAUAGUUUUCAGCAUUUAAAGAGGCACAAGAACUUACACUGCUUGAAUCAUCUUUUCUCUCUGCCAUCAAACACAGAUUGGCUUUUUCAUCUUCACUUGAUGAGGAGACUUCAUUUUCAUCCCAAGCAAUUGGCCUUUUUUGAUUUCUCUUUCUUGCUUGACUUUUUUUCCUUGCCUUCUUUAUUUGGGCAUUCAACUUUCAUAUGCCCUUGUUCUCCACAACCAAAACAAAUAUAAUUGUUAGGAGUAAAAUCACUAGUUUUCUUGUUUCCAUACCUUUCUUUGUUGGAUUCUUUGUUGCGGUUUCUCUUCAAGAAUUUGCUGAACUUUUUGGACAGCAAACUAAGAGUUUCUCCCUCACUUUCAUCACUUGAGUCUUGCUUAUUUUUGUUCUUGGCAACUUUCAAGGCUAUGUUCCUUACAUGCUUGUCUUCACUUUCUUGAACAUUGAGUCUAUUCAUCUCUAACUCAUGUUCUCUAAGCUUUCCAAAUAAGGAGGUUGUGGUUAAGGAUGUCAAAUCCUUAGACUCAAAGAUGGAAAAAUUUUUGGUUUCCAAGAUCUAUCAAGACACUUUAGAAUCUUGAUGCUCAACUCCUCCUUGUCAAAAGUUUUUCCAAGACUCAUUAGAUAAUUGACUAUGUGGGUGAAUCUCUUUUGCACUUCAACAAUUGAUUCUCCUUUGAGCAUUCUGAACAUCUCAUACUCUUGUAUUAGAGUAUGUUUCCUUGCCCUUUUCAUAUCAUUUGUCCCUUCAGGGGUGACCUCUAGAGUAUCCCACAUUUCCUUAUCCGCCGAUGCACAUUAUGAGAUACUGAAAAAUUCAUCAGAGUUCAAAGCAGAGGUUAUGAUAUUCUUGGCAAUGCAAUCAAACUUGGCCUUUUUAUUUUCAGCAUCAGUCCAUUGGGACCAAGGUUUUUCAAUAGAAGCACCUUCCUUUUCAAAUUUUGGAAUAAGAGGUUCAUUCUCAAUUGCAUCCCAAAUCCCUUUAUCAAGAGAUUCAACAAAGAUUUUCAUUCUAACCUUUUAAAACUAAUAGUUCAAACCACAAAACAAAGGUGGCCUGUUAAUUGAGGCACCCUCCCCAAAACGUAGUUUUUCAGCCAUAGAAAAAAGGAUUUAGGAUUGAAAACUUGAGUAACUACAAGAACUUAGCUCUUGAUGUCAAUUGUUAGGAUAUAUGACCUUAAACAAGACGGGGGGAAUUGUUUAUAAAAGAUUUUCGAAAACUUUUGAAGGUUUAAUGAAACUCAGUGAAGAAAUCUAGAAGAGGAACCAAGUUAGCCAAGAACACAGUCUAUUUUAAAGUGAAACACAGAAAAACAAUCGGUUGUUUCUUCGAAUCAAUCGGUUGUUUAUACCAGUUAAAACUCAAACAACUUAAAAACAAAAUUUAAAGGAGUUUAGAGAAAGAGAAAUGCACACAAGCAGUUUAUACUGGUUCACUCUUACAACAAGAGCUACGUCCAGUUCCCAGAAACUACUGGGUAAUCCACUAAGCAAUCAAACCAGAUUAAAAAACACCACACACCAAAGUAGUGACCUUGAACCCCUCAAGAAACACACUACAUUUGGCAAACCACACCAAGAGUAUUGAUCUUGAACACCUCAAGAACACACAACACUCUUUGACAAUACAACAGAAAUGCAGAAGAUUCAGAAAGGAUUACACCAGAUCAAAGUUCAACUGAAAAGAAUACAAUUGCAAACCUAUUCCACUCUCACUUGAAAAUCCAAAGCUUGAUUUGAAUCUUGAAAACUUGAGAUCAAAUCUGUCAAACUGAAUUUCUCAAAACUGUUUCUUACUCUUCAGAAACAUAUAACAAACUAUUUAUAUUUUCCAAAGAUUGGUCAAAACAUUUAAUGAAGGAGUGUAUUCAGUUAGAAAUCAUUUAAGACAGAUUCACCAUUCAAAACUGAAUUCUGUUAGUUCAAAGAAACAAUCGGUUGAAACCACGAAACAACCGAUUGAUUUGGUUUAACAGUUAAGUCAACCAAGUCAAACAGCUUUCAACCUUUUUCAAAACCUCUAAGAGCAAAACAAUCGAUUGAUUUGACAAAACAACAGGUUGUUUUUCACUUAGUCGGAAACACAUUUAAUUUUAAAAGGUUUCAAUUCACAUCAAUUUUAGAUUCAACAAAAGAGUGGAUCACACUUUAUUCCACCCAAAUCCCAUCCACACACAGCAUCAACACCAACCUUUCUUUAAACACUUUAGAUUUGGAUUCUUCAAAGCUCUUGAUCACUUUUGAUCAACACAUAUCACAAUCACAUUAGAACAUGAAUAUUAAGGUCUUUUUCAGGGUUAUAAUGGGAUUGAGCUUUCAAUGAAUAUUGGUUUUUCAUAUAAGAAAAUACACAAUUAAAAGAAAAACAACAUACCUACAAUGCAUAUGUGUUAUCUAAUCACUAACUUCUUUUGAGUUUAAUACUUUUCCCCAUUUUCUUUACUUAUUCAUGAUUUCAACUUUUUUUUUUCUAAGAGAAUAGAAAUAGAUUAUUCCUAUUUCUAACCAAAUGAAUUAUUUAAACUUAUAUUAUUCAAACAACUGAAACCAACCAUUCCUUUUUUUCUAUAUAUAAAUUGCAUUUAUGUUCUCCUUCCUUAAACAUGUCAACAGGUAGGAAAAUAUAUUAGUUAAGGUUCAGGGUGCAAUAAUAAUAACAAAUAUUCUUGGCUCAAAAAGGUUAUCACAGAGAUAUAAUCAAUUUAAAUAAAGGUUGGCUAAAUGACUCUAGCUUUCUAAUUAAUACAAAUGCCUUAAUCAUUUUCAUGCUCUUUUAUGAUGUAACAUAAAAUAAAAAAAUCAAGCAACCAUAACUGUCAUUCAUCAGUGAAACUCUCAAACUAUUUAAGAUUCACACACUUACUUGGCUUAAUUAGUCUAAUUCCUUUUUGCUUGUCAUUCUCUAUUUCAACUAAUCAUCCUAUUUAAUUUUUAUGUACCAUAAUCUAAACUAAAUUGGAAUAUGGAUUCAACACAUUUUCUUUUCCAACCUGUGUCUAUAUCAUUUCAUUAUUCUAAUCUUAAACACAAAUUUUGAUUAAUAAUUUUCCCACAAUUCAAAUUAAUAUUCCAAUUCUUACAAUAAUAUUUAAGAAUAAUGUAAACUAGAAAAACAACUCAACAAAUAAAAUAAAACUAAAAAUAACUCAACAUAUAAAAUAAAAUUUAGAAACAAAAUAAGCAAAUUAAACAAACUUAAAGGAAAUAACUAUAAAGAUAAAACCAUGUUUUGUGCUCAAUCAUCUCUUCUUAGCAACUCAUCCAACUAUGUGUUGAAAUCUUAAUAUACAGUCGUAGAUGGUCCUGCUUCAUCUACUUGAAUUGCCCCCCGAAGAAAUAAUACUUAUCUCCAAACCAUGCAAAUAAGCUCCAAAGUGAUCUGCAGGCAUAAAUUCUCAAAAUUUAUGUUAAAACAUUACAGAAAAUCCUUUUAUCAAAACUGAACUAUCAAUUUUAAUGGAUUAAAAAAUUUAUUUAAUAUGUUGAUUUCACUUAAGGUGAAAAUAAUGAAUUAUUUCAAAUUUUCAAUUUUUUAAAACCAUUCCGGAUAAUAACAUCCUUAAAACCAAGAGAUUUCAAUAAGCUAAAAACUAAUUAUAACAGAUUAAAAAAAUCUUUACAAAACUACUUGGGAUUUUAAAUAUAAUUUGAACAAAUUGAUUUCAUAAAAUAAUCAAUUGAAAUAUGUUGGGUUUAAUAGUGCCAAAGUUCAAGAGGGGGGGGUGAAUUGACCUUUUAAAACUUUCUCGCAGAAACAAUGUUUAACUCAGUUUUACAGAAAAUAAAUCGAUUUAUGUGAAAAUGAACAGAUUUAUUUCAGCACUGUUUUUGUUUGAAACGCUUUUAAUACAACAAUAUUAACCACAAGACUAUGCAGAUAGAUUUUCCAUAUGCAUACACACAGAUAUCAGAUUGAAAAACAGUGAAAUACAAAACAGCAAGUUUCAAUUUCCAGUAAGUGAUUAAGGUUCAAUUGAUAGCAUGCUAAUUAAUUGAGUGACCUUUGCAAACAACCUGUUCCAGUGGCUUUUAACAGACUAUGAGUGUUCUUCUUGAUGUCAAGCAAUUUUCCAGAAAUUAAGAACAAUGAAUCACAGAACAGCAAGCUUCAACUUUAAGCAAUUGUUUAAGGUUCAAUUAAUAGCUUUGACAGUUUCUUGGGCAACCUAUCACAGCCAAUCUGUUCCAGUAACUUUUAGCAGAUUUUAUAUGUUCUUAUCAGAUUAAGACAACUUUUUCAGAAAUCAAGAACAGUAUGCACAGUGCCCAGAAAGAACAGAUUUAUUUUCAAUUGAACAGAUUUAUUUCUUUGCUGUUUUAUCAAUUAUGCAGAAACGAAAUUGCAGAGAGUGAGAGAGAAUGAACACAAGCAAUUAUACUGGUUCACUCAACUGAGCUACAUCCAGUCUUCACCAACAACAGGUGGAAAUCACUAACACACAGUACAACCAAGAACAAUUCCCACUGUUCUUGAAACCUACAAGAACUUAGGUACUCUUGCUGAAAAAACCUAUUUCAGCAUACACACACACCCACUCUUCAAGAACACCUACCAAGAAGAGUGUUCAACCAAACUAUUACAAGAAAGAGAUGUGAAACGACUACACCUGAUUGAGGAUACACAGAUCUGCCUUAAACCAGUAGGCAAGAUUGCUAGAACAGUAGCUGCACCUCACACCAAGCUUUUGGAACCAAACCAAGAACAAGCACUUUGUGAUUUUUGAAUCUUUGAAGAACAAAUGCUAAUUCUUUGUAAACACUUAACUCUCUGCUGUCAAAACUUGUUUUUGCAAAUGUAUGAAUUGUUUGAAUUGUUAUUAAACUCAGAAACAAGUUUGCAUUUUAUAGAAAACCAACUUAUAACAGAUUUUUGAAAAACAGUUAAAGCUGUUAUAAAAUGAACAGAUUGAAAAUAAAAUGAACAGAUUUAUUUUCAAAAAGCAGUUAGAGAAUUUGUUAAGUGAGGAGACUUAGUCAACCAUUCUGGUGCAGAGAUAAAACUGAAAAACGUUUAAGCUUGACAUGGCACCAGAGACAAAAAGAAUCUAUUCAUUUACAGAUGAACAGAUUUAUUUUUCAAAACGAAAACAGAGAAAGUUUAACAAUUUAAAACUCAGUCGUUUUGAAAAGAAGAAGACUUAGUCAAAAUAUCUGAUGCACAAAAUCUAAUUUUUACAAGACUUUAGCCAAGGCAUCAGUGAAGAAAAAUGAAUCUGUUUAUUUAGAAAAGAACAAAUUUAUUUUUAUGCAGUAAACGUGUUUUUGUGUAAAACAUGUGAAAAAUAGUUUAAGAAAACUUAUGCUUGUUCUUAUCACAUGGCCAGUGGUUAUGAGGUGAGUUACCCAGCAAAAAGCCCACUCUUAGACAACCUCUAAGCACCACCUAAGACAUACUUAAAGCAAAGCAAAAUACAAAUGAAAUGUACAUAUAAGACUUCAUCAAACACUACAUAUAAGUUCAUCAAACACAAUCUUGAAGGGGCAGCAACCAUCUUCAACAAAAUAUUCACUCCAAUCUUUAAAGAGGUUAAGAAUUUUUAACAGAAUAAAAAUAUCAUUUAGAUCCAUUGAAAUUAUCUUAAUACGAACAAUAAGUUCCAAAUAGUCUGAAAACAUUCUGAAAUUAUUCUUGGAUUAUGUGGAUCAUUAACCUUGGUAAUCGGAAAAAUACAGACACAUAAACUCACAGACACACACUAUGUAAUCUAAGUCUUCUCUUCAAACUUGGAUUCAUCAAAUAACUCAUCUUCAAUUGUACCUGCAUAUGAGUGCUUUGAGCAUAUCUUGUUUAGAUUCAUAAAGUCUGCGCACAUUCGCCAUUUGACGCUCACCUUUUUUUACCAUGACCACAUUAGCUAAUCACUCUGUGGUACAAUCCAAGUAGACAAGAAGAUGACCAAGGACUCAAGAGACCAUUCACACUAUGAGCAGUCAUCUCAACAAUCAAGUCAAGACCCCACCAAAGAUCUAAUGGACCUCACCAGAAGAAGAACUGGGCAUAGACAUGUCGUAAAUAAUUUGGGGUCACUUUAGGGGUCCAAAUAACAAGAUAGGCUAUAGUAGGUUCAUAUAGCAUAAAAGGGAGUGUUCUUAGCGAAAUUGGCUUAUAUUAAGCCCACUUUUCAAGACAAGGCAUCUAGGUUUAGGAAGGUUGCCCUACCUUCUAGAAAACCUAGCCAAAGGGGUGGUUUUGACUUUAGUCAACCUCCCUUGGCCGCCCCUUUUCAUGCCCAUUAUACCCUUGUUUCAUCUUGUUUUCCAAGGCACCCAUUGUUAAAAAUAGGGUGUCUUGCCUCAUGUUAUGACCCAUUUAAAAUUUCAAAUAGAAAGGAAACUCUGCACAAAUUGUGAGUGAGAUUUGUGUUCUCUCAACUUUGGUCUUAUCUUGUGAGAGUGAGAGCUCUUCAAGUGGCGACCCUCAUCACUUAUCUUGGAGAUCCCACACCUCCAAGUGGCGUGUUCAUUCAUUCCCUUCACCAUAAGCUUUCCUAUCCUUCAUCUUUUCUUCCAUUUUCGAUUACACCAUUUAUCCUUGUGUUUAUGUUCUUGUUUUGCUUCCAUUUUCAAUUCGGUCUCCUUCAUUAUAUUUGCUUCCAUUUGUGUUCUUUCAUUUUCGCAAAGCAUCAUCAUCUUCACCAUAUCUUGUGUUUUCCUUUUUGCCUUUGGAAGUGAACAUUCACACUUAACCACUUGGUUAAGUUCGUGUCCAGUGGGGAUCUUCCCUAGGUCUCACCCUAUAAUUGCUAAAAUUCAAACCAUGAACAAAGUGCCACCAUUAAAAUGGACAAACCUAAAAUCAACUCACAUCACUCUGGAUAUUAGAUUUCCCGAAUAUGCUCACACUAAAAGAAAAUCAUUAAAUAGAUAGAGACAAAAAUUCAUUAGUUACUAUAUUGACUAAAUUAGAUACUAUGUUAGAGAUUAAACAAAAUUUUGAUAUCUAAAGUAGUCUCUAUUAUUAAUAAAAAUCAUAAACUACUUUCUAAAUUGGUAUCUAAUUAGCUACCAAGGUAUCUACAGUGGUAUCAAAUUAACUGCUAGUAUCUAAAACUUUGGUUGUUAAUUAGAUACUAAUUUAGAAACUAGUUUAUAAAUUUUAUUAAUAAUAGAAAUUAAUUUAGAUGCAAAUAAGUUUUUAGUCUCUAAAGUAGUAUCUAAUUUAGUCAAUAUAGUAACUAAUUACUUUUGGUAUCUAAAAUUUAUUUAUAUUUAAUGAUUUCCUUAUAGUGUCACCCACUAGUAGUUUAUGAUAUUCUUCUUUGAUUACCUGUCUUUUUUCUUCACAAAUUUCCUUCUUCUCUAAAUAAUUGGCUUCACCCUCGGUUGACAACUAAAAGAAUGGCAUAAGAAGUCGAUAUCUAUACUAGGAAUUUCAAAGGUCGUCCAGAAAAAGAACUAUAAGUUUGCUUUUAUCAAAUUUAUCAAUUUACUCUCGACUUGUUUGUGCAAGGCUCUGCCAAUUUUUAUCUUCUGGCCCUUCCUAAUGUUCGUCAUCUCCCACUAGUUGCGGCCUCAAAUCUUUGUACAUGAUUCAUGGUUCAAGGUCUAAAUUUUUUAUAUCGAAUGAGUAGGUUGUUGAGUAAGCAUUUUGACACAUGUGCAAACUAUUCGCGUGAAACUUCCAGGUCGUCCUUUAAUAUACCUUUAAUGUCACAAUGUUUCCUUUAGAAGCUGGGAACUUGACUUUGAAAUGUAUGAAAGACACUAAUGCUCCUAGUUUAUUCAAGAAAGGUUUCCCAAGGAGCAGAUUAUAAGUGUAAGGACCUUUAACUACAAUAUAUCUCACCAUAAUAGUACUUAUUGACUCUUCAUCGGUAAAGGUGGUUUGGAGAUCAACAUAUCCCCACACUUCUACUUGAACUGCUAAAAAUCUGACCAAAACACCAUCAGAUGACUUGAGUUGAUCUGAUACAGUCAUUCUUAAGUGUUGAAUGGAGAUUGAUGGAAGGCAGCGAAAGACUUGUAAAUUUGUGGAGGGAGCACAAAAUGGCUAUAGAGGUUCUUGGUUUGGGCAUGAGUUUACAAGGUUGAUGACUAUUUUACAACAAGUGUACCGUGUCAGAAGUAAUAAAUACCUAAGGAUGAAUAUUGAACUCACAAGGAACAUUUCCAAAUCUCAAGUAUAAUAUUCACUAAAUAUAAGAAAAUAUAUAAAAGUUUUUUGGAAAGGUUGUUUGUAUGGUGAAUUUGCAAGAAAUUAAAUAAAGAAAAGUAAAAGAGUUGUAUGAAUCAAUUGGGGUUCAUCCUUCUCACUCGUCUAUAUUUUUCAAAAGAAUAUAAUAUUCAAUCUUGAUUGAUAUUGAUGCAUAUAUAAAAAUCAUUCAUAUUGAUUCCUCGCAUAAAAAUUAUUAAGAGAGACUCCUAAAUAUCGAUUCCUCGCAUAUUUAUAAAAUUCCUUAUCAUUACGAACAAAUGUUAUAAAACAAUUAACAUUUCAAAUCUAUUCCUAGUAUUCAAAUAUGUUAAGCAUUAUCAUUUAGGUCAGAUUCUUAGAAGUACUUUCCAGUCAAAUUUAAGGAUCAAAAUCAUGAAUAAUUCAAUCUUUAAGAAUAAAAUGAUAAUACCAAUCAUCAAUCAAGAAUUGAAAUGUUAAUGGUUUCUAAAAAAAUAACUUAAACAAUAUGUUUAGUUUAUUUCAUAUACGAUUUGAUAACAUAUACCUAUAUUUGUUCAUAUACACAAUACAUUCAUAGUAUAUUACCACACAAAUAACAUGUACAAGAGUAUGUUAUCAAAAUAAAUUAUCUUAACAAGACAACUUUAUUCAAGUUAAUUAUCACUAUAAAUUCACAAGUCAAAUCAAUUCAUCAUCUUAUCAUCAACUACAUGCAUACACACAUACAAACAAACACACGUACACACACAUACCACACAUGGAUCCAUGCAUUCAAUGAUAUUUAUCAAGGAAUGUCUCAUACGGAAAACUCAUAAUAAGCAUUCACUAGUAGAGACACUACAAGAAAAAAUAGUUUUAACGAAGGUUUAUUUUUACAUUAUCAAGGGUUAAAACCCCUAUUAAGUCAUUUACCCAAGGUUGCAGUUUGCCCCGUUAAACCAUCCCUGGGGAACGUAUUUCCCGGGGUAUUUUUAAACCUCAAGAAAAGUCUUUCAAAACCCUUACUAAAUAUCAUGGGUUUAAGAACCUCCGUAAAAUACCAUGGGUUUCAAAACCUCUAUUAAGUAUCAUAGGUUUCAAAACCUCCGUAAAACACCAUGGGUCUCAAAACCUCCAUAACCAUGGGUUUCAAAACCUUCGUUAAAUUCUAUGGGUUUAAGAACCUCCGUAAAAUACCAUGAGUUUCAAAAUUUCCGUAAAAUGACUUGUCGUUUGAAAUAACCUUCAACCCCAUUUUCCACCAUCCACUACAAAAAAAAUCACGUUUAGCGACCACCAAAUUCGGUCACUAAAAGCACUAUAAUUGGUGGCUAAACAUAUUUGCGACCGAAACAGUCACCAAAUAAAGAUGGAAGCGAAAACCCUAGUCGCAAAGCCUUUAGCGACCGAAUUAUAAAGUGGUCGCUAAUUUGCAACCGAAAUUUCGGUGGCUAAAUCGGUCAUAGAAAAUUUGGUCAUCAAAAUUCAGAAACCAAAUUAGCAACCGAUAUUUCAGUGGCUAAAUCGGUUGCAGAAAAUUUGGUCACCAAAAUUCGGAAAUCAAAUUAGCGACCAAACUUUUGUAAACAAAUCGGUGGCUAAAUUGGUGGCUGAAAUAGAAGGUGAUAGUGACCACCAUUUUCGGUCGCUAGUGGAUUAAUUAAAAAAAAAACUUUUGGUGGCUAAUUCGGUGGCUAAAUGGAGACCCUAUAACAACAUAUUUGAUUUCGAUGGCUAAAUAUUUUUUUUAAUUACAGCAAUCGAUUCUAUUUCAGUAGCUAAAAAACAACUUUGUAGAUGUAGCCACCAAGUCGGUUUCGAUGACUAUUUUUUAUGUAUUAUUAAUAUCUAUUUAAACUAGUAUUUUGACCAUUUUAUAAAAAAAUUCAAAUAUGCUUAUAGAUACUUAAAAUUGUGGGAAGCUAAAUAGGAAUGAACUUCAAAUACAUAAUUUAAGAAAUGAAAUCAAAUUGAUUAUUGUUAAAUAUAUAUAUAUAUAUAUAUAUAUAUAUAUAUAUAUAUAUUUGUUGUAGUAAGAAGUAAUUAAGGAAUUAAAAUGUUUAAAAAUACAAGUAUUCGGUUUUAAUGUUAAGUUUUGUAAUAACUAAAAUCAUGUCAAGUCUUCAUGUUUCAAUGGAUCAAAGGUUAUGCAAUGUGACGUAACAACAACACUAAAAUAGUAUUAAUAAAUCCAGGUUCCAUAUUUUUAUACAAACAAGAAAGAGAAACCUAAUUUGGAUGAUGAAGGAUUACAGUGUCUUUGUAUAUAAAAUGAACCAAGGCCUAAUAGACGCAAGAAAAUAAUUAGAUAAUGAAGAAAAAUGGUAUGAGAUUACACAUUAAAACUGAACUAAGUAGCAAUGCUACCUUGAAAACUCUAGGCUCCAUGUCAUUGAGAACUAUCACCCUAUCAUCUUUCCCUAACCCAUUGGAAAACAACAGGAAAAAUAAAACUGGAUGCCUCACACUAACAACAUUCUUCAACAAAAAUAAUGCAGGUGCCUUGUACUUCUCAAACAUAAGCUUUGUUGUCCUGCAAUAAUAAAAUCCAAAAUAUACGAACUGACACUUUAAGAUGAGCUCAUAAUUCUAGACAAUAAAUUAUAAUAAGAAUACAUUUCUCUCUGCUAUUGAGAGUUUGAAGAAGGCUCUACAAGGAUCAUAGGAUGCUCUUUAGGAUCAAUAAGUAGGCAAUCCCUACCAAAAACAGAAAGCAUGGUCGAUCAAUAGGCACUCUCUACCAGAAAAAGAAUGUGAACCAGUGACAAAUAAAAUAAUAUGUGGAUUUUAUAGUGACCAUGCAUGAAACUUGUUUUAAAUCAUGCUAUUUAAUUAGAACCAUUUGUCUGGACACCCCAAGGUAAAAAUUGAAGCAACAAUUACCCUAUUAACAUUCUAGGGUAGGUUAAAAAUUCAUUACAAUCUUAAAAUGCAACAAUAAAAGAAUAGUAAUGCAUAUUAUAGAAUUUGGCACAUGCAGAAUUAUAUACAUGAAUAGAGUCAUAGUAGCUGGGAGGAUGAAACUAGCCUAAGGGGGUACUGUUGCUCCCCCAUGGCAUGGACCAGCAGGUUUGAGAUCUAGAACUACAGAAAAUAAGGUCUGCAGAUCAUGUAAUAUGAAGCAUGGCCUCAGUAGGAUGGAAGGGGAAAUGUGUGUGAAGCAAUUACCAAGCCAAUGUUAAAGCAGAAUAUAAACUUAUUGAAUGAGGGGUGUCGUGCAAUAGGGAUGCAAAACCUAUACAUGCUUCAAAAUGAAAUGAGAGCAAUCAAAACUACAUCUAGAAGAAAAAAAACAUUAUUGUUGAAAAUAACCAUUACAUGGAAAUUAGCCUUACCUUUAGUUGUCUCUGCUGGAAGAACAAUUUAAUAUUGACAAGGGUCUAAAUCUACAACUACAACAAAGAAAUUAAAAAUAAAAAAAAAGAACCCAGGUAGCAAAAUUGAAGUGAAUCAGGAAAGCAUGAGAGUAAUUGUAUUAGGUUUAACCUAUGAAGCUAUAAUGGGAAAUAGUUGGUAAGAAAACCCAGAUGAUGCAAUUGAAAGGUGUAAGCAGAGAAAAUGUCACUUGGCAGCAAUGUUCAUAUUCAAUAUAGUUUAUAAUAGUCAUAGAUUAAAUAAUGUGAAUGGAAUCAGAAGCAAAGAAUGGUGGCAGAGUAAACUUGCUUCUAAAUGCAAGGUUUAGACAAUCCAAUUAAAGCUAACACACCAAUGUCUAUAAAAAAAUUCAUUAUUAUUAAGAAAACUAAACAUGAAAUAAAGCUUCAACUAUUAUCUAUGUCAUUCCUUAUCAAUUAUAGGAGCAUACGAUCCCAAAACUAUUGUCGCUGGUAAAGUUUGUGAUACUUUAGUUAUAGUUAUAUUACAAAACCAAAGCAACACUAGAUAAUAAUAACUAAAAAUAUACGAGAAACUAAAAUUAAAAUUAAAAAAAAUAUAUAUUAACUAAACCAAGAUGUUGAAAAUAUAAUUAUUAUACAAGAACAAACACUUUAGAAUUUAACUUGAAUACCUGCAAGUUCAUAUACGAAUUAAUAGAAACCAAAUAACCUGAAGAAAAAAAAAACCAGUGAAGACAAUCAACAAAAUGAAAUCCAUGCAGUAUUUGACCACCUUAGGAAACUGCAAGGAAGCAUUUAGAAAUGAAAUAACAAUAGAGAAAAUGAUCCAUAACAAAUCAUCAUACCCUUGUACUCCAUUCUCCACUUGAGUUUCACAAUUACAGGCUUCCUGGUCAAAUUAUUCAAGACAGGUUUGGGAUUAACUGGUAUAGUCUGCAAAACACGAGGUAAAAAAUAAACUUACAAAAAUUAGAAAAUAAAGCACAAUCAAUCACACGCUGUGAUCUUUUAUACUCAAAGAACAUUGGCUAGUUCUAGAUCUACUUCCACUAAAACUCUUUCAUUCCGAUUAAACAUCAAAAAAAUGCACAACAAUUCAGAAAAUGGAGAUCGGAGAUCUAGGGCAUGAAAAAUGGGGAAAAUGAAAAGCAAUUUUAAGAAACCAAAUCGGGGCAAAUUGAAAACGAAUACCAAAUAAGAGCUUCGAUUGAGAUGAUUGAGCUUCGAUUGAGAGAUGAAGAUUAGAAUAUAUGGAGAUGAAGAGCAAACAACUACUGUGUGUAUAAAAACCACGAAACUUUAUAAGUAUGUGAAAAACUGCGGGAAGUGUGUAAGAAUAUGAGAGUGUGUCACAGAUUUGCGUCAUUCUCGUUCGCGAUGCAGAGGCCCUAGAAAGAGAGAGAGAGGUGGGGGAGCAAUGUAGCGAAAACCUAAAUUGUUGGCGUUCAUCGUCAUCGUCGUUGGCGGCAGUCUAAGAAGCCAUGACCUGAGCGAGGCGCUGAGCAGCGGCUUUGCCUGCAACAUUCUGAGUCCUUUUGACGGUUGAAAUUCGAGUUGCAGUGAGGGUGAGUGAGGAAGAACAAGAAUGGCCAUUUCCUUUUUCUUUUUCUUUUUUUUUUAUUAUUAUUAUUAUUAUUAGUAUUAGUAUUAGUAAAAGACACAUUUAUAUUUAGCCACCAAAAAAAAUCGGUGACUAAAAAAUAAACAUAUUUGGUGGCUGAUUCGGUAGAAAAAAUAAACCGUUACAUUUAGCGACCAAAAGAAAAUCGGUGGCUAAAAUAUAAACAUAUUUGGUAGCUGAUUCGGUGGCAGAAAUAAACAAUUACUUUUAGCGACCAAAAGAAAAUCGGUGGCUAAAAUAUAAACAUAUUGGGUGGCUAAUUCGGUGGCAGAAAAUAAGCAAUUAUAUUUAGCGACCGAAAGAAAAUCAGUGGCUAAAAAAUAAACAUAUUCGGUCGCUAAUUUGGUCGCAGAUAUAUUUUUCCCAAUUUAUUCAAAACAGCCACCACUUUAGCGACCGAUGGUUUUGUGACUCUCAUGUUCGGUCGCUGAUUCGGUCGCAAAACUAACUAACAUCAUUACAAUUCAUUCGGUCACUGUUUCGGUCGCAGAUUUGACACUGAAGGUAUUUGGUGGCUAUUUCGGUCGUAAAUUGCAACUACUUAUUUUCGGUCGCUAAAUUCGGUGACUAAAUAGUUAUUUUCUUGUAGUGAUCUCUAACGGUCCUUCUAACUUCUCUCUUCCAUCGUAGACACACUACUCUCCGGCACAGGCUUAAUGAUCGCCAACGACAAUCCUAACAAGGAAUCACAAUUCAGUCACACUUAUGUUUAUUAUAUCUAAGGACAAGAAACACUAAAUAAAGCAUUAUCUUCUUCUUACCCCAAUAUUGCUUCUUCGAUCACCUUACUACCCCAACUCAUGUCACAAGCCACUGUUACCUAGCUCGACAACAACUAAUGUUUAUCACUUCUUUAUAUAUCAUAAAUAAUUGCAUUAUUUGUUAGAUGUUGACUUCAAAGUCAUGUGUGUUCUUGGCUACGAGGGCUUCAAAGUCUGUAAGAACAUAUUGUGAGGAGAAAUUAACUUUAUCAAUUCUCAAUUUCACAGUGAAUUAAUUAUUGGAUGAAUUUUAAAAUAAAGGUCUUAAUCUAAAAUAUUUCAAAAUUAUGAGAAUUAUAUAUUGACAAUUAUAACUAAAACUAACAUUACAGAUAAAAUAUACAUACAUCAAAAGCUAAAACAAAAUAAGUCAAAUUUUUUGAAGUAUGAGUUCGUAACAAAAAAAACUAGGAAUUAUAUAAACCAAAUACCAUAAAUCAUAAGAAAUAUGCAAAUACUGUUAAAAUACUUAUUAUCCAAGAUUAUUUUGCUGAAUUUUUAAAAUAAAUAUUUGAAACUUUAGAAAACUUAUUUGUAAUGUAAAGUUACAUUUUCAAAAUUUUAGAGAAUUUAGUUAUAAAAUUUAUAAAUAUAUUAAAACUAUAUAGUUUUCCAUUAUUUAUUUAUAAAUAGAUUUAGUUAUAUUUAUUUAUUGAAGUUCGAAAAUAAUGGAGUGUUUUCUUGAAGUUCAACAAUAAAUCUUUGAAAUUUAACAAAUGUUAAAAAAACAUCCGUUAUUUUUUUGAGAUUUUAAAUAUAAACCUUGAAAUCAAUUAAAUCUCAGUUAAUUAAAUCAAUUCAUUGGAUUAUUUAAACUUCGCUAAAUAACCUCCAUUAAAACCUUUUUUUUUCUUGUAGUGAGACUAUAUGAAUCAAGGUAAGUUUAAGGUAUAGGCAUAUCCAAAACUCAUAAAAGGUGUUUUGACGAUACAAUAAACUUCCCUCCAACUUCUUACCACUUGUGGAUGGAGUUCCUUACUCCUUCCAUAAGUUCUUCGGUUGAAGAUGGUUUGAAUGUGGAGAAUGGAUGAAAAAGAAAUAAUUGAAUAAAAAUGGUAAGAAAUGAAUGAGUUUGGGUGUGAAUUAUGAGAAUGGUGCUAGGAAGGAGGUUAGGCCAAUCUUCUAUCUAAUUUUCUAAGGCUUUUAAACUUAAGAAUGAGAGCAAAAGAAAAAUGAGACUUGAGAGAAACCAUAUAGGCAUAAAUUUAUUAAUCAAAUCAAGUCUUAUGUUUAUAAUAGAAGAACUCUUUAUUUAUAAAGCCAAAAUUGACUAAUGGAACAAAAAACUCUUCAUUCAUGGAGUGAUAUGUGACACCUAAAAACUAUUCAUUCAUGGGUUGCCAUGUGGCAAUAUAUGUAUCCCAAAGCUCUCCAUUCAAGAUGUGACAAGUGGCAUAAGGAGGAGAUGAAGGCAAGCAUGAGGUGCCUAAGUCAUCAUGAAGGACAAGGAAGAGUCGCUUUGGAAAAAGGAAGGGAAGGGCUUCUUGUAGGUGUCCAAGUGGCGCCUAUGUGUAUGUCAAGUAGAUUUCCCUUCAAGCUCUAAGGGCCCAAAAAGUGUAAUAUAGAAUUUUAAAGAUAGAAAUAGAAAUUUCUAAUUACUCUACAAAUUUACAAGACUUUUAGAAAGAAAAUCUUCUAUUAAACAAUUGUUCUCUUCUGGCCUAAAGAUUUUGGGGGUGGGAUGGUCCUCCAUCACUUGAUGUUUUAGUUUACACGACUUGGACUAUCAAUGAAUGUAACAACAUAAUUUCUUGCUUAAUACAAAAAUUCAAACAAUGGUUCACAAAUCAUCUCAGAUGUGUGACCCUAAAUUCAUACAUUUCUCAUCAUUCUCAACAACAUUUUUUGUAUACAACAUAAUUCAUUUAAACAACACCAUAAAUCAAUUCAAUGUACAAUUAUAUAUUAUAUUUACAUUUAUAUUUAACAUUCAUAUUCAAUCAAUUAACAUAAACAUAAAUUAAGAAAAAAAAAUUGUUUGAGUGAAAAAUCAUUCACUUAAGCGAAAUAGGACCAAGAGCAAAGGUUGAGUUUGUACUCUAUUUUUGCUUGAGUGAAAAUAUCAAAAACUCAAUUGUAUUCAAUAGGACCAAACGGACCAAACUGUUUCCAAAAUUUUACUCAAAAUCAUUAUAAAAAGUUCAACUUUUAAAGAAAUUAAAAUGGUCAUCACAACUAUAAUUUGCUUAGUUACCAUACUCUACUGAUUUCAAUUCAACCUUGAUCAUUCAAAUUUAAUAUAAUCUCCAUCCACAUUGAAUACUAAACCUAAACUCACACUAAUACCUGAAAACUAUGGGAACUAACUUUACUCCUUUGAACUAUAUUUAAAAACCAAUUUAAGAAACUUCAUACCUUAACAUGCACAAUUUAACCACUCUAUCAACAUCUUAACACAAGUAAUGAGUUCAGGGUGUUAUAGAUCAAACACCCAUUAACUCAAAACUCACAAUUGCACCCAACUUAAACUCAAGAUAACAAUUCUUAUUCCAAACACAACAAAAGAAUUCACUUUAACUUUAAAGUCAAUUAACAAAGAAAUCUUCAAUUUAACAUGCAUUUGAAUUCUACUUCAAAAUCUAAAUAUGAAAUUGUAACAAAACAAUUAUUUUACUAAAUUCUCACAACUAAACUAAAUCAUGUUUCAAAUUCAUUAUCAAAAUAUCUCUAAGGAUAAUUUUCAUUACUUAUAAUUCCAUGCUUCCAAGUAAGUUCUAGCUAAAAGAGAAGAAUCACUUAAAAUCUAGAAACAACAAAUUAUUCAAAUAUAACAAAAAUUCAAUACAAAUUUUAUAGUUAAGAUUAUCACUUUUCUCAACCCACCAAGAUUCAUGAAAAAAUCUAAAAGAAAAAAAAAUAAUAAAGAAUUUUCAAAAUCAAAUAGUUACUUACUUUAAUUAAAAAACCGACUCAAAAGAAAAAAUUAUAGGAACCAAAAUUAAAAAUUUAUAAUUUUCUAAAUAGUAAAAGCAUAUUUAAUUUUGUUAAAUUUCAUAUUUAAAUUUCUAAAAUAUACUUUGCUACAAACAAAUGAAAUAAAUAAAUGAAAUUAUUACAUUUAGUAUGUUUAUUAUAUUUCAUAAGAUCAAUCAUGAUUACACGGUAUAUUCAAGAUUUUUUAUUAUGGUAUUUUCAGAAGAAAAAAAUAUAGAGUACUAAAAAUAAAGAUAAUUUUACACUGGUUAGUUACAAAUAUUAAUAAAUUAAUUGAGUCUUAUAAUAAUUACCUUAAAAUUUAUACCAGUAGUAACUUAUAACUAAAUGCCAAUAUAAAUACAAUAUCAUCUUAUUGAACUCUUAUUUAUUUUAUUCUUUAAGAUUGAUGAAAAGUUUAUCUUUUACAAACCUUUUGUGCAUGCAUAAUAAAAAAAAUCAUUGAUCUAACCGUUAUGGGUGACAUUUAUUAUAAAGGACAAUGCUAUGCUCAUAUCAUAUAUUCAUAUAUGCCCUCGUGAACUUGCUUUUCCCUUUUUCCUUUUUAACUACACUCGUGAGUCUAUUAAGCAUUGGAUUAAACUAUGGUGACGUGUAUUUCAUUGAAAUGCAUAUCUUAAAAUCGUAAAGAUUUUUAUCUCAUGAUAAAUUAUGGUACAAUUAAAAGUUAUUGACUAAAUGUUCCCAAAGUGAAGGACAAUGUACCCAUGAAUUUUCGAUUUUUGUUUAUCUUAUAAACGAGGUAUUCUAAUUAAGAGAUAAGAGAAAAAAAAAUGUAUUUUUAAAAUUUGAAUACGAUAACAUCAUUUUUAAUAUUUUGAAAUUCUUAAAACUAAAAAUCUCUCUUAAGAGAAGUAUUUAUUUAUUUUCUUGAACAAUAUUUACACAAAAUUUAUUAAAUAAUGUAAUUUCGAUUUCUAAUUCAGUAAUUUAAUUUUUCAUUAUUUUAAUAAUUUUUCCCGAUAAUAGAAAUAAAGUGUAUAAAAGAAGUGUAUUUUUGUCCCAAUUAAUGUAGGGAGACUUUUACGUUUUUUUGUUUUUUUAUUUGAAAUUUCAAUCGAUGAAAAGAAUGAAAAAUAUAAUUAAGUAUAUGUUUCCGUAAAGAUCUGGUGAAAAUAUGUACUAACUAAUCAUUCGAAUUAACAAACACAAUCUUAAUGUCUUCUGAUAUCUCGAAUGAAAUGAAAAUCAAUCUCAAUAUGCUUGAUCUUUUUAUAAAAGAAGAAAUUUGAGCUAAUAUGAAGAGUAACUUGAUUAUCACAUAUGAGUGUCAUCUGAGUGAUCUCUCCAAAUUACAAUUGUUUAAGUAACUAUUUAAGCCAAAUAAACUCACAAGUAGCUGAAGUCAUAACUUUAUAUUUUGCUUCAGCACUAGAUCUUGUCACAACAUUUUGUUUCUUGAUCUUCCAAGAAAUCAAAUUAUCACAAAUAGAAACACAAUAUUCGAAAGUUGAUCUUCUACCAAAUAAAAAUCUUGCCCAAUCAACAUCUGAAUAACAUACAACUCUAGUAUGAUUAUUGUGACCAUAUAACAAGAAUUUUCUAGAAGAAUCUUUAAUGUACUUCAAUAUAUAAAUGACUGCAUUCCAAUGAUCAACACAUGGGAAAUUAAAAAGAAUUGACUCAUCACACUAACUCCAAAUGAAAUAUCAGGAGGAGUAACAAUAAAAUGGUUCAAUUUUUCAACUAGUAUUUUCUACUUCACAGGAUCUGAGAGAGGCUCCCCGUGACUAGGUAGGAGUUUGACAUUAGGAUCCAUAUGUUGUUUUAUUUGAGAGAUAUCAUGGUGAUCACUGCUUGUAAGAACAAUAUUAUCAACAUGUACUACUAGAUAGAUACACCAACACUUGAGUAACACUAAAACAAUUAAUGAUCUACAUCACUACUUGUCAUACCAAAUUGUUGAACAACAUUACUAAACUUUCCAAACCAGACCCUAUGCGAGUGCUUGAGGCCAUAUAAAGUUUUGUGAAGAUAACAUACCAAUCCAGAAGACUCCCCUUAAGCAACAAAACCAAGAUGUUGCUUUAUAUAAGUUUCUUUCUGCAAAUCCCCAUUACGAAAAACAUUUUUGAAAUCAAGUUGAUAAAGAGGUCAUCUUUGAAAAGCUUUCAUGGCUAUGAAUAAACUAACAGAAAACCAUCUUUGCCACUAGAGAAAAAUGUAUCACCAUAGUCCAAACAAAAAAAUUGUGUAUAACCUUUAGCCACAAGAUAAGCUUUGAGACAAUCAAUAGUACCAUUAGGACCAACUUUGAUAGCAAAAACCCAUAUGCAACCAAUAAUAGAUUUCCCAUAAGGUAAAGGAACAAGUUCCCAAGUUCCACUAGUCUGAAGAACACUUUUUCAUCAAUCAUUGUUUGAUGCCAACCAGGAUGAGCUAAGGCAAGUAUAAAGAGUUUGAGAUAGUCGAUGGUAGCUUAAAGUAGUAUAAUGUGGAGAGUGAUUAUGGGUAGAACUUAUAACUUUAUGGAUGAUAAUUAGGAGAUUAGGUUCAACUAUUGGAGACAGAGGGGCGAAGGAGUUGGCACUGGAAGAGAGUCAUUUAGUGGACGAUAAGAAGUGUGAUAACAACUGUAAACUUGAAGAGGUGGUGGAGAAGGAGAAUCUUUAAGUACACUAGACACAACAAAAGGACCAAAGAACAUUGGAAUAUGUACUUGGUCAGAUGAACACACAUGUGGAGAAGAUAAAUACUUAAAAUGCAAAAAAGACUCGAUGAAGGUGACAUCUGCAGAAAUGAAAUAGCGGUUAAGAGAGGGUGAGAAACAUUUAUAUCCCUUUUUAGAUCUAAUGAACCCUAAAAGGACACAUUUGUGUGAUGUAGCAGAUAAUUUAUCAAGACCAUGACAAAAACUGUGAACAAAACAUGUAGACCCAAAAACUUUAAGUGGUUAGGGAUGAAGAAGUUCAUGAGAAAAUAGAAUAUAAUAAGAAAUUUUAUUCUCUAAAAAUGAAGAUGAGAUACCAUUAAUUAGAUAACAUGCACUAAAAGAGAUUGUCUUAAUGUAUCAAAUGAAGGAGUACUAGAUGAAGUAGGUAAACAAUAGAUGUUUGAGAUGAAGCAUUAGAAGAGACUAUAAAUGAAGAUUAGAGACAAAAGAAAAAACUCUAAAAUUCAAAUGGACUUCGACCUACAAGACAAAGUCAAGUUCAUAACAAGAAUGACGUGGUGAUCCUAUCGAUGCGACAAUGUUGUGGCAGAACAAAGACGAUAGUGAAAACAACUCUAGUGAGCAGUGAGUUCAUCAAGAAGGCAAAAAUAUUAACUUACCUCUAAAUACCAUAUUAAAAAAAACAGGAUAAAUAUCUUGUGUAAAAUACACACAUAGAGUUGUUUAUUUAUAAAUGAAAAUAAUAACAUAAUAGCAUAACAAUAACAUAAAUUAUAAUUCAACAAAAAUAUUUAACUUCUAUAUGACCUAUUACUAACCUUACAUUGUAUUUAAAGAAAAAAAGUUACAAAAAUCUAUGUGAUGUAUCAUUUUAAUAGUACUAAAGAGAAAAUACAACCAAAAUUAUUUUCAUUAUGGAUAAAUAAUUUAUGAAAAUCUUAUUAUGAUGAUGAAUCUCGUAACACUUGUUUAUUCUUAAGAAUGAGAGAAAUCUUUAAAACAAUAUUUUAAAAUUCUAAAUUAAGAGAUAAUAUAAAAGUUAUUUAGUCAUAACCAUUUCUUUGUCAUUUUCUAAAAAGCUUAAAAGGGUUUAGAAAAAAAUAAUAUUUAAUACAUGCUUUUGGAAAGAAAAUAACCAAAUAAUAUUGGCUUUGAUACCAAUAUACUUGAUGAAAAAACAUAUAUGUAACGAAGAUUUUUUUUAAAAGACUUGAUGAUUUUAAUCAAAUGGAAAAGAAGAAAGUGUUUCCUGGUUUAAUAUAUUAGGAGCUAUAACAGCGAGAUUUGAUUAUUUUAUAAACAAGAUAAUCGAGUUUCACACAUGAUACUCAAAUUGUUUUUUUUUAUAUGAAAAUAGAUUCACUAAAAUAGAAAAAAUUAAGUCACUUAAAUAUAAAUAGUUAGUUGGAAAUCUCUGUUAAUUUAAUGGAUAAUAACCAAUGAAUCUUGAUAAUUGAUCCAUUAAAUAUAUUUAAUAAUGGUCAUUCCAAAGUCUUAAAAUUAUAUCUCUCUUAAAAAGCUAUAACUAUGAAGUCCAACCUUAAAAGUUGAAGAUGGUAAGCUAUCUUGAAAAUAUGAUAAAAAUUAAUUAUCUUAUCUUUGUAGGAAAAAAUUUUCCUUUCAUUGGAACUUGUGAAAAAGAGAAAUGCAAGUAAAGAAAAAUAAUAACAUAAAGAGAAAUAAAAGAAUAAAUAUUCAUCAUAGUCUAAGAUUAAAAAUUAUAAAGAAUUAGUUAUGAUUUUUUCAAUAAUAAUAAAUAUGACAUGUAAUUCAAAUUAGUUAAUUGAAUUUUUCUAUAAAAUUUAUAACAUAUAUUAUUAGACGUGUGAGACUUCUCACAUAUAACUAUAUAGUUUUAUCUAAACCAUAAAUAUGAUUUAACAUCUCGAUAAAAAAAAAUACCUCGGUAAAGUUAAAUUAAAAAGCAAUGAAGGAGAGCUAAAAAUGAACUAUUUUAAAAUUAAUAAAAUAUUAUUAACUUGUCAAAUUUUGCCACGUCCAUAAAAGCUAGUUCUUAAAGUGGCAUGCUUUGGAAUGGUCCUCCACAGGGACCAGCGUCAUCCACAAACGCCAUUUAUUAUUUUUUAGUAAUGCCAAACAUCGUGCAAUGCAUUGCUUUGUUUACAUUAUAAUAAUCAUUGUUCUAAUAUUUUGCAACUUUAUAAAAGUGGACGAUGACGACGAAAUUACGUGGAAGAGAAGGACAUAUAUCUUAAACAUAUUAAUUAAGAAGUUAUUAAAUACGAUUUAAGUAUAAAAAGAAUACAAUAUGAAUAUGUUAAUAACAUUUAAUAUUUUUAGCUAAUUAGUAAAGAUAAUUUUAGAAAGUAAUAAAUAUUAAAUUUUUAAGUUAUAUUAAGUGUACAAAUUAGUGUUUUAAUUAUGUAGUCAUUCAUUUAUACAUUUUAUAAUGUCAUUAUUAUUAUUUUAAUUUUCGUUUACUUUUCUCUAAUUUUUUGAAAAUCAUUCUCAUUUUUUUUUUCGAUGAAAGAGUACUAGUGAGAUAGUGGUAAGCAGAAUUGAUUUUCACAAAUCAGAAUUAAGUUUUUCUCUUUUUAAUAUCUCAACUUUUUUAUGGUUUAAUUGCAUAUGGAGUUUUAGUCGAAAACACGAAUGUCUGGUAGCAUAGGUUCAUGUUGAUAUCUUUAAUUUGUAAAUCAAACAUCAUGAAUACAAGUUAUAUUUUCUCUACUUUUUUUCAUAGUUUUUUUAGCAAUUCUAUAAAAAAAACACACACACACAAAAGGUAAGGCAACUGACAAAUUUACUUUAUAUUUAUUUAAAAAUUGAGUUGAAAUUAGAUUUCGAGUUAAAGCUCAAACGUGUUAAAAUGAUUUGAGAUUAAAAGUAUAAUUUGAUAUUAAAAUUGUUAAUAAAUAUUAAAUAAUUAAAACUUAAAACUUAAUAUCUCAUUAAACCGUUGAUAAGAUUUGAACAGUUAUACCUUGUAAAUUGAUAGUUUUAGUGAAUCAGGAUUUUUAACAUUAAACCUUUAACAAACUUUAACUUUUGAUUUCAGAAUUUUUUUUUGAUUGUUAGAUUAUAUAUAUUUACUUUAAAAGAUUUUUCAAAUAAAAAAAACUAUGGAAGCUGGAGCAACAACAAAAGUUGGCAAAGUAACUAAACUACAUUGGUAACCAUACAUACACACAUUUUAUUAUACUAUAUAAAAUUAAUAACGGAUGUCUCUCAUAUGUUCAAAUAACAACAAUAAUAAAAUAAAAUUUCAAAUUCCAAAAACAAAAAAUAAUACUAAUAGCAUGUUUGGUUUUCUAACCAAGAAUGGUACUAAGAGCAGCACCGACCAGAAUGGUUAGUGAGUACACUCCGAAACGCGAUUUCGACAUAGAUGACGCGCCGUUUGGCCGGGACGGCGUCGUUUCGUUUGAGGACGAUCCCGGCGAAGACGAUGAAGACGGGCUUGUUGCUGCCGGUGUUGAUUCUGAAGGAGGAGACGACAAUGGUGGCGACGGUGUAGUAGCCGGAGCGAAGGGGGAAGGUGGGUAUGAUGGAGGGAUGGUGGAUGGAUAGGGUGAUAGGGAAGGUGGGGAAGGUGGGGAUGAAGAUGAUGGAGGUUGGGUGACAGGGGAAUUGGAAUUUGGAGUUGGGGCAUAGGGGUAGGGUGAUUGAGAUGUUGGGGAAGGAGUGUUUGGAGGUGACGGAAUGUAGGGAGGUUGGGAAAUGGGAGAAGGAGUGGUGGAUGGUGGUGUGGAAAUGUAAGAAGGUGGCUGGGAUAUUGGGGAAGGAGUGGUGGAUGGUGGUGUGGAAAUGUAAGGUGGCUGGGAUAUUGGGGAAGGAGUGGUGUUUGGAGGUGAUGGGAUGUAAGGAGGCUGAGAUAUUGGGGAAGGAGUGUUUGGAGGUGAUGGGGUGUAAGGAGGCUGGGAAGUAGGAGAAGGAGUAUUGGGUUGUGGAGGCACAUAAGGUGACUGAGAAAAGGGUGAUGGGGUUAUUGGAACAAAGGGUGGUUGAUGAUGAGGGGAAGGGGUGUUUGGAGGUAGAGGAGCAUGGGGUGGAUGGUUAUUAGGGGAAGGAGCAUAAGUGGGAGAAGGUGUGUUGGGAGGUAUGGGAGCAUAGGGUGGUUGAGCUUUGGGAGGAAAGGGAAGAUUAGUAGGAGGUGAAGGUGCUUCUGGAGGAGUAUAAACAGGGGGAGGAGUUUGAUGAGGUGGAUAAGGAGCUUUUGGAGGAGAAUAUGGAGGAGGCUCUCUCACAGCCAACACCACAAUAAUAAGUUUCUGACCCUUCUCACAAUUAUAAUCUUUUCCACUGAUGAAAUAAAAGGGACCCGAACGAUCAAACUGAAACUGGGAGGCACCAUCCUCAAACUUCUUGAUCGGGUUCUUCUUGUUACAUUUCUCAUAAUCCUCUUUGUUCACCACCAAAACCGAGUCCGAUCCCUUCUUGUACUUAAAAACUAUGAACAGGAAAAAACAUACAAGUUAAAAGCAUUCAUUCAGAAGGCAGAAAAAAAACUGGAAAGCUUUAGAAUGAAAAUGAACUGACCAAGAGUGUCACUGACUUGGAACCUCAUCCUUUCAGCCCAGUGAUUGUAAUUCUCAGAAGGGUACAAAAGCCACCCAUCUUUUCCACCAACGUUGAAGGUGUAUGCCUGAGACCCCGAGAGGAGACUGAAAAGAAACGACAAGAGACAAAAAACACUAAUCCGAAGCUCCAUGUUGCAGAGAGAGAGAGGAGAGAGAGAAGGAAGAGAGGUGUAGAAAGAAGUGAUGAAAUGGAUUGAUAUAAAGAAAGUGUUGUCCUUGGUUACCGUUGUUGGGGUGCUUGUAGUGUAGGACCAGCGAAGCGUGUUAAACGCGGUGGGGGGGUUUACGUGGGAAGACUAAGACUUACAUGUGGGCAAAUGAUAGAGAAAGAGAAAUUAAAGUUUGAGAAAGUUUGUUUAAUAUAAUAAUAUAUAAUAUGCAGCUACGUGCCACACUUCCCAGCACUGCCAUCUAUCACCAUUCGGACUCAUUUUAUUUUGAAAUUUCCAACCUCACCGAUGCUAUAUGCUUUCUACACAUUAAAAUGUUUCAAAAACAAUAAUAAUAGAAAGAAAACCAAAUCACGGAACUCUAUUGUUUCUGGUAUAUCCAUAUGCUACACUAUUCCGAUUCUCAUUUCAGACCCAUUAAUAAUUCUGCUAUUCCAUGCUUAGAUUGUUCCAAAUCAUAUACUGUAUCAAACAGAGACAGGGACAAAUUUUAAUAGGUUCUUGCUGAUUAACAAAUAUUAAAUUGUUCUCUAUCUUUUGUUCACAUAUAACCUGUGAAGAAUAAAUAGACGGAUUUUAAUUUUUUUCAUAAAGAUUAAAUAUGAAAAUGGUGUGUGUCUGCUUUGAGAGAGAUUAGCAACUAUUGGAAGAGCAUUUGGAUCGUCAAUCUACAGUUAUGCCUUUGGUCCACAAUGACUAUAAUAAAAUUUGAUUUAUUUAAGAAAGAGUAAACGAUAAUUAAGUUUCCAAAGAAAUUAAAUAUUAUUUUAAUUUCACUGUAUUUUAUUAUUAAGUUUUACAAAAUUAUUUUAUUAAUAAAAAAUAUCUUAAAGACCAAUUCCACAUGAACUUAGAUAUUAUUUUAUCAUAAAACUACAGUUUUCUGGAUCAAUUUGAAAAAGUAAUAAAAAUUUAUACUUUUUCAAUAAUUUUAGGUAUAAGUAUCUUGUCAUAUCAGUUAGAAAUGUUAGAAAUGGUCAUGAAAAAAAUAUUAUUAAAAAAAUAUAAAAUAUUAAGUUGAACGUUUAAAUAUGUUUUUUUUAUGUAUUUUUACUUAAAAAUAGCUUCUUUUUAGUUUAAAUUUUUAGAAUUUUUAGUUAUUUGUAAUAAGGGGACUAGAAUAAGUUUUUAUUAAUAUUUUUUUAUAUAAUAAUAAGUUAGUAUGAAAAUAUUUUAUCAUUCUGAUACAUAUUAAAAAUCUAUUCUGAUACGUAUUAAAAACCGGUUUAUCAUGUAGAAAAAAAUAUGAUAAAAGAUUAAUUUCAAUAGUUUCUUUAUUAUAAUAGUCUAAAAUUUAGAAUAGAAAAUAAAAAUUUCUGUGAAAUAAAAGUACAUUUAAUCCUUAAAUUUAUAAAGUUUUUAAUUAAUAAAAUAUAAUUUUAAAAUUAGUUUUUAUUAUUUAAAAUUAAAGGCAAAAUUAGUCAUUUACUAGUUAAGAAAUAAACCUCUAGUCGUCAUCCUUUGUUUUUUUUUUAGUCAAAACGUAUGCUUUGUUUUGCUUUUUCAUAGACUGUUUGGUACGUGAAAUUGACUACCCAGUUAGGAGUUAAUCAUCACAUCCACUUUACAUCAUGUUUUGCUUUUAUUAACAUUUUUAUUAAGUGAUUAGGUUUUUUCAUUAGAUUAGAUGACAAGUGUAAAGUAUUUAAAAUUUGUAUGAAUAACUAAUUUCUAUCAUUUACCCACUUUUAGAAUUUUAGUAGAAUAUACAAGUAUUACUUAAUAAAAAUAUUUUAUAUUAAAAAAAAUCUAUAGUUUUAAAAAUUGGAUUCCUUUUAUAAGAAAACAUUAAAGCCAAACACACCUUAAUUAUUACAUUUUGUGGAUGAAUGUUGACCUAUUUAAAAUUUGUAUGAAUAACUAAUUUCUAUCAUUUACCCACUUUUAGAAUUUUAGUAGAAUAUACGAGUAUUACUUAAUAAAAUUAUUUUAUAUUAAAAAAAAUUCUACAGUUUUAAAAAUUGGAUUCCUUUUAUAAGAAAACAUUAAAGCCAAACACACCUAAUUAUUUCAUUUUGUGGAUGAAUGUUGACCUAUUUAAAAUUUGUAUUAAUAACUAAUUUCUAUCAUAUACCCACUUUUAGAAUUUUAGUAGAAUAUACGAGUAUUACUUACUUAAACUAUUUUAUAUUAAAAAAAAGUCUAUAGUUUUAAAAAUUGAAUUUCUUUUAUAAGAAAACAUUAAAGCCAAACACACCUUAAUUAUUACAUUGUGUGGAUAAAUGUUGACCUAUUUAAAAUUUGUAUUAAUAACUAAUUUCUAUCAUAUACCCACUUUUAGAAUUUUAGCAGAAUAUGCGAGUAUUACUUAAUUAAAUUAUUUUAUAUUAAAAAAUAGUUAUAGUUUUAAAAAUUGGAUUCCUUUUAUAAGAAAAUAUUAAAGCCAAACUCACCUUAAUUAUUACAUUUUGUGGAUGAUUGUUGACCUAGAGAAAGCCAUUAGAAUCCCAUCUAAUCUUGUACUUGGAAUUUAUUGGUGAAGAGUAGAAAUUUCCGAUAUCUGAAUAACAUUAUUGUUUGGUACAAUAACGUUACCAUAUUUUAAAUUAGUAUAUAUGAUGGGACAUGAACACUUAUUUCCUCUAAAAUCUUUAUUUUAAAAAAUCUCCAAGUAAAUUACUAAAAUGACAUCAUUUUUCAUUGAAACUCAAAUAUGCCUUUCAAAUAUCAUUCACAUUUUGUUCCUAUCUUAAAUAAUCUUUUCCAUUUAUACAAUGUGUGAUAUCACUCACUUAUCUUAUUUAAUUAACAUCUAGGUACUUAAUAGUAUACUACUAAUUAAAACGCGUCACUUUACCGUUAGUAUUUAAUAUUAGGUUAUAGGCAUGCUAAGAAUGAUUAUAAGUGUAUUAUUAAUAUUAACUCUCCCUCCCUAAUAUGGCUGUAUCAUUUCUUCCUCUCAUUGAUUGUUUAUUCAAUAUCAAUCUUGUACUCUCUUUUCUUAUAUUUUUUAGUAAAAAUAAACAUAAAACAUUUAUUUUAAUUGUCACAAAUUUGUGUAUUUUAAAAUGAGUUAUAUAGUAAUGCAUUCACAUUAUACAAUAAUUUUAUUUUAUCAUAUAAUAUUAAAUAAAUAAUAACUCUUAAUAAUUUCUAAAAUAGAUAUUGAUAAUUUCAUUUUAUCAUAAAAUGGUUGUUUAUAGUGAUUUACUAUUCACAGACAACCGAGAAUAUGGGGUAAAAUGGGAGAAUGAAGGGAAGGUCAAGAAAAAUUAGUUAAUGUGAUUUUUUCAAUUUUACCAUUUUUUUAUAUAUUAAUUAUUACAUAAAUUUAAUUAACAUUAAUAUUUUAAUAAAAUAAUAAUAAUUAAUAAAAUUUGAUGGAGGUGUGCCUUCAUCCGUAGCUUUUCUUUGGUGGAAUUGGCGGAAACAUUCAUGGAAGAAGACGAGCAAGGAACUCAUGAAGAGUGGUGGACUCCUUGAAGGUGCAUGCUAGGUGUGGAGAGUGAGUGGUGAGGCCAUCUCACUUGGCAAAGAUGAAGAAUGAAGAUUAAAAUGUCUAUCCUAGAGAGGUAGGAGACAAGAAGCAAAAUUGGCACAAUUUUGGCAGCAAUUUGCUCGAGAAUAAUCUUGCUAUUUCAUGACCCAAACACCUCCUUAUAUAGGAUUGGAGGGUCAGAAUUGGAAGAGUCAAAUACAAAUGAAAUACAAACUAAAUAAAAUGUGAUGCAUUUGGCGCCUAAUUUGAGACUUAGCACAUGGAGCAUGUGAUGGAAAGCUUUUAAGCACAUGGAACAUGUGCUUUCUUCUCCAAGGCUUAGUCAUAACCGACCUUGGUUAAUUUAGGUGUUCAAAGAACCCUAAUUUAACCAAGGUUGGUUUUUAGGUACCAAAUUUCACCUAAAAAGAAAUUACAAGUAAAAUUUCCUAUUUUACUUUAACAAAAUUAAAUCCUACUUCUUACACUAGAGUUUAUGGCAUUUUAAACACGUACAAGAAGGUUUCUCUGCCAUCAGUAGCAGUAUUUCAAUCAUUUUGAUCCUUCUUGGCCAUGACUCUAGUGGUAGGCCCAAAUCUUCUCUUUGUUGGGCUUGCACUUGGACUUGUCCUUGGGCCUCUUCCAUCAUCCCCUCCCUCUUGAAAAGGAUUUGUCCUCAAAUCCAAUGCUUCUAUUUCUUCUUCUUCAUUACUUCCUACAAAAGGCAUUAAGUCCACAACAUUAAAAGUAUGAUGAACUCCAUAUUCUUUUGGUAAAUCAAGAAUAUAUGCAUUGUUGUUGAUUCUUUUGAGGACUUGGAAGGGUUCGUCACCUUGGGGACUAAGUUUGGACUUCCUCUUAGUUGGAAAUCUAUCUUUCCUAAGAUGAAACCAAAUUAAAUCUCCUUCUUCAAAAAUUAUCUCUCUCUUCCCCUUAUUGUUAUGUUUUGUAUAUUUCUCAGUUUGCUGAUGUAUUUGUUCUUUAACCCUCUCAUGCAUUUUCUUAACAAAUUCAGCUUUUAUUACUCAUUCCUUAUGCACAAAUUCUUGUGGAUUAGGAAGGGGCAACAAAUCUAAAGGAGUAAGAGGAUUAAAUCCAUAAACAACCUCAAAUGGAGAAAUAUUAGUAGUUUUAUUAACUACUCUAUUGUAUGCAAACUCAAUAUGAGAAAGAUACUCAUCCCAAGAUUUAUGGUUGCCUUUCAUGACUGCCCUAAGCAUAGUACCAAGAGAUCGAUUUACAACUUCGGUUUGUCCAUCCGUUUGAGGAUGACAAGAAGUUGAAAAUUCAAUUUGGUUUCAAGUCUUGCCCAAAGGGUUCUCCAAAAAUGGCUUAUAAAUUUUGGAUAUCUAUCGGAGACUAUGCUUCUAGGUAGUCCAUGAAGUCUUACCACAUCUCUAAAGAAAAGUCUAGAGAUAUUAUUUGCAUCAUCCACUUUGUGACAUGGUAUAAAAUGUGCCAUUUUACUAAAACGAUCCACAACCACAAAAAUGGAAUCAGAACCUCUUGCAGUCUUAGGAAGUCCAAGAAUAAAAUCCAUACUAAUGUCUUCCCAUGGAGCACUUGCAAAAGGUAAAGGAGUAUAGAGUCCAUGAGGAAUUGUUUUAGACUUAUCUUUUAAACAUGAUAUACAUCUAAAACAAUGUCUUUGGACGUCUCUUAUCAUAUGUGGCCAAAAGAAUUUUCCUUUUAAAAGCUCUAGAGUCUUAUCAACUCCAAAAUGGCCCAUGAGACCUCCUUCAUGAGAUUCUUUUACAAGAAGUUUUCUAUGUGUUCCUUGAGGUAUACAAAGUUUUCCUUCUUUAAAAAGAUACCCCUCAGACACAAAAUCCUCCUUUUUCUCUAUGUUCUCAUUUAACAAAGAUGGAUGUAAAAUCAUGAUCUUCUUUGUAGAGUUCAAUUAUGUUUUCAAAUCCAAGAAUUUGGGCUCCAAGUUUUGAAAACAGGGCAUGUCUCCUUGAGAGAGCAUCGACCAUAAUGUUUGUACUACCCUUCUUGUAUUUGAUAACAUAAGGAAAUUGUUCAAGAAGUUUCAUCCAUUUUGCAUGUCGUUUGUUCAACUUAUGUUGACCUUUCAAAUAUUUUAAAGGCUCAUGAUCACUAUGAAUGACAAAUUCUUUAGAGACUAGAUAGUGCUCCCAAGUCUUUAAGGUCCUCACAAGUGCAUAAAGCUCUUUAUCAUAGGUGGGGUAGUUGAGAGUGGCUCCAUGAAUUUUUUCGCUAAAGUAAGCAAUUGGAUGUCCACCUUGCAACAACACGACACCUAUGCCUACUCCCGAUGCAUCACACUCUAGCUCAAAAGUUUUUGCAAAAUUUGGUAAAGAUAGAAUGGGUGCAUUAGUGAGUUGAGCUUUUAGCCUCUUGAAGGCUUGAUCUUGCUUCUCGGUCGAACAAAAUGGAGUGUCUUUCUUCACUAACUCAUUGAGUGGCUGAUGUAACCCAAAAAUACAUAAAGAUGACCAAGGAUGUUAUACUUGAAGGGUCAUCUAAAUAAGGAAAUAAGAACUUCAUCAAUAGAAGAAAUGGACGAGGCCCAAAGCAUUUAAAGUUCUUCUUAUUGUCUUCUCAAAAGAUGAGGCCCAAGCCCAAUUAAUAUCUUUUGUAAUAUUUUUAGAAUAGUUUCAAGAUAGAACAUUAAAAGGGAAGUAAUAGGAAAAGUCACUUUUCUAGAAUGAGGAAGUGACUUGAAAAAGGGUGGCAUUUACCUUGUCUUUUCAUAUGCCUUGCCUUUUCAUUUACAAGUGACUCUUCAUGUAUUUUUACCUUUUCAUGACCGGUUCUCUAUGCCUAUAUAAAGAGGAGCCUUGCUUUUGUAAACACAAGUUGAAUCUUUUAGUAAAGAAAGUAUACCAAAUUGGUGUGAGAGAGUUUGUGAGACUAGUUCUCCUCUCUUCUUCCUAGUCUUAUCUUGGGAGAUUCUUGGAACUCUCAAGUGGCGGCAUCCACUCAUCUUGAAGCUUCUCCACCCUUCAAGUGGCGUGAACAUUCCAAGGGUCAUCAACCACAUAAGUUUCUUCUACCUUUUCAUGUUCUUCUUCCAUUUCCAUGUCAAUCAAAACUAUAAAACAUGUGUCUUUGUUGUUCUUGAUGUUUCAAGCAGUAGAAAUGUGUUAGGUUCUGCUUUUAAUUGGUUCAUUGUAAUUUCUCGCUGUUGUAUUCGGUUUAUAUGUGCUUAAUUGAUAUUUCAAUCGGUGCAUUUGUCUCCUUUUCACAAAUCAAUCGGUUCAUGUUCUUCUUAUGGGUUUCUAUGCGGUUUUGGCUUGGUUUUUGUGUUCUUGAAUGAUUAUAGAAUCUUGAUCCAAUUCUUGAAAAUGUCUUUUCAUAUACCAACUCAUAUCAGUGGUGAAGCUAGACUUGAGAAGUUAGGCACAAAUCUUCUAUAAAAGCUUGCUAAUCCAUGAAAACUUCUAACUUCCCCUACAUUUUGUGGAAUUGGCCAUUCUUGGAUGGCUUUGAUUUUUUCGGGGUCAACAUGUACCCCAUUUUUGUUAACUAUAAAUCCUAAAAAUACUACACUAUCAACACAAAAAGUACAUUUAUCUCUAUUAGCAAACAAACUAUUAUUCUUAAGCACUAGGAGAACUUCCCUAAAGCGACUUAGGUGAGAUUCUAAACUUUUGCUAUAUACUAAAAUAUCAUCAAACUAAACUACUACAUAUUUACCUACACAAUCCCUUAAGACAUGAUUCAUUAGCCUCAUGAGAGUGCUAGGAGCAUUAGUGAGCUCAAAAGGCAUCACUAACCAUUCAUAUAGUCCAAAUUUGGUUUUAAAAGCGAUUUCCCACUCAUCACCUUCUUUAAUUCUAAUUUGGUGAUAUCCACUUCUAAGAUCAAUUUUAGAAAAUAUGAUGGACCCAUGCAAUUCAUCAAGCAUGUCAUCUAGUCUUGGAAUUGGAUGCCUAUACUUGAUGGUGAUGUUAUUGAUGGCUCUACAAUCACAACACAUUCUCCACUUGCCAUCUUUUUUGGGCACCAACAAGACAGGUACAACACAAGGGCUUAGGAUCUUUUGAACCCAACCCUUAUCCAACAAAUCAUGCACUUGUGAUUCUGUCUCCUUAGUUUCUUCAGAAUUAGUUCUAUAGGCUGGUCUAUUUGGUAGACUAGCUCCUGGAACUAAAUUUAUUUGAUGUUCAAUUCCUCUAAAAGGGGGAAGUCCACUAGAGCCUUCCUUAGAGAAUAUGUCAUCAAAGUCUUUUAAAAGAUCUUUUACUUGAGGAGGUAGAACACAUGUCUCAGUAAGCGUAGCAAUGCAGGUAAGUGUUCCUUUACAAAGUAGGAGGUUUGAAGGUUCUUCAAAAAGAAGUAUUUUUUCGAUCUUAUUUUCAAAUUUUUCUUCUUCUUUCUGAAUGACCUUGUGGGAAGGAACACUCUUUUCCCAUGCCUCUUUUUCCCUAAGGGUUUUUUCUUGGUUUUUUACUCUAUUUUUCUCUUCCUCUCUUUGUUUUCUCAUUUGUAGUUGGUCCUUUAUCACUUGGGAAAAUGAUAAGGGAUAAAGUACAAACUUCUUUUCUUUGUGAGUGAAAGUAAUCUCAUUGGUAAGACCAUUGUGGUUUUCUUAUCAAAUUGCCAAGGUCUUCCCAACAAAAUAUGACAAGCUUUCAUGGGCACUACAUCACACAAAACUUUAUCCUUAUAGUUCCCCACAGAAAACUCGACUUUCACUUGUUGAUCUACAGUUAAAUCCCCAUCUUCAUUGAUCCAUUGAAGUUUGUAAGGUUUUGGAUGAGGGAUUAACUGUAGAUUCAACUUUUCAACCAUCCUAGCGCUACAACAAUUGCAGCAAGAACCACUAUCCACAAUGAGAGAGCACACAUUUUCAAAAACUUUACACCUUGUGUGAAAUAUGUUCUCCCUUUGUGUCUCUUGGCUCAUACUAGGUUGAUUGUUGAGGGUUCUACGGAUCAUCAUUAAUUCACCCUCACAUGGAUAAGCCCCUUCAUUAUCUUUUUUUUCUUCUUCCCCACUAGCUUCAUUACUUUAGCUGCUAUAUACUGUUGGGUCUAUUAGUGUCUAAGUUCAAGAGGGGAGGGGUGAAUUGAGAUUAUAAAAUUUUCGCAAGACCACACAAUUUUUCAGUAUUCCAGAGGCAAAAAGAACAGAUUGUUUUUACAUGAAACAGAUUGAUUCUUCAGAGCAGUCUUGGCACAAUUUGAAUUUGUUCAAUGUAAAAUUGUGAUCAACAGAGAAUUAUAACAAAAUCAGAUCAGUUUAAUAUUGUGAGGAUGAAGGAUACAGUUAUGCUUAGAAAUCAAGCAAAAUUACUCAACACAAGGUUUUGAGAGGAAUGAUCCUUUCUCAGGUUUUAAUGAAUGGACAGUUUGUUCACAAAUCACUUAAACCAUUAUAUACAGCAGCCUUGUUUAUGAUCAGAGAACUUUAACAAAUCAGGAAGAACAAUUUUCACUUAAACCCAGAAUUAACAGAUUCAAUUUCAAAAGAACAGAUUUAGUUCUUGACAGAAUUAAACAAAAAAAAAAACAGAAAUGAGUGCAGGGACGAGAAGACAAGGCACACAAGUUUUUAUACUGGUUCACUCAUACAGAGCUACAUCCAGUCUCACCUUACCCCAAGGUGGAAUUCACUAAAAAUAGUACCAAUCACUUACAAACACAGCAGUUCUUGAACACUACAAGAACAACACACACAAUGCUGAAAAACCCUAUUUCAGCACACCUUGCACUCCAAGAAACCCUAUCAAGGAGUGACUAACACUUACACCUUUACAAAACAGAAUAAAGGAAAGAUUACACCUGAAAAGAAGAUGCAAGAACCCAAAACCAGUAGUUCAAUUUGCUGCAGAACUGCACCAACACCUUCACCAAGAUCAAAGGUUUCCUAGAACAAGCACACUUGAAAAUCUCUUUGGAAAACCUUUCAAAAAUCUUUCAAUCCUUCUUCUCACAUGGAAAGUGUUUGAUCUCUGUCAAAAACGUAAUUGCUCAGCCCUACUUUCAUGUGAGAGAGACUUUUCUUUAUAUAGAAAACAGUUUCUAACUUCUUUUCAAAAAAAUAGUUGAAAAGCAGUUAUGAAAACAACAGAUUCAUUUUUGAACUUAACAGAUUUAUUUUGUGAAAACCGCCAACUCAACUAACUGAAAUAACUGUCUGAGUUGUAUCUUUGGUGCCCUAACUAACUUGUGAAAAACCUUUCAACUCACCAAAGAAUAAACCUGUUCUUUCUCAGUGAAACAGAUUAAAAUAUAGCAAACAGGCCAGCUCAACUUUAACUGAAAUAACUGUCUAAGCUUUACCUGUGGUGCCCUAACAGAAUUUUAGAAAAGCCUUUUAACAGAGAAGAAAUAAACAGAUUCUUUCUCCAUAAAACAGAUUUAUUUGUGUACUGUUUUAAAGCUGUUAAAAACAUUUUAAAAAGCUUUUCAAAAACCAUUUAACCACAUCAUGUGCUUGAUCUAGACUUGGUUAGGCAUCUAGGAUGGGUUAUUCAGCAAAAGGCAACCUUACACAAUUACAAGCCUAAUUAUAACCGAAUCUAAAACCUAUUACAAUCUUCAAAGCACUCAAGUUAUUUUCUUCAUCAAACACACAUCAAGCCUUGGUAGGGAAGAAGCUUCCUCCAACUUCAACAUAUACAUCCUUACCCCUUUAAGAAUAUAGUUCUCCUAUUUUGGCAUUGGGAAGCUAUAUGACCUCUUCCAAAGCAUUUAAAACAUUUUUUUAUCUCGGCUACGGGAUUGUGGGGUUAUCACUUCUUUAUCUAUAUUUUUGGGAGUUUCCUUAGAUCUUUCCUUUGAAGUUUCCUCCCUUUUAUACUCUCUCUUGGGAUAGGAGUUAGAAUAUGAACCUUCCCUACGACUUGAAGCUUUUCUUAAGUUUUGUUGUUCAACUUUGAUACAGAGUUGAAUUAAAUCAUUCAAGUGUCUAUAUGGUAAAAGUUAAACUCUAUCUCUAAUCUCAAGAUUGAGUCCACUCAAAAACCUUGCUAUGGUAGUGGUUUUAGACUCCCUAAUUGAGGCUCUCAUCAUGUAUAAUUCCAUUGUUUUGCCUAUAUUCCUCUACACUCAUAGUCUUUUGUUGGAGUCUUUGGAGUUUGUCCAUUAACUCCCUAUUAUAAUAGGAGGGAAUAUGGCGGCGUCUUAAGGCUCGUUUUAGUUAGUGAUCUCGGCUCAGCUAGUCCUUUCUUUCGUGAUGAACUGUUGGCUCCCCUAAGAUCAUUCUAAUACUCUAUGGGAGGGUUCUUAUGAAGGUGCCUAUCUUGCUCAAGGGCAGUCCACCAAUACAUAGCAUUACCUUGAAAGCUUAGGGUGGCUAGGGGUACUUUUCGUUCCUCACUCACUCUAUGGGAAACAAACAAUUAUUCUACCUUCAUUUCCCAAUUUAAGUAAGUUUCUACGUUUUCCAUGGAAAUAAGGUAGAUCUACCCUAACCUCCUUUUCUUGUCUUUCUCUUCUAGCUCUCCUAGGGGGUGGUUGAUAAUAGUAAUUAAUCUAAUAUUUUGUUCCCCAAAAGAUUCAUCUCCCCUAGAGCUAGAUGCAUGAGAACUUUUUUUUGAUUUAUUGUUUUCAUCCCUUUCUUUAGCCAAUUUCAAUUCUUUGAGUUGGGACUCAUUUUGCAAUUGUUUAUAUGAAAGUGAUUGAAAGUCUUGUGCUAAUUGUUUCAAAAGAGUUUUAAUAGACUCUCUAUCACUUUCACUAGAAUGAUAAGAAUGAGAAGUCAUGGUUAAAGUUAUGUGUUAAAAGCAAUUUACUAAAAGAAAUAUAGGUGGAGUAAUGUAGGUAGAUUCCCAAGAAAGGGAGGUGGAUCACUUAAGUACCAAGCCUUUCCUUGCCAGAUUCUAUCCUUCAAGACUUUCACAAACCUUUUUCUAAGUAAUUCACUUAGAACACAAUCAAGAAUGAAAACAAUUUUAAGAAAAACAAUGCAAAGCAAUUAAACAAAGCAAAACAAUUAAACAAAACAAAGUAAUUAGAUAAUACAAUUUGAAAAGAAUUGCUAUCUAGUAAGAUUUAAACUAGGCGUAUCCUAAGGUGAGGCUUCUAGGCACUUAGAACCAUUGAAGACACAUUCACCGUCUAUUACGCAAUACAAAGCAAUUAAACACUUAAUAGAAAAAUUUCUAUCUAGAAAGCUUGUAAACUAGACGUUUCCUAGGGCGAGGCUUCUUGGCACUUUGAACCUUUGAAGACACUCUCACCAUAUAAUACGCAAUUAGUCCACCAAUUAUUCAAGAUUUUGCAAGUUACAACUCAAAGAAAAUACAAAGCAAAUUGAAUUGACAAAAAUUUAGAAAUUUUUAUUCUAUGCAAUUCUUCUUUUCUUUUUGUCAUUCCUUCUUUGUGUAAGUGUUUAAACUCACUUGUUGCUGCUCUCUUGCUCAACCUCUCAAGGAUAUUUAACUUUAAAAAUUCAAAACAGCACCUACUAAGUGAUAAAGCUCUCACAAAAAAUGUUAGCUCCAAACUUAACAAGCACCUUUGAAUGAUUUAUCCACCAAGAAAUGAGGUUAACAAAAGUUAAAGCAACAAAAAUUCAAUUUGAAAUUGGAAAACAACAAAGGGAGUUGAUGUAUGACAACUUGAAAGAGUAAUUGAAAAAAUAUUGACAAGCAAACAAAAUAAGGUACUCAACAAAUGGAUAUCACACAAAUUGAACCUAGAGAAUGACACUAGAAUUGGAUUAACAAAAAUCAAAACAAUACUACAUAAUAUUAAGGUGUCAAAAAGCGUGACUUACUUGAUUUAUGUUGAGCAAAUUAUUUCAAAUUUGAAUUUGAAUUUUUAACCACAAAUAGAUCAAGAUAUUAACUAACUUUUGGCGUUGGAAUCACCAAUUAAUUGUGAUAAAAUUUUCAAAUAUGAUGAUGCUUCACCAUUUUUUUUUCGCGCCAAAAUUGCACACUGAUUGUAUUUGAUUUAUCAUUUUUUUUUCUAUUUUGAAUUUCGCUUCACUUUUUUUUUCACUUUUUUUCUAACACUUCAAACUAUUGAGAUCCAUAAUUUCAUAAUUUUUCUCCAACGAAUUUUAAUUUCAUAAACAAAAACAGCCAGCACAGAAUAAAAAACAGAGGAAGCCUAAUUCUGGAAUUAAAAACAGUUUUAAGAAACUUCAAAAACACAAUAGAAUUAAUGUAUAAUAAGUCGUGUGGAUCUAGCACACAAAUAUGAACUCAAAUCUUAAAAUGCACCAAAGGAUCAAACAAAAAAUUAUAAAUAUGGACUCAAAAAGAAAAUCAAUGAACCAAAAUUAUGAAGAAAAGUACUACAUAAAAGUGUUGACAAUUUAGGAGAAACAUGACUUGACAAAACAUCUAUGGAUUCAAAAAUCAAAAUGACUCAAACACAACAAUAUGAACCGAUUAAAAUUGCAAGAAAGACUCAAAUCUAGCAAAAUUAAAACAGCAACACCAAAACUCAAAGGAAUCCUACACAAAAUUGAAAUUAGAAGCUCAAGAACAAUUUGAACACAUUGCACUGAUUGGAUUUAUCCAAACAGCAUCUAAAACAGUUAAAAUGCAAAAACAACAAGACAAUCAAGGAUACAAGAUGAACAACACGAAAUUAUAAAGAACAACACAAAAUUAAAAUGAGAAGAAGAAGACACAUUUAGCUCUUGAAGAACCUAGGCUCAUGAUACCACUUGAUGGAGGUGUGCCUUCAUCCGUAGCUUUUCUUUACUGGAAUUGGCGGAAGCAUUCAUGGAAGAAGACGAGCAAGGAACUCAUGAAGAAUGGUGGACUCCUUGAAGGUGCAUGCUAAGUGUGGAGAGUGAGUGGUGAGGCUAUCUCACUUGGCAAAGAUGAAGAAUGAAGAUUAAAAUGUCUAUCCUAGAGAGGUAGGAGACAAGGAGCAAAAUUGGCACAAUUUUGGCAGCAAUUUGCUCGAGAAUAAUCUUGCUAUUUCAUGACCCAAGCACCUCCUUAUAUAGGAUUGGAGGGUCGGAAUUGGAAGAGUCAAAUACAAAUGAAAUACAAGCUAAAUCAAAUGUGAAGCAUUUGGCGCCUAAUUUGAGACUUAACACAUGGAGCAUGUGAUGGAAAGCUUUUAAGCACAUGGAACAUGUGCUUUCUUCUCCAAGGCUUAGUCAUAACCGGCCUUGGUUAAUUUAGGUGUUCAAAAAACCCUAAUUUAACCAAGGUUGGUUUUUAGGUACCAAAAUUCACCUAAAAAGAAAUUACAAGUAAAAUUUCCUAUUCUACUUUAACAAAAUUAAAUCCUACUUCUACACUAGAGUUUAUGGCAUUUUAAACAUGUAGAAGAAGGUUUCUCUGCCAUCAGUAUCAGUAUUCCAAUCUUGUUGAUCCUUCUUGGUCAUGGCUCUAGUGGUAAGUCGAGGUCUUCUCUUUGUUGGACUUGCACUUGGACUUGUCCUUAGGCCUCUUCCAUCAAAAUUAAUAAUAAAAUAAAAUUUUAAUACAAAAUAUUUAGUUAUUUAUAAUAAACAAAUUAAUGGUUAUAAAUAUAAUAAUAUUAUUUACAUUUAAUAUAAAAUUAUUUUCUAAUUAUAAUUUUUAUAUAAGAAUAUUUAAAUUAUUUAUUUCUACAUAAUAGUUUAUAACUUUUACAUAUAUUCAUAAUUUUUCGUGUAAAUUAUUUUUUGUCAAGUAACUCGUAUUUUUUUUCGAAAAUAAUUAUUCAAUGUUAUUGGAAAUAACUUACAUAAUUUUAAUUAACCUAAAUCUACAUAAAAAUACAUAAUAUUUGGUUAUUCUAUUUUUUUGAAACAAUGGUAAAUUUAUAAUCUUAUAAUUUACAUCUUUCAGAAAAUCAAAAUACCCUCACAACAAUGACAUCACUCACAAACUUCAAUAGAUUUUUUUCACAAAUUCACUCUAGCAUACUCCAAUCUAAACACAACGACUUUCUUCAUACUUUUCUCUCAAAUCUUUACACAUUCACUCUCUCAAAUCCUCACACUUCCCCUCCUCAAUUUAAACACAACUUAAAAAUUAUUGUUUUAAUUAGUUAACCAAUUGGACUAGAACUCGUGAGUAACAAACAUGGGUCUCAAUAGGCUGCAAUCACCAGGUAUUUUGUAACAGGAAAAAAGAGUGAUUUUGACUAAGAUAGAAAUUAAAGGAAAUAUUUUAUUUAUUAAUUUAUAAUAUAUAUAUAUAUAUAUAUAUAUAUAUAUAUAUAUAUAUAUAUAUAUAUAUAUAUUUAUUAUAUAUAUAUAUAUAUAUAUAUAUAUAUANNNNNNNNNNNNNNNNNNNNNNNNNNNNNNNNNNNNNNNNNNNNNNNNNNNNNNNNNNNNNNNNNNNNNNNNNNNNNNNNNNNNNNNNNNNNNNNNNNNNNNNNNNNNNNNNNNNNNNNNNNNNNNNNNNNNNNNNNNNNNNNNNNNNNNNNNNNNNNNNNNNNNNNNNNNNNNNNNNNNNNNNNNNNNNNNNNNNNNNNNNNNNNNNNNNNNNNNNNNNNNNNNNNNNNNNNNNNNNNNNNNNNNNNNNNNNNNNNNNNNNNNNNNNNNNNNNNNNNNNNNNNNNNNNNNNNNNNNNNNNNNNNNNNNNNNNNNNNNNNNNNNNNNNNNNNNNNNNNNNNNNNNNNNNNNNNNNNNNNNNNNNNNNNNNNNNNNNNNNNNNNNNNNNNNNNNNNNNNNNNNNNNNNNNNNNNNNNNNNNNNNNNNNNNNNNNNNNNNNNNNNNNNNNNNNNNNNNNNNNNNNNNNNNNNNNNNNNNNNNNNNNNNNNNNNNNNNNNAAUUUUAUUAAUAUUAUUUAAAUUAAUAACAUUAUUAAUUAUUGCAAUAAUGUUAUUAAUAUUAUUAACAUUAUUAAAUAUUAUUAAUAUUAUUAAUUAUUAAUAACAUUAUUAAUUAUUACAAUAAUUUUAUUAAUAUUACUAACAUUAUUAAAUAUUAUUAAUAUUAUUAAUUAUUAAUAACAUUAUUAAUUAUUACAAUAAUCUUAUUAAUAUUACUAACAAUAUUACAAUAAUUUUAUUUUUAAGUAAUUCAUAUGAAAUGACAAAAUAUUCUAUUGUAUUAAUAAAAUGAAAUAUAUUAUAUAAGGGUAGAAUCGAAAAGGUUUGUAAACAUCAAAAAAAGGUUAUAAUAAUGGACAAUUCACUUUAUAUAUAGGUAUAAAUUAUUAUUAUUAUUAUUAUUAUUAUUAAUAUUAUUAAAUAUUAUUAAUAUUGUUAAUAUUGUUAAUAUUAUUAAUAUUAUUAAUUGUAUUAAAUAUUAUUAAUAUUAUUAAAUAUUAUUAAUAUCAUAAAAUAUUAUUAAUAUCAUAAAAUAUUAUUAAUAUCAUUAAAUAUUAUUAAUAUCAUUAAAUAUUAUUAAUAUCGUUAAAUAUUAAUAAUAUGAUGAAAUAUUAAAAAUAAUAUUAAAUAUUACUAAUAUUUUUAAAUAUUACUAAUAUUUUUAAAUAUUACUAAUAUUUUUAAAUAUUACUAAUAUUUUUAAAUAUUACUAAUAUUUUUAAAUAUUACUAAUAUUUUUAAAUAUUACUAAUAUUUUUAAAUAUUACUAAUAUUUUUAAAUAUUACUAAUAUUUUUAAAUAUUACUAAUAUUUUUAAAUAUUACUAAUAUUUUUAAAUAUUACUAAUAUUAUUAAAUAUUACUAAUAUUAUUAAAUAUUAUUAAGUAUUACUAAUAUUAUUAAAUAUUAUUAGUAUUAUUAAUAUUAUAAAUACAUUAAUGAUAUUAAUAUUAUUUAUAUUAUUAAUAUUAUAAAUAUAUUAGUGCUAUUAAUAUUUUUUUAUUAAUAUUAUUAUUACUAAUAUUAUUAAUUUUAUUCAUGUUAUUAAUAUCAUUAAUAAGAUUAAUAUUACUAAUACUAUUAAUAUUAUUAGUAACUAGCGGGAACACAGGCACUCACGUGCCUGUAUAUCCGCAUUUUUCAUUUUUACUAUUUAUAUAUUCAUAUAAUUUUAAUAAAUAUUAAAUUAUAUGAGAAGAUGUGUAAAUUAUCUAAAUGCAUCAUUGAUAAUAGUUUUAUUAAGAUUUGAUGUUAAUUUUUUAUAUUUUCAUUUUAUUGUUUUUGAAUAUUAAAUUUUGAUUUAACUUGGGUGUAAUCUUGAACUUUGUAAGGUUAUCAAGAUUAAAAUUAAGGUUUAAAAAAAUGGACCAGCAAACAAUGUCAAAACAUAAUGCAAAUGGUUGUAUGUUGGAAGUUGUAGAAUCUAUCACCAUAUCAAUUGAAUUCACAUCUUCCAUGGCAAAGAAGUGGAAAAAAAAUAAAAUAAUAAACUAAAUACAAAUUACCAAACUUCCAACUUAUGUAAUAUCUAAUAGAUCAAAGCACCAGUAGACAUAAAAACUUUGCCCGCAAAGCUGGGCUUAGGAUUCAUACAAAAAUAUAAAAUAAUUAAGAAAGCAAUAGAAACAAAAAUGUUCAAAUCCUAUAACAAUGAGACACGUCUCUGCUUCGAACGCUUUGGGAAGUGCGAGAAGGAGGAAGCAAUGGUGGUUGUUGUUGUACAGUGGUGAUUGAAGAGGGACUAAGAUGGGUGAGAGUAGGAGAAGAACAUGGAGCGUGAAGGAAGAAGGUUCAAAAUGUGUCAAAAUUUAUGAGCAUUUUUUUUUUGGAUGUAACGGGUGAAAACUACUCCUUAUAAGGAAGUGGAAGAAAGUGGGAUAACCGCUCAACUACUCCUUAUAAGGGAGUGAAUGUAACGGGUGAAAACUACUCCUUCACAAGAAAGUGGAUGUAAAUGGUGACGGUGAAAACUACUGAAGAAAGUGGUAACCGCUCAGUAAUAAUCAAAUUGUUGUCACUGCUCACAUUUCCUAAUAUUUAUUUCUCUCUCAUAAAACAAACACUCCCUCUCAUUAUGCAAUUAAUUUUCAAAAUAAAUUAUCUCUUUCAAUUCAAACGGUUGCUCCAUUUAUUUCAAAUAUUUUAUUAAAUUUAUUUCUCUCUCAUACAACAAACACUCUCUCAUUAUGCAAUUAAUUUUCAAAAUAAAUUAUCUCUUUCAAUUCAUAACCACUCCUCCACCUCUCUCUCAAUUCAUAACCGUUCCUCCACCUCUCUUUCAAUUCAUAACUGUUCCUCCACAUCUCUUUCAAUUCAAAACCGCUUUUCCACCUCUCUUUCAAUUCAAAACCGUCCCACUACGUAUACCAAAUAUUGUAGAAAAAAUAAGAAAGGGACCAUAAUACAAUAAUAAAAUUAAAUAUUAAUAUAAGGAUAAAAUGGGAAAAAAAUUAAGAGCAGUUAAGAGGGGAAUAAGAAAUGACACAAUGACCAUAAUACAAUAAUAAAAUUAAAUAUUAAUAUAAGGAUAAAACAGGAAAAAAAAUUAAGAGCAAUUAAGAGGGGAAUCCCCUUUAUAUAUAGGUAUAGAUAAUAUUAUUCAUAUUAUUUAUAUUAUUAAUAUAAUACUAAUAAUAUUAUAUAUAUUAUUUUAUUUAUUAUUAUUAAUUUUAUAAUAUUAAUGGUUCUCGUCGGUUGAUUUUUUCACCAGUUGACUUUUUGUCGGUUGACUCUGGUGAUAAGCUUUAGCUCCGGUCUGUCUUCUCUGUGCUAGACUUUAAACUAGAGGGGGGAUGAAUGUUUUAAAGAGGGUUUUCGCAAACUUUUAAGUAUAGAAUGAAAUUACUUUGAGAAAACUUGAUUAAGAAUUCAGUUUGUCAAAAACACAAAGCAAUUUAGCACAACACUAGAAAAACAUUCGGUUGUUUCGCAGAAACAAUCGGUUGUUUAUACUAGUUCACAAAUAUAAACUGAAAUUAAAGAUUUCAAGGGUUCGAGAGAUUGCACACACAGGUUUAUACUGGUUCACUCUUAAACCAAGAGCUACAUCCAGUCUUCCCAGAAACCACUGGGGAAUCCACUAAGCAAUCAACCCUAGAUUACUUACAACACCACCAAAGAAGUGACCUUGAUCCCCUCAAGACACACACUUCCUUUGGCUCAGCACAAACACCACCAAGAAUGCUGAUCUUGACAACCUCAAGAGCACACAACACUUCUUAGCUUCACACACAGAGUUUACAGAAGGUACAAAAGGAUUACACUUGUUACAGAAAAGAUCUGAAAUCAAUACAAGAUGAAAAUCCUAUAUCACACUCUCUUGAUCAAAGCAAUCUUCAACUCUUCAAAAGAAAAACCAGUGAAAAACUUCAAAACCUUAUUGUACUGGACCAGAGCACUGGGCUCGGUGCUUAGGUGAUCGGACAUCGGCACCUGUGUGGAGCAGGUUAGCUUGGUGAUCUGGUCGAGUUAAUGGGCCAGUGGAACCCAAGAAUGCGUGUGUUAAAACCCGUAUAUAUGUAAGGCCUAAUCAGCGAGAAAGUGCAUGUGGUGUGUAUUUGGGUCUAGCACAAGUAAAUAUCCCCUAAAGACGCCUAGGCCCAAGAGCGCUAGGGUUUUCAGGGGUAAGCUGCAUGCAUGAUACGUAAAGGUUAGAGCGCCUACAGUGACAGAUGGGCCCCAUGAUGCUGGUAUAUGAGUUGGUACCCUGACAGCCAUGUUGUUAAGAUUAUGCACUCCAAAGAGGAAGAUUUUGCGCGAUUGUUACACUAAGAUUGUGUGACAUUAUAACAGAAUGCCCUCCCAUCAUACCUGCUUUCACUUGAGAUAAAGUCUCGUGAGAGAAGGGUUGUUACAAUGAAGUAACCUAAAAGUAGUCUAUAAAAGGGACUCGAGAUCCCUAGUAAAGGUACACCGUUUCUAAUGAAACUACUUGCUUACUUACUCAUUGUUUCUUAGCCCAGUACUGAAUUGAUUGUCGGAGUGCAAUCAACAGGUAGGGCCCCCUCUGUUUCAAAUGGAGCCGCAUUCCAACGUCCCCGGGAAAGAGCAAAUCCAGCAGAGGCAAACAGAGUCACAACCUACUCUCAGAGUCAACCGACUACUAGGUCAACCCACAAGAACAUUUGGCACCCACCGUGGGGCCUGAUAAAACUAGGUCCCAUCCACAGUUGUGAUCAGAGCUAUCAGGCGAUAUGAGGAAUACAAGACAAGGCACCGCUGGACAGGAAGAAGGCGACAACGUUACCAUGCAAUAACUCAUGGAAACUAUCCACACUCUUCAGUAGACAGUGGAGGCAUCCAAGGCUGAUUAGGAAAGGGUUUUGGUUGAGGUUCGAGCUAAGCAGGCACUUAGGAAAGACCAAUUCAGGGUCGAGUUGGAUGCGUCGCGGACAGACAACGAAGAUUUACGCAUGGCCAAUAGGAUUUGCGGAGAGAUUUGCAAUGCUUAGGGGAACACACGGUAGGGGAGCAAAACCCGCCUAUCCCAGUCAGGGCUUGCCCCAUGCCAUUCUCCCAAGCGAUCAUGAAUGUCGUGAUACCUACCAAUUUCAUGACCCCAAAAAUCACUUUCACAGGUACUGAAGACCUGGAGGCCCACAUCACAACUUUCCACACUCAGAUGAUGAUCUCGGGAGGAACAGACGCCAUGCAUUGCAAGUUAUUUAUGGGAACGUUCGUAGGCAGAACAUUGGAUUGGUUCAUCAGUCUCCCCGAUGGACACAUCACCUCGUUUGAUCAAUUCUCUACAUUUUUCAGGGAGCAGUUCAUUGUCAACAGUGCUCCACCCCCUGUCUCUUUCGACCUCUUUGAUGUGAAGCAAUACCAGGGAGAGCCCCUUAAGGACUUCCUGAAUCGGUUUGGGGCGCUGGUUGUAAAACUACCAAGGAUGAAGCUAUGAUGGUGCAUGCCUUCAGGCGGGGAAUUUUGUCAGGGCCCUUCAGCGACUCUUUAAUAACGUGUCAACCAAAGACGUUUAGCGAGAUUCGGCACCGAGUUGUUGCUCACAUCUGCACAGAGGAAUAGGAAACAAAAAAACGUGGAAGCGUUGGACCGACAAGACCUCGGGAGAGCGGUCGUGCUCAACCCAUAAGUGAUGGAGAUCAAGAUCAAGACCAAAUGUAGGCCAAUACUCAAGGACAAGAAGAGGAAGAGGCUCAAGUGUUAGACGCUCAAAGAGUUGGUAGCCCACCUCAAAGGCUUACAAGAAGUCAAUUCAAGGCAUUAGGAAAUAAUGGAAUGUUGUUUUCUCUUUUUGUAAUAUCUUUGUGUUAGAAGGUGCUUAGAGGGAAACAUAAGACACCUCUUUUGUAAAAGCAUCUUUAGGUCUUUAGUUUAGGAAAAAAAUAGGAAGCUUGGGGGGUGUGAGCUUAGUAGAGGGGUGUAGGCGUAAUAGGGAGGUGCCAAACUAAGAAAAGAAGUCACACCUUCCUCAUGCUCUAAGUUGGCGCCACUUUUAUGUCAUUUGGGGGGUAAUUUGAGUUUAAUUAGCUUUUCAUUUCAGCACCUCUUAGGCUAUAAAUAAAGGUGUUUGCCUUUGUAAAAUUCAGAUUGGAAAUUGGAAUUAGAGAAACUCUACUCAAUUUGAGAGAGAAUUGUGAGAACUUGUCUUCUCCUUCACCUUGUCUUAUCUUGAGUGCAUUUGGUUCUCUCAAGUGGCGGCACUAGCUCACUUAUCUUGGAGCCUUCACCAUCCAAUUGGUGUGAUCAUCAAACCAAGUCCUUCAUCUCCAUAAGUUCUUCUUUCUUUCAUCUCCUAGCUCAUUUGAAUCUAAAACAUGUCUUAGUUUACUUUUCUAGCAUUUUCAUUCGGUAUUCUAGCUUGUUUCUGAAUUUGCUUCGGUUCAUCUUCUCCUUGGCUGUUCCUAUUUGAUUCUUCUUCAUUUCUUGCAUUUUGUUCGGUUCAAUUUCAGCAUUGUAGCUUUCUAUUCGGUCCUUUUUCUUUUAUACACAAUUUAAUCGGUUCAAUUGGCAAUAGAUGGAUCUUCCAUAUGAGUUUGGUGUUUGGUGCAAGUUUUGGUGAGUUCUUAAAACAUAGAACAUUGAUCCAAUUCUAUUAAAAGUGCCUAAGCUAUCUCCAACUCAAGUUGAUUCCAUAGAAUGUCAAAGAAUCAUCUCUAUUUGGCUAGUGGAAUCAUAUCAUGUGGUAUCUAGAAUUUAGGUUUGUUCUUGUUUAAUUUUGAGUUGUGUUGCACUUUAAUUCAAGAGCUCUAUAAUUCUUGUUGUUUACCUUUCUGUUUUUAGGCUUAUUUUGAGUUUUAUUGCUGUUUUCUUAAUUGUGCCUAUCAUGUGUUUGUGUAUUUUCCUUUUUGAAUCCAUACAAGUUUUGUCAUAGUCAUGUUUUUCCAAGAAUGUCAUCACUUCUUGUAGUACUUUUAUUGAAUUUUUUGUUUCUUGCUUUGGUGUAAUACAGUUUUCUGAGUUUGAUACUUGAUCCUUUGUGCAUUUUCUGUUUUAGUUUUGAGUUCAUACUUGUAUUUUAGAUCUAUACAAGUUCCUAUACAUCAUUUCCAUUAUGUCUUUGCUAGUUCUUAAUUCUGUUUUUCAUUCCUGUUAGGAUUCCUCUGUUUUUCUGAAAACGUGCUCACUGUUUCGAUUUAUUGCAAUUGAUUUACUCACUGGAAAUUUCUGAAAUUAUGGAUUUGUGUUCUUUAAAGUGUUAUAAAAGAGUAGAAAAAAGAAGUACUUAAAAAUUCCAAGUACAAAAAAAAUGAUAAAUCAAAAACAAAAAGUAACCGCCCAAACAUGCGCCCUACGAGCCGAAAAAGCAUUAGACUAGGGCAUGAGCGAAGGGAGACAUGCCUUGUCGACACAAGUUCAGAAUAAAACUCAAGGAGCUUAUCGCUAUCCCAGACGUGGCCGACAAGCUAAAGCCACCCCCAAAGAGUGACAAGAGAUUGGGGCCAAGCAGGGGCACCUGGUGCGAGUUCCACAAGGCCUUUGGGCAUGACUUGCAAAACUAUUUGGCACUUGGAUACUAAUUGGCUAAUUUGGUGAAGAAUGGAUUCCUGAAGGAAUACUUAGAGGAAGGUCAUGAAGCCUCAACGGUGGUGACCUUAGCAGGGAUCAGGGACACAAAGUACCAUUCCAUGGCGAGGUUAACACGAUCUUUGGGGGGUUUCUCAUGAGGAGGAUGCACCACCUCCCAGCGAAAGAAGUAUGUUAUAAGGGUGAUGGCAAUAGAAGCACGGGAACCUGACCAGUCACCUGAGCCCGACCUCUACUUCACGAAGGCUGAUUUACAGGAUGUGGUCCCACAUGAUAAUGACCCAGUGGUAAUUUCAGUGGUGAUAGUAGGGAGAAGGGUACACCGAGUCCUCAUCGACCAAGGGAGCUCGACAUAUGUAAUGUUUUGGUCGACCUUCAACAAAUUGGAGUUGUCGCCCGACCAACUGAGACCUUAUGACGGCUGUUUGUACGGUUUUGCUGGAGACCAGGUAAAAGUAAGUGGGCACGUGGAGCUAAGGACGACCUUCACAGACAACACCACGUCCCGCACCGUCAAUAUCAGGUACCUUGUCAUCAACUUACAACAUCCUUUUGGGAAGACCUACCCUGAAUAGGAUAUGAGCGGUGGCCUCAACGAGGCAUAUGAAGAUGAAGUUGCCUUCCCUCGAGGAAACGAUAAUUACCAUUAAGUCUGACCAAAAGGCGGGAAAUAAAUGCUAUGUGAAUAGCUUGAAGACGAACAUAGAGGUGUGCUCGAUCACCAGCCAGCCUUAGGAGGGAGAAGGGAUCACCCGUGUAGAGAUGGGUUGGGAGAGGCGACCUAAGCCUGUAGGUGAGGUGCUGGAAAGGGAGAUCGGGAGAAAGAAGUUUAAGCUUGGCAAAUCUUUAGGCCAGGAAAUACAGGACCAGAUCGCCGAGGUAAUAACACGACAUUUGGACGCCUUUGCGUGGUGUGCCUUGGACAUGCCCGACAUCGACCCUGAUUUCCUAUGCCAUCAUCUCACGAUGGAUCCAAAGGUCAAGCCUGUUUGCUAGAGGCAGAGGAAGUUCAAUGACGAAAGAUGCCUGGUCAUGAGGCAAGAGACCUAGAAGCUGCUGAGUGCGCCACAUAACGGAGAUCCAAUACCCUGAGUGGUUAGCAAACAUGGUGUUGGUCAAGAAGACCAACGAAAAGUGGAGGAUGUGCGUCGAUUUUACGGAUUUGAACAAGGCUUGUCCAAAGUAUUCAUAUCCGUUGCCCAACAUUGACACACUAGUGGAUAACGCGUCAGGUUGCAAACUUCUCAGUUUUCUGGAUGCCUUCUCAGGAUAUAACCAAAUUCGGAUGCAUCCCCAAGACGAAUGCAAGAAAACAUUCAUGACAGAGCUCUCCAGCUAUUGUUAUACGGUGAUGCCCUUUGGGCUAAAAAAUGUCGACGCGACCUAUUAGAGGCUGAUGGACAGGGUUUUCGCCCCUAUGAUAGGGCAAAACGUGCAGGCAUAUGUGGAUGAUAUGAUCAUCACCUCCCAGGAGAAGGACCAACACAUUGCCGACUUAGAGGAGCUAUUCACCACAAUAGCCAGGUAUAAAUUGAAGUUAAAACCCGAAAAGUGCGUAUUCGGGGUAGAGGCAGGGAAUUUCUUAUGAUUCCUCCUCACCGAGUGGGGAAUAAAGGCGAACCCCGAGAAAUGUGCGACGAUCAUAGCUAUGAGAAGCCUGACCUCGGUGAAGGAGGUACAACAAUUGACGGGGCGAAUGGCCGCUCUGUCCCGAUUUGUAUCUGCAGGAGGAGAUAGAGGGCAUCCCUAUCUCCUGUGUUUGAAGAGGGACAACCGAUUUGUGUGGACAAACGAGUGUGAAGAAUCGUUCCUCAAGCUGAAGAAGUACCUGUCCAGCCCGCCAGUUCUGUGCAAGCCGCUGCCAGGUACUCCCCUCCGUCUGUACUUUGCUAUUACAGAACGAGCGAUCAUAGUCCAGGAGCAGGAUUGCAUCCAAAGGCCUAUAUAUUUUGUUAGCAAAGUGCAGCAGGGGCCCGAAGUGCGCUAUCAGGCCAUUGAGAAGGCGGCUCUAGCAGUAGUAUUUGCAGCACGAAGGCUUCGCUACUAUUUCUAGAGCUUCACGGUGAUCGUGAUGAUCGACCUUCCCAUCCGUAAGGUCUUGCAGAAACCUGACGUGGCGGGACGGAUGGUGUGCUGGGCGGUCGAGCUGUCAGAGUUUGAUUUGCAGUAUGAGACGAGAGGACCUAUCAAGGGUCAAGUUUAUGUUGACUUCUUGGUAGAACUCUCCUUGGCAACCACACACCAAGACAAUGGAGAUUUCCAAUGGGUCCUUUCUGUGGACGGGUCCUCUGAGCAGUGAGGCUGGUAUCAUCCAUGAGGGACAAAACGGGCUACUAAUCAAGCAGGCCCUACGAUUUGCUUUCAACUCUAGCAACAACCAAGCUGAAUAUGAGGCCUUGGUGGCAGGAAUGUUGCUAGCCAAAGAGAUGGCUGCCCGAAGUUUGUUAGUGAAGAGUGACUCACUACUGGUAGUCGGGAAAGUUACGGGCGAGUACUAGGCCAAGGACCCUAGAUGGCCGCGUAUCUAAAGUGUGUCAUGCUCCUGAAAGAGGCGUUCACUGCUUUUGAGUUGGGCACAUUCCCAGGGAACAAAAUGCCCGAGCUGACUUACUGGCAAAGCUCGCCAGCUUAGGCAGGGGGGUCGACAAAGGAAAAUUACCCAGGAAACCUUAAAAGUCCCCAGGACCACCACAGGCGGCGUGGAAGAGGUCCAGCAGGUAAGUGCCUUCGAGGGCGGAAGGAGAGGUCACCGGUCGUUGACCCAGGAAACAUUGAGGGUACCUAAGAUAAGUGCAUAUGACUUGUCAGUGGGAGAAUCGUCGCAUGUUUGCCUGGUCGACGAAGGUGAAACCUGGAUGACACCCUAUAGGCGUUACCUGGCGAAUGGUCUACUCCCACAGGAGCCAACGGAGGCCAAAAUCGUUAAGAAGAAUGCAUACAGAUAUACCUUGGCUGAUGGAAAGUUGUUCAAGCAUGACUUCUCUCACCGUAUCCUGUCCUGUGUGAGUGGUGAGCAGUGCACACGUAUCAUGACUGAGCUCCAUGAAGGUAUCUGUGGGAGUCACAUCGGUGGACGAGCUCUCUCAUCAAAGGCUAUUCGAGCAGGAUAUUACUGACCGACCAUAAGGGAGGAUUGCACGAGGUACACACAAUGGUGCAAACAGUGCCAACAACACGCCAACUAGCAUCAUGCGCCCCCGGAGGCGUUGCGAUCGAUCCAUAGCCCAUGACCUUUCCACACAUGGGGGAUUGACAUCUUGGGUCCAUUUCCCUUAGAAGUUCGCCAAAUGAAGUACCUGGUGGUAGCCAUCGAGUACUUCACCAAGUGGAUAGAAGCUGAGCCUAUGGCACAAAUCACAACUCACAAGGUUCAACACUUUGUAUGGAAGAACAUAGUUUUCCGUUUUGGAAUCCCAAAGCAUGUAGUGUUUGACAACCACACCCAUUUUGCAAGUCAGCAGCUAGGCAAACUAUGCACAGAGCUCGACAUCAAACAGGUGUUCGCCUCGGUAUAACACGCCUAGACGAAUGGACAGGUCGAAUAUGCUAAGUGAGUCAUGCUCAGAGGCCUAAAGAGGAGACUGGAGAAAGCCAAGGGAACUUGGGCAGAUCUGGUUCCUAGAAUUGUAUGGGCCUAGCACACCAUUCCUCAAUCCACCACCAAAGAGACGCCUUUUAGCCUAGUGUAUGGGUCAAAUGCUCUGAUCCCCGUCAAGAUCCAUGACAGUUCACCUCGAUUCCAGAACUUCGUGAUUGAGGAGAAUAACGAGGAAAUGAGGGUAAACUUAGAUCUGCUCGACAAGGUCAGAGAGGAAGCACGCAUCAAGACCGAAGCCUUGAAGAGAAGGGUGGAGUAUAAGCAGAAGUCCAAGCUAAAACCUCGGCAGUUCCGGGUCGCCGACUUGGUAAUGCGAAAGGCUCACCCCUAUCAGUUGGAGAACAAGUUGUCUCCUAAGUGGAUUGGCCCAUUCCGUGUGAUAGAGGUGCUCGGUAACGGAGCGUAUAGACUCGAGAACUUGGAAGGCGAGAUCAUUCCUCGAACAUGGAAUGAGGCUAAUCUUAAAUUUUAUUUCAGUUAAUUAUGCUAUUGUAUGCAGUACGAACGUUUAAGGCGACACUCUUUUCCCCUUAUCAGGGUUUUUUAAAUAGGUCUCCCAAUAAAAGUUAUUUGAAAACUAUGCUUGCAGUAUAUCGUGCUAACAGUGAAAUAUCCCCUUGGUAAGAUUCCAAGAGUGGGAACAGUAGAGUUCAUAGCGAACCUCCCCCUAGUAAGAUUCCAAGAGUGGGAACAAUAGGGUUCGUAAGCGAACCUCCCUUUGGUAAGAUUCCAAGAAUGGGAACAAUAGGUUUCAUAAGCGAACCUCCCCCUUGGUAAGAUUCCAAGAGUGGGAACAGUAGGGUUCAUAGCGAACCUUGUUCAAGAUGGGAAGCUUUGAUGUGCAAAAUCCUCAUGAAGGCUGAAGCUGUGUGAUGUUUAAGGUUUAGGUUUUGGUUUGGGGUUUAGAAUCUUUGUAAAGAUCAGUUUUGAAUCUCAGACAAAGCUCAUUUCAACCAGUUUUAAAGAUUAAAGUGUUUUUCCAUGCAAAGGGAAAAACAACCGAUUAAAGUUUCGAAAUAAUCGGUUGUGUUUAACUUAGCUGGCAAAUAAGGUUUUGAAACUGUUUUAUAACUGACAAGAGCAUUCAACCGGUUAAAUCGUGGUUUUAACCGAUUAAAUGUAUGUCCUUGCAACAGCUUUUUGAAAAUCUAUUUUAAUUGAUUUGGUUGUUUUGAUUUGCUUCAACGUUAGCAUUUCAAGUAUUAUAAAUAUGUUUUUGAUUCAAACGUUUAAAGAUUGAUGAAAUAAAAACUUUAGAUACUCUGAGUUGAGAUUGAUUUGAAAGAUUACAAAACUGCUUGUGAAAAGGUUUUUCAUCAAGUUUUAACAAGAUUGCUUUGUGCUUUGUUGUGGUUCAAAGAACUGAUCAUUAGGGUGCUAGUGUAUUGUGUUGUACCAGGUGUUUUCUAAUCCUGUUCAAGUUCUUGUAAUUGUUCAUAUAACAUUCUGUAUAACUGUGUGAAAUCCUGUAAAGUUAGUGUAAUUCUGGCUUGAGGUGUGUGUUGUGUGUAAGGAGGGUGAGUAGGCUUUGUGGGAUUCAAAGUCACCUCUUUGUGUGUGGUGUUUGUGUAAUCUGUGAUCGGUUGCAUAGUGAAAACUCAGUGAUUUGACUGAGGACUGGAUGUAGCUCUAUGAUAGAGUGAACCAGUAUAAUCUCUGUGUGUAAUUCUCUCUAUCCCUUCUCUCUAUAUUUGUUUGUAUUUUUCCGCUGUCAUAAACAACCGGUUAAAUCACUAUUUUAACCGAUUAAAAUUCUGCUUCUGUUUCUGUUUGGUAAUUUGAUUAGCUUUCUGAAUUGCUUUUCUGGGUUGAUUGAAAAAGUUUUAUUCUAAGCCAAGUAUUUGUAAAAAUAGUUUGAAAACAAUUCAUCCCCUCUUGUUUUAGCCAUCAAAUCUAACAAUUGGCAUCAAGAGCAAGGUUCUUGAAAGUUAUUCAAGUUUUUUGAUUUCUGGUUUUUGAAAAUCUUGAUGGCUGAUAAAUUUUUUUUGGGGAAGGUGCCUCUUUGAACAAACAACCUUUGUUCUAUGGUCAAAACUAUCCUAUUUGGUGCAUAAGAAUGAAAUUCUUUAUUCAAUCCUUAAAUAAGAAUAUUUGGAAUGUUAUUUCAAAUAAUACCUAUGUGCAUAUGCCUGAAAUUAAUGAAUCUUGUAAAUAACAUCUUGACUGUAUGGCACAACAUAUUAUUGUGUCUGCUCUAGACUCUGAUGUACUGCUCAAGAUUUUAGAAUGCACUACAGCUAAAGGAAUGUUGGACAAACUUGAGGAAUUGCACAAGAAUCCAAGGAGUGACUUGGUAGAUAAAGAAGAGUCAUCUGCUGGCUCAAUCUCUUCUAAAAAUAAAGUGGAAGUCUGCUUAAUGACCAAGGGAGAAUCAAAAUCAAGUCAAGUAAGUACAUCCUAUUCUAAUAAGUGUGAAAGUUAUUUUCAAUUUCUUGAUGCUUUCCAAGAAAUUCAUGAGGAAGCUAAGAGAUUAACUUUUUCAAAUAACCGAUUGAAAUGUGAAAACAACAAGUUGAAAAUGAAAAUCACAGUUUUGGAAAAAGACUUGAAUCAAUCAAAAACUGAUUUAGAAAAUUCUGAUUUGAUGCAUGAAAAAUCCUUUUGCAAAUGUGAUUCAAAUUUUUGCAAAACCUGUGAGUCUCUUCAAGAGAAAGUCUUAUAUCUUGUGAAAACAAUUGAUGUUAUUUCGAAAGGAAAAUCAAAUUUUGAAAAUGUGUUGGCAUCCCAAACAUGUGUUUUUGAAAAAUUUGGCUUGGGUUUUAACCCUCAAAGCAAACAAAGUGGGUGCACAAAACCUUUUUCAACCUUUACUAAAAAACAAUCGGUUAAAGCAUCGAAACAACCGGUUGUUUGUUGUUUCUAUUGCAUGAAAAAGGGACACUCUGUUAGGUUCUGCAGAAUCAGAAAGUUCUCUGUACCUAAGGGUAUUCUGAAAUGGGUUCCUAAAGAGCCUAAUGAUUCUUGGAAACAUAUUAACAUCUAUGGACCCAAAUUCACAAGGGGACCAGAUUUAGCAACUUGAUUUUGUUUCUUUUGUAGAGUUGUUUGGAGAGAAAACAACACCUAUGGUACCUAGAUAGUGGCUGUUCAAAACAUAUGACAGGUGAUGCAUCUAGGUUCAUCAGCAUUUCUCUCAAACCAGAUGGUGAUGUAAGCUACGGUGACAAUAACAAGGGAAGAAUUCUUGGCAAAGGUACAAUCAGUAAUGAAAGUAGUUUGCUUAUUCAUGAUGUGCUCUAUGUUGAAGGAUUGAAGCACAACUUGCUUAGCAUCAGUCAACUUUGUGAUAGAGGUUACCAAGUGACCUUUAGGACCAACUAAUGUGAAAUUCGCUUACCUAAUUCAAAGGAUGUUCUUCUCAUUGGUAAAAGAUCUAGCAACAUUUAUCUACUUGAUAUAUCUAGUCAUGCUUCAUUAGAUUGUCUUCUAUCAAAGCAUGAAGAAUCAUGGUUGUGGCAUAGAAGGUUUGCUCAUAUUCAUAUGAAUCAUCUAAAUAAGCUUGUGUCAAAUGAACUUGUUUAUGGCUUACCCAAACUCAAAUUUGAAAAAGAACAUGUGUGUGAAGCAUGUCAAAGGGGGAAACAAACUAGAAAAUCUUUUUCUUUGAAAAACUAUUUCAACUUCAAAACCCCUUGAACUUUUGCACACGGAUCUUUUCGGUCCUUCUAGGACUAUGAGUCUUGGAGGAAAUCUAUAUGGUCUUGUUGUUGUAGAUGACUAUUCCAGGUACACUUGGACACUCUUUCUACAUACAAAGAAGGAUGCAUAUUCAUAAUUUAAGAAGCUUGCAAGGAAACUUCAGAAGACAUGUUGCAGUAACAUAGGAGCAAUAAGAAGUGAUCAUGGAGGGGAGUUUCAAAAUGAAAAGUUCAUUAGCUUCUGCAACAAAUUGGGGAUUUCUUCAUAACUUCUCUGCACAAAGAACACCCCAACAGAAUGGUGUGGUGGAGAGGAAAAACAGGUUUCUAGAGGAGCUUGCAAGGACAAUUCUAAAUGAUUUUGGUCUACCAAAAUGCUUUUGGGCUGAUGCUGUGAGCACUGCAUGCUACUUGAUGAAUCAUGUGCUGAUUAGGCCUAUACUGAAGAAAACACCUUAUGAGUUGCUGAAUGGGAGAAAGCCAAAUGUGAGCCACCUAAAAGUCUUUGAUUGUAAGUGUUAUGUCCUUAACAAUGGCAAAGAAAUUUUAGGUAAGUUUGAUGCUAAAUCAGAUAAAGGUAUCUUUCUGGGUUACUCUCUUAAUAGCCAUGCUUAUAGAGUCUUCAAUAAAAAGCUUAUGACUGUUGAAGAAUCCAUUCAGGUUAUUUUUUAUGAGACUAACAAUUGUGACAAGCUCCAACUAAGAUCAAUACAGAGGAGGAUGAUCAAAACAUCUUUUUAAAGAAUCUUGACAGCAACACUGAAUUUCAACCGAUUGAAUCCUCGAUUCAACCGAUUGAAAAUCUGCAGCAGGAAGAUCUGCCAAAAGAUUGGAAGGUUCCUAAGGAUCUGUCCAUUGACGACAUCAUAAAUCAAAUCCACAGAGGAGUUUCAACCAGAAGGCAUGUGGCAAAGUUAUGCAAUCACUCUGCAUUUGUUUCAAAGAUUGAACCUCAAUCAGUACGUGAAGUUCUGAAGGAUGAAUUCUGGACAGCAGCUAUGCAAGAAGAGUUAAAUCAGUUUGUAAGGAAUGAAGUCUGGACUCUUGUUCCGAGAACCAAUUAAAUGAAUGUGAUAGGUACCAAGUGGGUUUUCAGAAACAAAUCUGAUGACUCGGGCAUCAUUACAAGAAACAAAGCGAGACUAGUGGCCAAAGGAUACAAUCAAGCUGAAGGCAUCGAUUAUGAUGAAACCUUCACACCUGUUGCAAGAUUGGAAGUAGUAAGAUUGUUAUUAGCUUUUGCUUGUAUGAGUGGUUUUAAAUUGUUUCAGAUGGAUGUGAAGAGUGCAUUUCUCAAUGGGAUCGUGAAUAAGGAGAUAUAUGUCUCACAACCACCUGGCUUUGAAGAUCACAAACAUCCAGAGUGUGUAUACAAGCUCAAGAAGGAAUUGUGUGGCCUCAAACAAGUUCCACGUCAAUGGUAUGAAGGGAUAAGUCUUUUUCUUUUAUCUCAUGAGUAUGAAAGAGGUAAAGUAGAUAAGACUUUGUUUAUUAAGAAGGCUGGAACUGAUAUUAUUUUGGUACAAAUAUACGUUGAUGAUAUUGUAUUUGGCUCGUCUAAUGUGAAACUUUGUGAGGACUUUGUCUAAGCUAUGCAGGGGGAGUUCGAGAUGUCAAUGAUGGGAGAACUCUCCUUCUUUCUCUUUCUACAAGUUAAGCAGUCCAAAGAAGGAAUCUUGAUAUGCCAAUCAAAGUAUUGCAAAGAAAUCCUUAAGAAGUUCGAGAUGGAAGCUUGCAAAGUAGCAGCAACUCCAAUGUCAACUAACUGCUACUUAGAAGUUGAUGAAGCUGGACGAGAGGUUAAUCAAACCAUGUAUAGGGGUUUAAUAGGUUCACUUCUUUAUCUAACUACAAGCAGACCAAACAUUAUGUUUGUUGUGUGUCUAUGUGCUAGAUUUCAGUCUUGCCCCAAGGAAUCACAUAUCAAGGCUGCAAAGAGGAUCCUGAAAUAUCUUAAAGGCACAAUAUUCAUGGGCUUAUGGUAUCCCUCUCUUUCUCCUAUACAUUUAGUAGGUUAUUCUGAUUCGGAUUUUCCAGGUUGCAAAUUAGUUAGGAAGAGUACAAGUGGAACAUGCUACUUGCUUGAUUCAAGCCUCAUUUCAUGGCAUAGUAAGAAACAAGCGUGUGUAGCCUUAUCCAUUGCUGAAGUUGAAUAUAUAGCAGCUGGUAACUGUUGUGUGCAGAUUCUAUGGAUCAAAUAACAACUUGAGGAUUUUGGAGUAAAGAUGAGUAAAGUUCCUCUUCUAUGUGACAAUACAAGUGCCAUUAACUUGACAAAGAAUCAUAUUCAACACUCGAGGACCAAACACAUUGAAAUAAGACACCAUUUCAUUCAUGAUCAUAUAGCCAAUGGAGACUGUGAGAUCAAGUUCGUUUCCACAGAAAGACAACUGGCUGAUAUCUUCACCAAGCCUUUAUCCAAGGAUAAGUUCUACUAUUUACGAAAUGAAUUGGGAAUUCUAGAUAUGCAUGCUUUAUCCUAGUUAUAUUCUAUUUUGUUUUGUCUAUUUGAUGAGACAAAUAGGGGGAGAAGAGUUUAGAAGGGUUGUUGGAAGCUGUAAUGUUCUGCUGUUUUAUUCUGGUUUGUUUACAACUUCAACCGGUUAUCUCUGUAUUAUAACCGAUUGUUCUUAUAUGCAUCUACUUAUUUUAAAAUCUGAUAUAUAGUGCAUAUCUGUUUGGACUAGUCUAUUCCGUGUUUGUUCAGUGUUUGCAGGUUUUAACAGAUUCUAAACAAAGAACAUUCCUAAAAGCAUCUCAGGGAUUUGUCUCCAUCAAAUAAAGGAGAUUGUUGAAGAUGGGAAGCUUUGAUGUGCCAAAUCCCCAUGAAGCCUGAAGCUGUGUGAUGUUUUAGGUUUAGGUUUUGGUUUGGGGCUUAGAAUCUUUGUAAAGAUCAGUUUUGAAUCUCAGACAAAGCUCAUUUCAACCAGUUUUAAAGAUUAAAGUGUUUUUCCAUGCAAAGGGAAAAACAACCGAUUAAAGUUUCGAAAUAUUCGGCUAUUUGUAACUUAGCUGGUAAAGAAGGUUUUGAAAUUGUUUUAUAACAGAUAAGAGCAUUCAACCGGUUAAAUCGUGGUUUUAACCGAUUAAAUAUAUGUCCUUGUAACAACUUUUUGAAAAUCUGUUUUAACUGAUUUGGUUGUUUAGAUUUGCUUCAACGUUAGCAUUUCAAGUAUUAUAAAUAUGUUUUUGAUUCAAACAUGUAAAGAUUGAUGAAACAUAAACUUUUGAUACUCUGAGUUGAGAUUGAUUUGAGAGAUUACAAAACUGCUUGUGAAAAGGUUUUUUUAUCAAGUUUUAGCAAGAUUGCUUUGUGCUUUGUUGUGGUUCAAAGAACUGAUCAAUAGGGUGUUGGUGUAUUGUGUUUUACCAGGUGUUUUCUAAUCUUGUUCAAGUUCUUGUAAUUGUUCACAUAACAUUCUGUAUAACUAUGUGAAAUCAUGUAAAGUAGGUGUAAUUCAGGCUUGAGGUGUGUGUUGUGUGCAAGGAGGGUGAGUAGGCUUUGUGGGAUUCAAAGUCACCUCUUUGUGUGUGGUGUUUGUGUAAUCUGUGAUUGGUUGCAUAGUGAAAACUCAGUGGUUUGACUGAGGACUGGAUGUAGCUCUGUGAUAGAGUGAACCAGUAUAAUCUCUGUGUGUAAAUCUCUCUAUCCCUUCUCUCUAUAUCUGUUUAUAUUUUUCCGCUGUCAUAAACAACCGGUUAAAUCACUAUUUUAACCGAUUAAAAUUUUGCUUUUGUUUUUGUUUGGUAAUUUGAUUAGCUUUCUGAAUUGCUUUUCUGGGUUGAUUGAAAAAGUUUUAUUCUAAGCCAAGUAUUUGUGAAAAUAGUUUGAAAACAAUUCACCCCCCCCUCUUGUUGUAGCCAUAAAAUCUAACAAACCUCCCCUUGGUAAGAUGCCAAGAGUGGGAGCGAAGUCUUUCCUUGGUAAGAUUCCAAGAGUAGCAGCGAAUAUCCCCUUGGUAAGAUUCCAAGAGUGGGAACAUUAAGUGUCAUAGCAAACCUCAGUGAAGUCUCCCCUUGGUAAGAUUCCAAGAGUGGGAGCGAAGUCUCCCCUUGCUAAGAUUCAAAGAGUGGGAGCGAGAUCUCCCUUUGGGGGAGUAGUAAGGCUCAUAGCAAUUCAGGCAAUACCUCUUGCUCAGAAAGCUCAGGUUGCCACUUGCACGAACCACAGUAAAACUUCUCUUUAGGGAGUACGUACAGAUAAAGCAAAGCAAUUCGUGCAGGAGGACCUGUUGACCAGCGAGGCUCUCUGAACUCAGGUACCCCAGAGCAUAAGUGUACCAUUGAUUAAUCAGGAGGACCAUGCUACUUACGUAUGGUCGAUCAUUGGUGUUCGAUUAGUUAUUAAACUGAUGAAAGUUGUGUCCAUUCAAGGCAUACACUAUUAUUAAACUAGCCGAAGUCAGGAAGGGAAACAUGCAUAUAUAUAUGUAUGUACACAAGAAAGGUAAGUUGUUCGUUAGAUUACAAAAGGAAGGCAAUAGCAGGGGAGUCCCCUGCGGCUAUUCCUUAUCUACUAGUUGCCCAUCUACGACAACUUUACCUAAUCCUAUCUGGGAGAGAUCCAGCUCAGGGUGCACGCAGGUGACUUAAGCCAUGGCAUCUUCAAAGCCUGUCGUGUAGGAGUAAGCGACAUCGCUCGUCAGCUCGUCCUUGGUCUUUUGUAGGAGCUCAUCCUUCUGUGCCAACUCCUCUUUCUGCCUGGCCACCUCCUCGUCCCUCCCAGCCAACUCUCCCUUCAGCUUCUCCACCUCAGUGCGGGGAUUGUUGUUUCUUGCGUACAACCCCAUGGCCUCUUGGGACUUCCUGAAAAGGAGGGCCUUGGUCUCUUGGUGCACUUUCCAAAGCUCUUCCACCUCCAACGUAAGUCAGGUGACUUGUCGUUUGAGCCCUACAACUUGGAGGGCUUCUUCUUUGGCCAGCUCCUUUGCUUUCCACAGUUUGGAGAGGAGAAAGCAAUUUGCCACUAGGGUUUCCCCCAGUUUCCUUGUGGCGUGCUCCAUCAAUGGACCCUCCUCCAGGCUCUCCAAUCUUCCCUUAAUUUUGGAGCAGAGCAUCAUUUUGUGAAGGAAGGAGACUGGGUCCCAGUGAUCUCACUCUGAAGCACUUUUUCCUCUACCUCAUGCACUGCAAUGUCGCGAGGAGGGGAAAGGCUGGGUGGAAAAUCCCGGUAGGAAGGAGCUCGGCCGCCUGAGGUGGAGUGGACAAAACCUACAGCAGCAUCUGUUCGCUUCCUCUUGAAGACGAGUCCAGAACAAGUUUCAUCGUCCUUAGAAGGGGUGACUUCAGCCACUGCCUUCAAUUUUUGACCCUUGGCAGAAGGGACUUGGGUGGUCUUCUUUUGUUUAGCCAGAGCGGCUAAGUUCUUUCUCUUUUGAGUGUCCAACAUGCUAUAUGCAUGAGAAUGAAAACAAUGAACAGUUCAGAAAACACACACAUGCAAGAUAUGGCUAGCAGGAGUAAAGGGAAGGAGGAUACCAAUGUAUUCCUUAAGGCUUGUAGGGCUAUACUCGUUCUUUAUCAAUUCGGCAUUGCUAAACACUGCCUUGAGGUUGAAGAGGAAGAGACACACCUCUCGUUCUCGCCGGGGUAGGUCUUCAAGGUAUCUGGGUUUUGGAAUUCGGGUUCCUUAGUCCAGUAUAGAGGAAACCCGUCCAGAAGGCUUGGAUCGCUAUCAUUGCAGCGGAUUUUGAAAAACUUACCCUUGAAGCCUUUGUAUGAUUGCAUGAAGAGGGUCAACAAAACUCUCCCAACAACCCCGUUAAAGCUCACCCACAUCUUCCGACCUGAUUUUUUGGCUUCGAAGAAGUAAAGGAAGACGUCCACUGAUAGCAGAUGGCCAAAGUGGUGGCACAAGAUGGAAAAUCCCCGAACAAACGCCCAUCUAUUUUAGUGUAGCUGGGUAGGGGCGGUGUUGAUCUCGGUGAGAAGGGCUCUUUCGAAACUAUGAAAGGGAAGGCGUAGAAGGAGUUUUUUGAAAACAGUAGAGUAGAUGAAGUAGAAUGGGCCAUCUAGGUCCGAUGACUCAUCACAGCAAACAGGUUCAUCUUCCAUACAAGGCAUAACCUUAACGAACUUGUCGUGCUCUUUGCCAAAAAGACAGUUCUUUUUAGGGUGCUCACUCUUCCUAUACAACAUUAUCCUCGCAUGGGGUGGUGAAUUCCGAGGUUUCCUAUAAAAGGUUACUAGAAGCCCAGGGGUAUAGGGUUUCGUAAUCCAUCUUACGAGGAAUCUAAAACAAAGAAAGAAAACAAAUGCAGUACUCAGAGGAGGAAGCGCAUGCGUUUUGAAGAAAGAAGUAAGGAAACAGAAAACAAAGGUAUUUACGGUCAUAGAUACGAGAAAUAUAAACAGUCCCAGCGCAGUUAUGAGCAGCUUAAAGGCAUUGAAAUGGCAGAAUGAAAGCAGUCAUAAGAUAAAAAACGCACCUUGAGAUGAUUGAGGAAAGGAGGCGAGGAGGCUUGUUUGGAGAGGUGAAAGCAGAGUGGUCAAAGAAAAGUGUUCAAAGAGAAGCACGAAGAUGGAAUGAAACAGUGAAGGGAGCGCAAGAAUUGAAGGGUUAACGUAUAAGGGAAGCGCAAGCGGCAACAUUUUCCAACCGUUGAUGAUGGCCACGUGUGCGCUUGUGAGAUAGUAUGGUGAGACGUCACCUCAAAACAAUGUGUGGGUCGCGUCAUUCAAAAGACACGUAAGUCGCCUUAGGCGAGAAGUUAGCCUUUUCACUGGAACAAGUUCCAGCUCGAGCCUGGGGGGCUUGUGUACUGGACCAGAGCGCCAGGCUCGGUGCUCAGGUGAUCGGACAUCGACACCUGUGUGGAACAAGUUAGCUCGGUGGUCUGGUCGAGUUAAUGGGUCACAUAAGUGGGACCUAAGAAUGCGUGUGUUGAAAUCCGUGUAUAUGUAAGGCCUAAUCAGCGAGAAAGUGCAUGUGGUGUGUAUAGUACAUUUGGGUCUACCACAAGUAAAUAUCACCUAAAGACGCCUAGGGUUUUCAGGGGUAAGCUGCAUGCAUGAUACGUAAAGGUUAGAGCGCCUACAGUGACAGAUGGGCCGCAUGAUGCUGGUACAUGAGUUGGUACCCUGGCGGCCAUGCUAUUAAGAUUAUGCACUCCAAGGAGGAAGAUUCUACGCGGUUGUUACACUAAGAUUGUGUGACAUCGUAACAGAAUGUCCUCCCAUCAGACCUACUUUCACUCAAGAUAAGGUUCUCGUGAGAGAAUGGUUGUUAUAAUGAAGUAACCUAAAAGUAGUCUAUAAAAGGGACUCGAGAUCCCUGGUAAAGGUACAUCGUUUCUAAGACUGAAACUACUUGCUUACUUACUCAUUGUUUCUUAGCCCAGUACUGACUAUAUCAUCAGAGUGUAAUCAACAUGUAAGGCCCCCUCUGUUUCAAAUGGAGCCGCGUUAUAACGUCCCAGGGAAAGAGAAAAUCCAGCAGAGGCAGACGGAGUCACAACCUGUUCCCAGAGUCAACAAGAACACUUAAAUUAGCGUAUCAAAAUAUUAUUUCAAUUAUUCUCCAACGGGAUUACUAGUAUAACUGGGCCAAACUCAUGACCCACCUUAUAGGCCCAAUAACCAAGCUGACCUACCCACAAUGUGCACCGAGCUCCGAUCACUGAGCACCGAGUACUCUGUCCAAUACAUAAGACCCCAAGCUCGAGUUGAGCUUAGCUGAGAGAAGUGGCUUUUCGAGUGCUCUGGUAGCUUACGUGGCAGUUCCUCAUUGGGUAGGUGUGGCGUGGCGCAUGAAGCGUUUCUGAGGUGACGUCUCGCCACACUCAAUCUUGAACGUACAUGUGACCCUUAUCAACGGCGGGAAAGCGUUGCCACUUGACAUUCCCAUAGACGUAUAAGCCAACGUUCAAAAACUCACUACCACUCACUGUUUCAUUUCUUUAACUCUUGCAAAACCCUCGCGCUCUUCGAACUUCCUCUGCACCCUCCUUCGAGCACCCAGAAACCUUUAUUGUCUUUGACUUACUUACUUUGCCUAGCCUGAAUAUGUGUGUUUGUAUUCUGCUUGUGUUUGUGUUUUUUUGAUAUACUUCUACAAUGGAUUACAAAGCUUUGUACCCCUAGGCACCUUCAAACCUCUUAUAGGAGACCUUCAUGUAUACCUCCCGUGAGCUUAUAAUGGCCCUUAGAAAGGGUGAAUGCAAGUUUAGCAAAGAGAAUGAUAGAUCUUUUAGGAUAAUCCCAUGUAGGGAGGAUGAACCCGUCUACUGUGAUGAGUCGUCGGAUCCUAAGGGUCCAUUCAGUUAUUUUUAUACCACCGUGUUUAAAAGGAUUCUUCUUCGUCUAUCCCCUGCCUAGCUACACCCAAACAACUAGGCAUUUGUUCGGGGCUACAUUAUCCUCUGCACACAAUUUGGCCUUUUUCCCAUCUGUUGAAGUCUUUUUGUAUUUGUUUGAGGCCAAACACCUAGGCUGUCAGCUUUGGGUAAUGAGGUGUCUGGAAGGGCACUAUUGUCACUCUUCCAACAGUCUUAUAAGGGCUUUAAAGGUAAAUUUUUGAAGAUAUGCUGCAACAAAAGGGAUCAAACCUUUCUGGAUGGGUUUUUAUUGUAUUGGACUGAAAAAUCGCGCUUCCAAGGUGCUCGGCGCCUGGAAGAUCUGCCUCAGCGCGACUAGGAGGCCUGCCAAUUCUUGUUGAGCUUAAAGGUGGUCUUCGAUACUUCCUUUCUCAUAAGCAGAGAGUUCACCCUCGGGGCUCUAAAGUCUUAUAUUGGUACUCUUCAUUCCCUACUCUUGAUAGGGCUAACUUUGCUAUUGUUGCUAACUACUUCUUGUCCUCUUUCGUAGAUAGUAUGUUGGCUAGGAUUGACAAGAAAGAGUAGGCGAACACGACCAAGAGGAUGAGGGCGGCUGCUCAAGUGCCUCAGGAUCUUAAGCUCAAAGCUCCAACCACUGUCGUUCCAGCCUCUACUGAAGAUGAUGAGGAAACGAAUUAUGGGUUGGUCUUCAAAAGUAAGAGGAAAGACAUAGCCGCCCCUAUCGAGCAUUCCCACUCAAAUGGGUGGGCUCCUUCCUACCGCGCUCCCUCAGCAAGUCCAACCCUGCCAUGCGACAUGAUGGUGGUGCAAGAGGAAGAGGGAAUGAGCUCCAGGGGAAAGGGUUUAUGGGACCUUGACUUGGACGUCCCCUCCUUCCUUGAGAAGACCCUUCUACCCAACGAGGAGAAGGAGAAACUCAUAACCCUCGAGGAAGAUCGCUUGGUGCACGAAACCAUGAGGCAACUGGGGCAAGCCCUUGCUGCAAGUUUCUUUCUCGUCACUAAGUUAAAAGAUUGGAGGGUCGGCGGGUCAAAAGGCUCAAGAGAUUGUUGAGCUCCAUAAAGGAAUGGAGAAUCUUCAAGCCAAGCUUCGGCAAUCCAAACUCCUACGCCAAGAAAUGGAGAGUCUUCAAGCAGAGCUUCAGCAAUCCAAACUGCUACAGAAGGAAACUGAAGCCCUAUUGACUGAGAAGGCUAAGGAGGCCUCGAGCUUGACUAAGGAAAAGGAGAAAGUCUUGGCAGAGGUUGAAAAGAUCAAGGAAGAACUAGCAUUAAAAGAUGAGGGCAUUGCCAAAGAGAAAGAAGCCUUCAAGAACGAUGCCCCUCAAUCCUACCUUGUAGGGUUUGACGAGGCUGUCGAGCAAGCCUCGGGCCUUCAUCCCGAAAUCAAUUUCUCCCAACUUGGCCUGGGUAAGACCGUGAUCAACAGGCAGCUUGUGGAGGAGUAGCCUAGUCUCCAUCUUUCAUGUAACUCAUAAUGCUUUGAACACUUUGAACAAUAUUGCACAUUUUCUUUUAUAAGCACUUUUUAUCCAUGCAUGUUAACAACAACUUUAUUUACUAAUCUAGCUAUUUAACUUAGUAAAUUUCGACUAGCGUAGCUAACGUAUACUUCAUUAUUUAACUUAGUGAAACAUGAUUAGCAUAAGUUUAAUAUCUAUUGAUAACAUACCAAUCAAAUACUUAUGCCAACCCUCCGAGCUAAAAUGACAACAGACUCAAUGUAUAAACCAAGUAUGAAAAAUCACGGUGCUCUUAAAGAACUAACCUUUUUAUGAACAUUUUUACCCCCUAAGCAGGAGUCAUAUACUUUGACCUUGCUAGCCAUGGCUUCACAUACUCGAAGAGCUGCACCUUUCUAAGCUUGGUCUUCUCAACCUGCGCUAAGAAUGAUUCAUCUAUCUUCUUGAAACAUCUAACCCAGGUGGUCGCUUACACACCAAGUCAACUCCAUUUUAGCCCAAACAAUCACCUUCACCACACAUUACUUAAUCACUCCACAAAGUGCUCGAAUUCAGGUGAUCGUCCUCUCGACAGACUACCCUGACUUCUUAGAUAAUUUAGUCUCAAUACUCAUCUGCAGAGCGCUCGAACUCGGGUGGUCAUACCGACGCCGAGGUAGGUCAUAUUACCUGCCUAUAGAUGACCAAUUUUUACAUAGAGCGCUUGCUCAGGUCAUCUCACCGAGAGAGGUUGAUAUGAAUCCACUAGCAAAGAAGAGAUGAUUCUUUGACAUUCUAUGGACUCAACUUGAGUUGGAGAUAGCUUAGGCACUUAUAAUAGAAUUGGAUCAAGGUUCUAUGUUUCAAGAACUCACCAAGACUUGCACCAAACACCAAACUCAUAUGGAGGAGCCAUCUAUUGUCAAUUGAACCGAACAAAUUGUGUAAAAAGGCAAAGACACCGAUUAAAACUCUUAAGAAAGCCAAUGAACCGAACAGAAUUAUGAAAAGAAGCUACUGAACUGGAUUAAAACAAAAUCAAAUGAAAACAACCGAACAAAAGUGCAAGGAAAGGAAGAUGAACCGAACAAAAGAAACUAAGACAUGUUUAAGCUUCAUAUAAAAUGGAGAUGAAAGAAAGAAGAACUUAUGGAGAUNNNNNNNNNNNNNNNNNNNNNNNNNNNNNNNNNNNNNNNNNNNNNNNNNNNNNNNNNNNNNNNNNNNNNNNNNNNNNNNNNNNNNNNNNNNNNNNNNNNNGGGUGGAUGUCCUCUUCCUUCAUUAAUAAAAGCCUCCUUUAUUUGAUUCUCAUCAUACUCCUCGAGUUGGAGAGAAUUCGUCCAUGAAUUAUGAAUCCCUGCAUAUAACAAAGUCAGUUUAUUUUUACAAUUAAAAGUGGAAGAAAAAGGUAAACAUGACUUAGCAUUUGUAAACAAUGGGAUUUCAGAAAAGGAGGUUCUAGAAAUCGACCAAGUUGGAAAAAUUUGUUUGGGAAUGAUGUUAUGUUUUGGAAAAAUACCUCUUAAAUGGUGACAACCAUUAGGAGGUAUGAACAAAUCAUCCCUAACAUUUUUUAACCAAGAUGGUGGUGAAGUAAGAACCUUUGGUAAUGAAAAAGAUAAGGAAGGAAAACACCUUGGAUGUGGAAGGAUAAGACCCAUGUCAAUUUGGCCUUCUCUGUCUUUUUCAUUUUUACUUGUGGUAGGUGGGUGAAUUAAGUCUUGUUUUACUUUGUUUAUCUUUAAGAUUUGCUUUUGUGGACAAUGAAGAGCUAUGUGCCCAAAACCUAAACAUUUAAAACAUUUGAUAUUUGAUGUUUUGGUAGGUGACUUAGGAGUAGAAAGAUUUGUAGUAGAAACAUUUUUUGGAAACAUGGUUUGUUUGGAAAAAUUGGAAGGAGAAAUAUAAGUAGAAAUUUUGUUUGCAUCCUUCCUAUAAGAGUUGUAGAAAUCAUCAUCAUGAGUAUUUUUGAAAGUUUUUUCCAAAAGAUAUGAUUCCACCUUGAUGGCUUUGCGAAACACUCUCUUUAAAGAAGAAUAUUCUUUUAAUUCUACAAAGUCUCUAAUAUCUCUUCUCAAACCACGUACAAACCAUUUAAUCUUUGACUCUUCAUUAGCAUGCAUAUUCAUUUUAGUCAAAGUUGUUUCAAAAUCUUUAAAGUAUUCAUCUACCAUCCUAUGUCCUUGAGGAAGCCUUUGGAACUUCAACAAGUGUUCCUUCCUAGAAGGAGGAACAAACCUCGCGCGCAUACGCUCUUUCAAAGCAUUCCAAGAAACCACGGGAGGUUUCUUGCGAUAUAUAAUGUCCAUUACAAUUUUAUGCCACCAUUCUUUGGCAUAGCCCAAAAAGGAUAAAGAAACUAACCUAAGUUUAUCGUCAUCUUGGACCUUAUACACAUGAAAAUAAUGGUCAACCUUAGUCUCCCAUUCUAAAUACACAUUAGGAUCACUAUCACCAUUAAAACUAGGGACUUGUCCACAAGAAAUGUUGAACACUUGGUGAUAUCUUUGGUCACGUGAUGUGAUUCCACUAGCCAUAUAGAGAAAGGUUCUUGACCUUCUUAGGAAUCACCUUGAGUUGGACAUUAUAGAGGCACUUUUCUUAGAGUUGGAUCAUUGUUCUAAGACAAGAACUCACCAAAAACUAGUACCAAAUCCCAAACUCAUUUGGAUGAACCAAUUAUAGUCAAAUUGAACCGAAUAAGGUGGAAGAAAAAGCAAUUGCACCGAACAUAUUACUUAUAGAAUGAAUUGCACCGAACAAAUGAGCUAGAAAAACAAAGGAACAAGAUGAAUGGGCUGAAAUAUAAAACUGCCGAACCAAAACUCAUAAAAAACAGCAUGAACACCAAACCAAAACUCAAGAACACAAGCUAACAAAAACAAUAGAAAGAGGAGGAAGGAAGGAGAAGAGAG
rnacentral:lncRNA from 1 species